GCUUGCAUUGCUCAACUUAUCUCAUAAUAGUCUGACAGGACCUAUCCCAUCAUUACUGCGAAAUAUGAAAGGACUCCAAUCUUUAGAUUUGUCCUCAAAUCAACUGACAGGGGCUAUUCCACCUCAGAUAACUGCACUGACAUUUCUAGAAGUCUUAAACCUCUCGGGAAACCAUCUUAGUGGAGAGAUUCCUCAGAAAGGACAAUUCAGCACAUUCAACAAUGAUUCUUAUAUAGGAAACUCCGCAUUAUGUGGAUCACCAUUGACGAAGACAUGUGCAAACACAGCAUCACCUCCACAAGAAGUCGGAAAUGUUGAUGAAGAUGAUGCGGGUGAUGAAUUGACAUGGGAAGCAAUCUUGAUGGGAUAUGGAUGUGGACUGAUAUGUGGAUUGUCAUCUGCAUACAUUGUUCUCAAACUAGGAAAGCCUUGGUGGUUUGUGAGAUAUCUCGAAGUACUGCAACAGAAGUUGAUGAAAAGAUAUGCAUGAAGAAUGGUACUGGCCGAUCAAGACCAACUUGAAAGUUUGUUGUCCUUGUGCACAUUUCUGAACCAGUAGUGUACUUGCUGCAUAAGUAUUUGGUAUUAUGUAAUAAUCCGUUUGGUCGGGACUCAUAAUGAUUUCUCUUGCUUCAGGGGUAUUAAUAUUAACCUUGCUAUCUUGAUCAAUGUUAAAGCAAAUUAAAUGAAUGAAAAAACAAAAAGUAUGCAUCAAAUCCGCUCCUGCUGUACCAAAAUCCAUUAAAUUGCUUUGGUCUCUUACCUAACAAUUUAACAGCACACUUCCACACUGUUCAUACCUAAUUUGCGUGUAAUAUGAAAACUAAGAGGCAUGGCUUUUGUCUCUAUAAGUCUUUGAGAACUUAUUCUUCCAAGUCUUCUUCGGAGGCCUGCUGCCUCAACAACCUUUCAAAGAUGUAGCAGUUGCUCGAGAGUAACAUAUAUAUUAGAUAAAGACUAUGCAAUAAUCCACGUGACAGAAAAACCAAAGUCCAAUUAGUUUUCCAAGUUCAUAAAAAAUACUAUAGGAUCAUUAGCAUUACAUUAGUAUUCCACUAGCAUACAGCAUAUUAUAAGACAAAAGUAAGCGGAAAUAAACAUAAUUUCAAUAGAUUUAACUUACUCUUCAGAAUCGAUAAGUUUGGAACACGUUGAUUGAGCACAAGACGAAGGCCACACAUGCGCAUCAUCUGAUGCAGCUAUAUAUGGUGCCUUUACAGUUGCUCAUACAUAUAGUGAAACAAUAAGGAUCAACUCCUCCAUUGUACGUACACAUUUUCAUACAAGCUAUAAAGCAUGGUGAUAGAGUCUUUGCAAUCUCGUCAUGACCGGCACAUCCGAUUAUGAUAAACUCUAGCAGGAUCAUCCAAGUAAUAAUUUUCAUAAUGAUAUUAAUUAUCAUUGUGAAUAGUUGCAUUGAGUUAUAUAUGUGUGUGUAUAUAUAUGCAAUGGAUUUUGUGGUUGAGAAUAUCUAUUAGAUUUUGUAUAUCCAUAACAAUUAUUAAAAUUUAAACAAGAAUAUCUAUUAUUGGUUGUGGUUGACUAUUGUAGUAGUCCAAGAAAUCAAUGCAAGUGAAAUCUAUAUUAUAUUUUAAAAGAUUAUACAUGAAAUACAAAAGGUUUUUUUAGGACUGCUGUUAAAAAUUGUUAUGUUGUACGAAAAAAUGCUGAUAAAAAGAGUGUUAUACGAAAAAAUGCUGAUAAAAAAAAUGUCGUAUAAAUCAGAUAUGACAGCUUCCCACAAAAACUAAAAAAAACAGUUUUCCGUAAUAAUAUGGGAGAGGAAAAACUGUUUGUAGAUUUAUAGAACAAUUUUUCGGUAAAAAACUGUUGUUGUUUUCGAGAGUAAUGACAAACAGUGCCGAAAUCAUUUUGCAGGUAGUUAAUCUCACUUCCAUAUAAUAUACUCCUAUAUAUUACCGAAAAAACAUGAAAUGAUGCAAACCUCAUACUAUUGACAACAGCUAAACUCCUUGCAAUACUUUCAGCUGCAAAAUCCAUCAAAUUUUUUGAUUUAUCAUGUAACUGUUUGACAGAGUACUUCCAAGCCUAAGUAUCAAAAAUCACUACCUUACGAAAUAUAUCUCACCCUACCUUCUCUGCUUAACUGUUUCGAGUGCUUUUACCAAGCAUAUUUUCCAUUAAGCGUGAAAGGCACAGAAUAAUUAGGAUCACCGAAUAUCCCAUCAGUGCUGGGGAAUAUGGAACCAUCUUAUCAAUUAACUAGUUUAACAUUUCUUGCGGUCUUGAACCUCUCAGAAAACCAUCUUAUCCUAAUGUGCCGACUUCCUUUGACGGAGAAAUGGUGAUGCUGAUGCUAAUGAUAAUGAACUCAACUGGGGAGUGAUCCUUAUGGGAUACGGAUGUGGAUUGAUAUGCGGAUUUUCUUUGGGGUUUAUAUUUUGUGGUUUGUGAGAUACAUUGAAGUACUGCAGCUGGAGUUGAUCAUUAUAAAGAACAUAGGCAAGUUAAUCGCUUAUUGAAAUUAGUAAUUGUCAAAAGUAAAAUGUUGAAAUUACUUUUUUCGAUUGAAAUCAUUGAAAAAAAGUCUCUGUCGAAAUUGAUCUGCCAAAAUUAUGUUUAAUAUCUACGGCCAAGAUUAUCUGUCGAAUAUAUUUCCCGACAAUUUUAAAAGACAAAUUUUUCGCCUCUCAGCUGUGAGCGGGAACAGAUAUUUUCGACAGAAUUCCAUUGAAAUUAGCUAAUUUCAACAUAAAUUUUCUAUCGAAAUUACUUGAGUUCUUUGUAGCUUGUUUUCACAAAUACGCUGAUAGCCUUUGGGGACGGGUAUAUUGUUUUCACAAAGCCCUGGUGGUAUGUGAGAUGCUUCGAAGGACUGCAACUGAAGUCGAUAAGAACAUGCAGAAAGAAAACCGAUCCAUCUUGAUAAACUUGAAAAAUGUUGUCAUAUGGUGAUAUAUACUCCCUGGCCCCAGUCUCUUGGAAAGAACUUGGUUGAUUUUUUUUUUUCAGUAUUGUUGGAGCUGUCAUACUAGUGCUAGUGUGCCGACUAGCACUAGUAUGACAGCUCCAACAAGUAUCCAUCCCUAAUAAUUGCAGCAAAUUAAAAAAUAUAGCUAUAUCUUUUUAGCAAUGGUGCAAUUUGGAAAGCUUUCUCAUCAUCUUCUUCUUUUCUUUAUCUCAUUACUCUCAUCUAGUUCCACUGUCCUAUCUGCAACAAUUCGCGAAGGAGAAGCUCUUGUGGAAUGGAAGAACAGCCUAUCCCCGAAUUCAUUUCUUGGUUCUUGGUCACUAAUUAAUCUCACUUAUCUUUGUAAUUAAGUGGACUGGCAUUGUAUGCAACUCUGCAGGUUCAGUCAGUCAGAUUAAUCUUCAAGAACUCACACUUGCUAACCUCCGUUUCUUUUCGUUUCCAAAUCUCACCAAUCUCAACAUUACACAUAACAACUUCACUGGUCCAAUACCACCCGAGACUUUAGCUAUAGUAAUCUCAAUGGUACCCUUCCAUACCAGGUCAGCCAUCUUCAGAGGUCGGUCGUCUUAGGCCUCUAAUUUAAUCACUUGAAAGCUCUAAGCUUGUCCAAUUUUUCCCCCAUGCCUAUACUGGUUGGUCGCGGUCUUGGUGGUAAUAAGCUGGCGUCAAUUUUUCCAGAAUUCAUAUCUAAUUGCUAUAACAUGAUUAACCUUGAUCUUUCAUUUAACAUGUUAACUGGUGAUCCCUUCAACAACUUGCGAAUCUUGGAUCUCUUCGACAAUGAAUUCACUGGUUACUUGCCAAUCCAAUAUUUUAAUAAUAUGAAACCAGUUAAUACCGUGAUUGAUUAUUACAACAUAACAGUGAAUCAUGAUUAUCAAGCAUGUCUUGUUAACAUUUUGCACUCGUAUUAAUUGUCUUAUAUAUGACUAACUCAUCUUGCACUCGUAUUAAUUGUCUUAUAUAAUACUAAUAACAAAAAUAUGAGGCGGUGCUUAGUCAGAUGAUUUUAGUUGUUAAAAUAUUUUUGUGUUAUUUAUAGAUAGUGAAACAUGUCUAAUAUUUUAUCAAUUUUGUUUCGUUUCUUGAGAUUUCCAAAUAUUUAUUGGGACAUUGUACCAUGGUGUAUUUCACAUAUUCGCAAUUUUAAUUAUUUUGUAUUUUUAUUUUAAAGAUAUGAUAAAGUUUAUUUAUUUAUUUGUUUUUAUCUUAAAAGCGAUUUUCGAGUGUUGCUUAAACCUCGAAGAUUCCAAUCGAGUUUUAUUCUCGGAUCUGUUUCGGAAUUGAGCUUGGCCUUGAUUGUUUUCUGAAUAAAUCAGAUCUUUUGAAAUCAAAGGUUCGAUUGUGUUUUCCCGUCUCGCCUUUUGGCGUGUGUUGAUUUAGUACCCAAUUUUUGGGUGAUUCUGCGUUGUUAUAUUUGUGGUUGUUAUGUCUUUCUGUGUUAUCAAUGAGAAUGAUUGGGAUGGAGUUUUGGGAGAUUUGGCUUAUCGCAUCAUUACAUCUUUCGGCAUGUCUAUAGCUGGCUCCCGGCAUGUAGAUAGCUGGGGUAUGCUUGGAACGGUGGCGAUCGCAUGUGCUCACCUGUCACAAAUUAUAGUUGUUCAUUAUUCGAGGGCUCUUGUUCCUCGUUGCUUAGUUUUUACAACUGAGUCGUCUGAACACCGCAACAGCCAUGGAACUAUUGUGAAGGUCAAUUGUGAAGCUAUCAUUUUCGAGAUUGAUGUAGGCUGGAUUACUCGAGAAGCUUUUGUAUUCAUUUUCAGUUUCAAGAAUUCUUGAAUUCAGUGUGUUAAGCAGUCUGGAAACAAUGCGGCUAUUUGAUUAGCUCGUUUUAUUGUUUAUCAACCUGAUUGCAUUGUCAGUUGGGGAUUUGUCCCGAUUAAACUUGUUUUAAUAUAAUGGAAUGAAUUUGCAUUUUGUCAAAAAAAAAAAAAAAAAGCGAUUUUGAGUUGUUUGAGUUAGAUAUAUACUCCUACUGUGGUUCAACUAGUUUUGCCAUAAGUGAAUAACUUCCGGUCAAUAUUUUGAAAUUUGUCGUUAUCUUCUAAUUAAAAUAAAGGGUUAAAUAGCUACUUCAUCAUUAAUAUCGUUGAAAAUUUGCAGCUGAGUCAUGUUGUUGAAAAGACUUUCAAACUGCAUCAUUAAGUAAUUAAAAAAUUUCAAAAACACCACUCUCCGUCAGUUAUGUUAAACAAUUAACGGAAAGUUCGAAAAAAAAUAAAGAAAAGACAAAAAAACAUUAAAAAAAUUUGAAAAAAAAACCCGAAAAAAUGUGAAUAAACUAUGAUAUUUUUUUUCUUUUUUUGAAAAAUGUGAAUAAAAUCAAAAAAUCAAAAAAAAUGGGAAACCAAAAGUGGCAAGCUUUUUUUUUUUUUGUUCCUUUCAAAUUUUCUAAAAUCUGGGGAAAAAAGAACUUGCCAACUAAUUUUUUCCAAAUUUUUUCAAAUUCUUUUCAGAUUUUUGAAUUUUUUUCCAAUUUUUUCCUCACUUUUUUUCUGUUUUUUUUUGAAUUUAUUAAGAUUUUUUUUGUUUUUUCUGCUUAUUCUGAAUUUUUUAAGAUUUAUUCGCAUUUUUAAAAAAUAUUUUUGAAUUAUCCGUUAAGUAAUUAAUGGAACUGACGGAGAGUGAUGCUUUUGAAAGUUUUUAAUUACUUGAUAAUGCGUUUGAAAAUUUUUUCAACAACAUGACUCAGUUGCAAGUUUCCGGCGAGGUUAGUAAUGAAUUAGUUAUUUAACUCUUAAUAAAAAUCUAUCUAAACAAUAUUAUAAAUAUAAUGUUAUGGGUUCGAUGAGUCGUGUAAAACAUGGAAGAAGUUUAGGUGGGGUAAAAAGAGCCUAGCUGUGUGAUUUCCAUUCUGUUAUACGUGAUAUACUGUAGUUGAUCAUCUCCUUUGUCCGCUUCAUCCUGUGCAACCUUAACCUUUAAGGAAAAACUUAUGAGAUUCUCUAGUGCAUCUAAAUUCUUGUGUGAAGAAUGUGAAGAAAAAUGUUAGUCUCAGAUUAUUUUUCCUAAAAUGCUUGCAUGUUACAUUUUAUAUGUAUGUCCUGACUUUAAGUAUAAUUUAGCAUUUUUAUUUAGUAUUGUGUAAAAAUAAUAUAUUUUAUUCAGUCUUAUUAAAAAUAUAAUCAUGUUAUACUGUAAAAGUAUUUGUGAAUUUCUUUGUUACAUAUGUGUUUAAAUUAUUUUAUUUAUAUAUGUUUUACAAUUUUUUACAAAUAUAUAGGUUGAGUAUUGCAUAGGAAUAUAAUUACACGUUAGCAAAUAUGAUUAUGUGUAAACUGUUCUGCGUGCAUGUAUAUUGCUGCUAAGUUUUAAACUUCUUACUAACCGGAAUAAUUUUGACAGAUGUGUGGAACUUGAUUAAUUUAGUUGCACUAUAAGAGAAAGCGUUUUUGUCAAUAAAAAUUGUUAAGGAAAUUAGUCCGUUGGUAGUUCUCAACGGAUUUGUAACAAUUUGACUGGUCAAUGUUCUGUCAACCAAUUCGUAAUGAAAUACCCACACUUAUUUACAACGAGAUGUUCUAUUAGGAAAUAUAGCCACACAAUGGAAUAAUAACAAAAGACCAAGGAAUGAGCAACAGACUAGCAACGAAAGUAUCUGUUAUUACAUUCGUUGAUAUUCCCUUGAUAAAUACUAGACUUUUUAGCACUUUGGUGGCUUGUACUAUUUCAAAUUUGCACGUUAGUGGCCGACCUUUAAAAGUCAUCAAUUGUGUUGCUGAACUUAUUUUUUUUUAACACAUUAGGGGCUCCGCAUCAUAUCCGUUAAAUCGAAGUAACGGCGUCAAAUGAUCAAUACAUAUCUCCUCCUCCUCUUAUUUCCCUCCAAAUUAAAAAACGAAACGGCUACCCUCUUUUCCGAAGCAAGAACGACGACGAAUUCCUGCUUACAGAGAUGAGUUGGUUCCGGCGUCUUAAAGAGGAUGCUGAUGUGUAUUAGCCUCGACAGUGCCCCGAUUACUGUAGUAAGCUCUUCAACUUUUCUUCUUUGUAGCAUAUGAAAUGAGUUUAAUUGACCAUUAUUUCAGUGUUUGUUGUUGUUAGUGGCUAGUUGUUUAGUAUUAUGGACCUGCAAUUGCUUUAUACUAUUAAAAUGAAAGAUUCUGCUUGUGGGUUUUUAAAAAUUAAGGCUUUUACAUAGUCCAAGAUUCGGUCAUUAUAAAAUCAAUUUAUGCCUGUUUUAGUAUAGUGCUUGUUGUUAGUGGCUAUUUGUUAAGUAUAGUGUUGUUUAUUGUAAAUAAAACUGUUGCUUUGCACUCUACAUUUGCAGAACCUGGUGAUUUUACCCUAAAAAUAUAUCAUGGGGCCGAUUGGGUAGAUAACCCUAGGGCAUAUGUGGGAGGUACAGUAGAUUUCUUUGACUUCUGUAAUGCUGAUCAGAUCAGCAUAAUUGAGAUAUAUAGUAUGUUGAAAGAGGUUGAUGAGUUUGGGUUUCACCAACUGUGGUAUAAGCUACCUGGCACUACAUUCGAUAGAGCUUUUGUACUAAAUAAUGAUGAGGAGCUAAUGACCAUGUGUGAGCUUAUAUCUGAUGUGGAUAAGUAUAUGGAGAUUUAUGUCACCACUAUGGCACAUCUAAGUAUAGUGCCCUAUAGAGAUUUAGAGGUUGAAUUUGUUGAACCAACUCCUAAAGAAGCACCUGAAAAGAACAAUCCAUCACCUGAAAAGAUCAAUCCAGCACCUGAAAAGAUCAAUCCAGCACCUGCAAAGAUGUAUCCAGCACCUGCAAAGAGCAUUCCAACUGUGGGAAAUGAUGAUGAUCAGGAAGAGUUUGAGUUUGAUUUUGACAAUACACGGUUUUGGGAUACCACCCAAAAUGAAAUUGAAAUUGUGCAACAAGUUAGGGAAAUGGAGGGGUUGGAAGAGGAAUUUUCAGACACAGAUUCUGAUGAUGAGGAUUUUGUGCCAGAAGAAAAGGAAAGUAGUGAUGAGACCUUCCACUGUGAUAGUUCCAAUCAAGAUAAUUCUGAUGAUGAUUUGUUGUUUGAUGAUGAUUACUACCAUCCUUACCAGCAGAUGGAAACCAACAAAGAAAAAUAUACAACAACAACAACACAGCAAGAAUUUUCCAGUUCCUUGCUUGCUUCUGCGCCUCGGAUAGUUCUUCACUGUAGAAAUCCUUGUACUCAUCUUUGGCCUUAAUCAUUUCAGCAAAACAUUCAUCGUCCUUGUUCUUCAAACGCCUUAUCAGUCCAUUGAUUACACUCUUGCUGCGCGCAUCAAACUCGGGUUCAACCCACUUGAAGAAAUUGCACCUUCCAUUCACGCAAGUCAAGAAUCUUCUACCCGGAUUGUACUCCGUCCACGAUGUCUUCUCCACUGCCCAGCUUCCACACAUACAUUGUUGAUUCAUCUUUGCAGAGCUUUUUGGUUUGGAUGAGAGAUUUAGGUUUGAAUAUGCUCAAUUACACACAGCAGAAACGUAUAUAUAUACACAGCAUAUAGCCGUUGCAAAAAUAUUUUCCUGAAAUACCCCUGACGACCGUUACUUCGAUUUAAUGGAUAUGAUGCGGAGCCCCUAAUGUGUUAAAAAAAAAAUAAGUUCAGCAACACAAUUGAUGACUUUUAAAGGUCGGUCACUAACGUGCAAAUUUGAAAUAAUACAAGCCAUCAAAGUGCCAAAAAGUCUAAAUACUAACAGUUUCGUUAGUAAUUGAUUAUUAGUUUUACAUGGACAAUUGAUAUACACCACAUGAGCACAUACACGGAUACAAUGCCAGGCUCUUAGUUGAAAUGUGUGUACUGCUAAAGCUCAAGGAGAUUUAGUUGACUAAAUUGAUUUGAGUUGUAGAAAAAGGUUUAAUAAUAUAAUGGACUUUGAUAUAUGUAUUGUAGAUAUUAAGUAAUUCUCUUGAAUUUAUAUAUGUAACAUAAUUGUUAAUUGGCUCAUCCUUAACUAGAUAUUUUAUAUUACAUUCUUAACUACAGAUUUUGUAUUUAAAAUUUUUUUAAAAAAUUAACCUUUAUUUGGUAUGUGGAUUUUGUAGUCAAAUGUGGUCAAUUUACUUAGCCUUCGAUCGAAUACCUACCCAAAACAUAAAAAUAUUUUUUAAUCAUUUAUUUUCGACGAUCCAACUAUACGGAUAUUAUUGUAAUGUGAUAAUAUUGUUUACAAAUUUUUUUUAAAAAAAUUAGCCUUUUAUUUGGUAUGCGCAUUUUGUAGUCAAAUGCAAUUAAAUUACUUAGUCUUUAGUGGAAUCUUUACCCGAAACAUAAAACUUUUUUUUAAAAAAAAAUUUGGACAAUCCAACCGUACAGAUGUUAUUGUAACGUGUUAAUAUUGGUUAAAAUAAAUUUUGAGAAAAUAUGUCUUUUAUUUGGUGUGUGGAUUUUGUGGUCAAAUGCGGUCAAAUUACUUAGCAUUUAAUCGAAUACUUACCCAAAACAUGAAACUAUUUUUUUUAAAAAAUAAUUUCGGACGAUCCAACCGUACGGGGGUAUUGUAACACAAUAAUAUUGAUUAAUUUUUUUAUAGGAAAAUUAUAGCCUUUUAUUUGUUGUGUGGAUUUUGUUGUCAAAUGCAGUCAAAUUACUUAGCCUUUAAUGAAAUACUUACAUUAAACAUGAAUUUAUUUUUUUUUAAAAAUCAUUUGGAUGAUCCAAUCGUACGGAUGUUAUUAUGACAUGUUAAUUGAUUAAAAAAAUAUUUAAAAAAAAUGCCUUUUAUUUAGUAUGUGGAUUUUGUAGUAAAUGCUACUUAGCCUUUAAUCGAAUACUUACCCGAAACAUGAAACUAUUUUUCUAAAAAUCAUUUUGGACAAUCCAACCGUACGGAUGUUAUUGUAACAUGAUAAUAUUGAUUGUUUUUUUAUAUAAUAACCUUUUAUUUGGUGUGUGGAUUUUGUAGUAAAAUGCGGUCAAAUUACUUAGCUUUUAAUCGAAUACUUACCUGAAACAUGAAACUAUUUUUAAUAAAAUUAUUUUAGAUGAUCCAACCAUACAGAUGCUAUUGUAACGUGAUAAUUGAUUAUUUUUUAAAAAAAUUAGCCUUUAAUAUGGUGUAUGGAUUUUAUAGUAAAAUGAGGUCAAAUUACUUAGUCUUUAAUGGAAUAUUUAUUAGAAAUAUAUUUUAAAAAAUUAUUUUGGACGAUCCAAACUGUAUGAAUGUUAUUUUAACAUGUUAAUAUUGAUUAAAAUUGUUUUUAAAAAAAAAUUAGUUGUAUUUUAUGUGUGAAUUUUUAGUCAAAUACGAUAAAAUAUUUAUUUAGCUUGUAAUGAAAUAUUAAAACCCUACUUCAAAAGAAACUUGUCUAAAACUACCUAUAAGUGUUAGAGAAUCAUCGAUUUAGUUAUCAAAUUAGUUAUCAUAAGGGUUUUACUCCGCUUUUCUCUGGUAUGAUGUUGAUUUUUGGGGUUUGAUUGGUCGAUUUUCAUGUUUUAUAAGUUAUGUGAGUUCGAUUUUGAUGUUUUUACAAUUAGGUUUAUGUAUGUUCUUAUACAGGUUUCAUGUUCAUGUUUUGAUUUGUUGAUUUCCUAUUUUUCAUAUUUUGUUGAUUAGUUAUUUGUGUGGGUUUUGAACUUUGAUGAGUGUGUAUGUAAUCUCCUGUUUUUUUUUUUCAUUUUUCUGGUUCGAACACUUCGAUUAGUAGCUGGAAAAACAGCUGAUGCGGCAGUAGCGGCUAGUGAGAUGGAUAACAAGAAAAGGAUGAUUUCGAGGUCAUCUCGUGCAAGUCUUCAGAUAUAGUUUUGUUCCUUUAUGUUUUUAAUUGACAUAAAUUUUCACAUUUGAUGAUUAUAUUAUGGGGGAUUCUGGGUAUACUUGUAUAUAAUCUAGCAAGUUAUUAUAAUUCUGGACGGGGGGCUUAUUGUGAAAUUAAAUUGAGGGAUAAGUUGUGUUAUUGGUUCUAGUGGAUUAAAUUUAUGUUGACACUUGAUAUAUGCAUUGAUGUCGUAAAAUAAGUUGCACAUCAAACUAUUUGGCUUGUUUAAGUUGUAUGGAGUAAGGCUGUACGCGGAUCGGAUCGGUUCGGUUGGAGGGUAAUAACCAAACCAAACCGCAACUUACGGUUUUCUAAAAUCUCAAACCGCGACCAUACUGUUGGUUAAAAAAACCCAACCAAAUCCAUCCACGUAAUUGCGGUUGGUUGCGGUUCAACUGCUAAAAUAGUUAUAACAAAGAAAAUAUAUAAGUUAUUGCUUAAAAUCUUGCAUAAAGUACAGACUUUAACUCAAAAAUAUAUAAUUUAUCACUUAAAAUCUUGAAUAAAGUUAAUACAAUAAAUCUGAUUACAUAUUACAAAAGCAAACUACUCCGGAAAUAUAUAACUUGAAGCAGAGCUUCAAGUUAAUGGUUAUUAAAAAUUUCAUCCGCGACUGCCCACAUUUUACGGUUAUCCAUAAUACACGGAUCGGUUGCAGGUGGUUGUUGCGGUUAAUGCGGUGGAGCGGAUUGAACGUACAGCCCUAUGAAGUAUGGUUGCCAAGCAUUGGUUGGUUGUACACGUGUAAACAAAAUGAUAUUUUAAUAUUUAAACAAAACAAUACAGUCAUAAACAGAUCGUGUCGGGCUGGACUGAUUGUGAUUUUCCUUUUUGGAACUCGUACUCGGCAUCUUCCAAGCGAAUGAUAUUUAGAAGUUUGUUGCUAGUAUACUCCAUGUCAUAAUAAGAGUUCUUUAGAUUUUUUAUAUGUAAUUCGAAGUAUAAAAAACAUAUUUUAACAUAUUAUUUUUAAAUUUUUUAUACAUAAAAAUAUAACAUCUAUAUUUUUAUUUAGAAAAAAAUUUGAAAUAUAAUAUAUAGAUGCAUGUCUUUUUUAUACGUGAAAUUACAUGUAAAAAAUUAAAAGACUCUUAUUUUGAGUAAGAGAGAAUAUGAUGUACCAUAAAGUCAUCGAUCUUUUGUUAUCAAAUAAAUGUGAUAUUUAAUUAUUUAAGAGCAAGUCCAAAAGUAUCUUAGUUAAAGUCCUAAAUAUAAUAUAAAAUAUUACGUUCUGGUGAUUUAGGAUAUAUUUUACUAACUUGGACUCCAACAAUGUGUCUUAUUCUCAUAAGAAGUUUAAUAUUUUAUUAUUAAAGACUCUCUUUCAUCAUUAAAGCAUAAUAUAAAAGUAGAGAGAGAAAAAGAGUGUUGAUAAGAAUUAAUAAUAAAAUAUGGGAUAGGGUUAGGAGAGAUGUGCCUCAAAAAUAGGGUUUGAGGAGUUUCAUUAGGUGUGGACACGGAGACCAAGAAGUAAAAGAUGAGUACAGUUAAAUGAAGAUGUGGUAAAAUAAUGUGACCCAUUUAUAUUUAAUAAUACAUUUGAAAUAGUGGAGGAAAGUAACGAGUGUAAUAACGUUUAUAUUAUUAUAGCAUAUAGAUAGCAGAAGAAAGCAAUGGGUAUAAAAGUGUAUUAUAUUAUUAAAGUUUUGAAAUGUUUAGAAAUAAUGGGGCAAUCAAAAAGAAAACUGUAUAAAAAUGGACGAGAGAAUACAAUUCAAGAAGUAAUAUAUCUCAAUUCAAACUAGGUAAUAUAUUUAUGAAUUAUAUUAAAAAAAAUUUGACAUUCAAAUAUAAAAAUUUAUUUUAUCAUCUUAACAAUGGAAUAUUCGAUUAUUAACUUUCGUAAAUAACAUUAAUUUUUCAUUAUAAUAUACUCUAAACUUUUAUUUUAUGUGCCUGUUUGUUUACAAGAAGCUGGAGUCCUACUUCUCUUGACUCGUUUGUGUAAAAACGUAAAAAGUGCUUUUAAAAAGUACUGAGAAGGAAAUGGAAGUAGAAAAUGCUAGUUUUUCUUUAUAAUAUCUAUUUCUUUUCUAGACACUUUAAUAAUUUAUAUAUAUUAAUUUAUUUCUCACUUAUACUCCAUUUUUUUAUAGAGAACUUCUUUUAAACUAAUCGGCUCCUAUAAUCAGUAGUUUCUCAAUUUUAAUAGGAAUAAGAGCAUGUUUAUCUGAGCUUAAAGCCCGGGGUUUAUAUCAUCUCUGGCUUUAAGCUGAAAAAUGUAUGUUUGUGUAUUAAGUCGGAAGUCGGCUUAAAGUCGGAAAUAAGUCAAAAAUUGACCUAAAACCAGAAGUUAGUUUGAGAUACUUUUCUCGGUGACUAAUUUUUUUUUUAGCCAUUUUUUGAUAAAAAUUAUUCCUAAAUCACAAAUUACUCAUAAAUUACUUUUAUUAUUAUUAUUAUUAUAUUUUUAAUAACUUAUAAAUUAUUAAUAAAUCAAAAUUAAUCAAACAAAUAUUUUAAGUUCUCAUAUUAUGAGAUAACUAACGUUAAGUCAUGAAUCAACUGAACGGGAUGUAAGUCUUCUUCUCCCCGAGUCAUCAGCAGACUUUUUCCAUGUCUUCUGAGCCCCCAUUGGCUCACAAUUGGCCCAAAAAAUAUUUGGUUAUGCAUUGCUAUUCACACACUUAGACAUCAAAAUUUAUCAUCCGACAGGCGACAGCUAACUGCACACUAUUUUUCCCACAAGCUGAAAAAUCAACGAUCAAUUAAUUUUUCUUAUCAAUUAAUAAAGUUAUGAUUUCACGUACACGGCAGGCAAAAUGCUAAUAAAUAGACGAGUGCAGUAUAGUAUGGGUUCAUGAUCACCUUGAGAUUUAAUUGAAAAAUAUUAUGGUGAUAUAGAUUAAAUUAAAUUAUAAUAUCUUGAAAAGUUAUAAAUAAUUUUAAUUACUAAUAAUAUUUAUUUGUACAUUUAAAUAUUUUUAUAAAAACACAAAAAUAGCAUUAUACUCAUUUAAGUUUCUCGUAUCCGCCUCUCUUCUUGGAGAUUGUGGAUUUGCGAUAUUUAUAUUGAUUAUUAUAGGAAAAUGUUAUUUCCAGAGCAAACAUUUUUAUUUCCGGAGCAAAUUCAAACAAAUUUUUCCAAAUUGUUCUGGAAAUUAAAAUAUUGAUAUGGAUAUAACAAUUCCCUUAUUAUAUCCUAUGUAUAUUACAUUAAUGCAAUUAACAUGGUUGAUUGUUUUAGUAUAUAAUCAUAUUACUGUGACCUUUUAGUAUAUAAUUAUAUUAUUUUUGUUAUAUUUUAUGCAUCUAGAAACAAUUUUUUUAUGAUAUUUAUUAUAUUAAUUAUAGUAAAAGAUAUAAUUUUGUUUAAAAAAUUGAAUAAAACUAAGAGGGAUAGCCUACGUCUCUCCGAGUCUUCGAGGACUCAUUCCAAGUCCGAGAGGACCACAGCCUCAACCUUUAAGAGAUGUGAAAGUAGCUUGAGAGUGAUAUAAAUUUAUUUUUGACAAUAAAAUUUAAUAAUCAAAUAAAUUAAAUUAAAUUAAACUAGUUUAUAAUCGAUUAAAAAUAUAUAAAUCAAAAUUAUUCCCGAAUUAUGAUAACAAUUAAAAUCAUUUUAAAAGUUGCAUAAAUCAAAUCCAAAUCGAACAAAUUCCCCUAACACUAAAAUGUAGUUGCUUUAUUGUAGAUAAAAACAGUAUAAUAAUAGUAUUGAUGAAAAAUCAAAUUCAUCAAAUAAGUUUAUAAAAAAUACAUGAUUUUAAUUUUAAAAAAAAAACAUGAUUUUAGUGUGUUGUAUUAGUAGUGUGUCCACGCAUUUAUAUAUUAAAAUCUAUCCUCUAAAAACUAUCGAUCUAUUUACACAACUAUUGAUCUGUCGUGCAACAAAUUCCAGGGCGAAGUUCCAAAGAGAGCUUAAAUGGCUUGCAUUGCUCAAUCUAUCUCAUAAUAGUCUUAACGACAUAUGUUCUGAAUUAUUAUUAUGAUUUCAACAAUAUUUUCAAACAUUUCUUAAUAUGUAUUUUCAAAGAAUUCUCAAGCACUUGAACAUUUGGACCGGUUCUUUCGAAGCCAGGCAAUGCACAAAAAUGUCCAAAAAUGAAUAAAUUAAGAGAGAGUAGCUCACCCUUUCAAAGCCUUCCAGGACUCAUUCCAAGUCUUCGGAGGACCACUGCCUCCCCCUUUCAAAGAUGUGAUAGUAGCUCGAGAGUGAUAUAAAUUAUUUUCCCGACAUUAAAAAUAAAAAAUCAGAUUAAAUUAAUCAAUAAUAACUUAAGGAUGAAAUCCAAAUUAAUCCUAAAUUUUGAUAAUAUAUAAAAAUUAUAAUUAUAAAUUAUAUAACCAAAUCAGAAUUGAAUUAACUUACUUGGCACUAGAAUUGCUAAAGACAGUAUAAUAAUUUAAUUGAUGAAAAGUCAAAGUCUUCUAAUAAAUCCAUAAAGAAUAUGAUAAUAUGAAAAUUAUAAUUGAAAAAUCAAAAUCAAUAGUGUAUUGGAAUAGUGUUCACACACUUAUAUAUCAAAAUUUGUGGUCCAAAAACUAUAGCACAAUAUCCUAAAUACAUCACAUUAAAUAAUAGCACAAAAAUAUUCAAUAAAUAAUUGAUUUCAUUCAUAAAUUUGUUAUUUUAAAAACUAAUAAUUUGGUUGAUGUUAACCUAUAUUUUAUAUAUAAUUUCGUCUUAUUUUAUUUUACUAGAAACAAUAUUUUUAUAAUAUUUAUUACAUUAAAUAUAUUAAAAGAUAUAAUUUUAUUAAAAAAAUUGAAUAAAAUUAAAAGGAUAAGUCUCGGCCUCUCCAAGUCUACAAGACUCAUUUCAAGUCCACCGAGGGCCUCAACCAUUGAGAGAUGUGAAAGUAGCUUGAGAGUGAUAUAAAUUAAUUAAAUUAGUUAAUAAUGAAUCAAGACUAAUCAUGAAUUAUGAUAAUAAUUAAAUAAAUUAUAAAAUUAAAUUAUACAAAUAACACUAAACCUUAGUUACUUUAUUGGUAAAUAAAUAUAAUAUAAUAAUCAAAUUGAUGAAAAAUCAAAAUCAUUUAAUAAAUUCACAAAAAAUAUAUGAUCAUUAGUAUGUUAUAUUAGUAUCCACACACUUAUAUUUCAAAAUCUAUCCUCCAAACUUAUCAUCUCUGUAAACUAGCCACAUAAAAUAAAAAUUUAAAGAUAUUAGAUAUUUAGUUAUUUUCAUUAUAUAAUUUUUCCACACGAAAUAACAAAAUAUCUUUAUCAAAUUAUUAUUUAUGAGUUAAAUAUUCAAUUUAUAAAUCCAGUAUGCAGCGUAUAAAUAGAAGUGUGCAGUAUGAUAUCAGAUUCACAUAACCCAGUUGAUGAGGAGAAACAUGGCAUACUCUGCAAAGCCUUCUCACCUUCUUCUCUUUGUUUUCUUUCUCUCAUCACUUGAAUCCAUUCUUGCAACAACACGAGAGGGAGAAGCUCUUGUGAAGUGGAAGAAUAGCCUAGCCCCUUCUUCUUUUCUCGACUCUUGGUCACUCACCAAUCUCGAUAAUCUUUGUAACUGGACUGGCAUUACUUGUAACUCUGCAGGUUCAGUCUCUGAGAUUAACCUUAGUGAGAAACAACUUGAUGGAAUGCUGUCCGAGUUUGGUUUCACUUCAUUUCCAAAUCUCAACAAUCUCACCCUCGCAUACAACUUCUUCUCGGGUCCAAUACCGCCAGCCAUUGAGAAUUUAACACAGCUUCAAUACCUUGAUUUAAGCUUUAAUUAUCUCGAUGGUCCCAUUCCGUUCCAGGUUAGCCAUCUUCAGAGGUUGCUCAUCUUAAACCUGUCACAGAAUGCAUUGCAAGCUCCAAAUUGGUCCCAUUUCUCUCCCAUGCCUUUCUUGCGCAUCCUCGACCUUAAUAGCAAUCAUCUUGCGUCGAACUUCCCAGAAUUUAUAUCCAAUUCUCAUAGCUUGGCUAUCCUUGACCUUGGAUAUAACAACUUUACAGGUGACCUUGUGCGUGAAUUUACUAAUCUACAAAAUCUUGAAACCCUCUACCUAGAUGAAAAUUCUUUUGAGGGGCCAUUUCCGCCGGAUGUAUUCAGGCUUUCCAAAUUAAAACAUCUUCGCCUGUCAGGUAACAAAUUCUCAGGUUCAAUUCCCAAUGACAUAAGGUUGCUUUGUGAUCUUGAAUCCCUAUAUUUAAGCAACAAUUCCUUUAAAGGACCCCUUCCAUCAAAUAUAUUCAAGCUUUCAAAAAUAAAACAUCUUGUUCUUUGGAGUAAUAAGUUUUCUGGUUCUGUUUCCAAUGAUAUAGGUUUACUUUCUGAGCUUGAAACCCUCGAUCUUAACUCUAAUUUUUUUGAGGGGCCGCUUCCGUCAAAUAUAUUCAAGCUCUCCAAACUAAGGUAUCUUUCCCUUUGGGGUAAUAACGUUUCAGGUUCUAUUUCCAAUGAUAUAGGUUUGCUUUCUGAGCUUGAAACCCUCGAUCUUAACUCUAAUAUUUUUGUGGGGCCGCUUCCGCCAAAUUUAUUCAAGCUCUCCAAACUAAAGAUUCUUUCCCUUUAUAAAAAUAACUUUUCAGGUUUUAUUUCUAAGGAUAUAGGUUUGCUUUUUGAACUUGAAACCCUCUAUCUUGGCUCUAAUUUUUUUGAGGGGCCGCUUCCCCCACAUGUAUUUAGGCUCUCCAAAUUAAGAGAUUUGGGUCUCAGAGACAAUAGAAAUUUAUUUCAAGGAAGUAUUCCUAUUGGACUGGGACUCUUGACUAAUCUCAGGUACUUGAGUCUAUUUUCCAAUGAUCUCAGUGGCUAUAUUCCAUCUGAGAUUGGAAACCUGAAGCUACUAAAAGUUCUUGAACUCGGUUCUAAUCAAUUGACAGGACCGCUUUUAAAGAUAGUUUCUAAUCUCAAAAAUCUUAUAUAUCUUGGUGUAAGUGGUAAUAGUCUUAGUGGAAAUAUUCAGAGUGACUUGUGGAAAUAUAACGAUCAUCCAACUUUGGAAUACAUCAAUUUAAGUGGGAACCAUUUUACGGGUAUAGUUUCUCUCUAUAGAUCUUUGUCAUAUGUAACUAAGCUAGUAAUCUGAUUAUUGCCUUUUCACCAAAGUUUCAACAAUCUUGACAGGUGAGCUUCCAACAACAAUUUGCAAUGUCACAUCCCUUUUGCUUCUUGAUUUGUCAAAUAAUGAAUUAAGUGGUGCACUUCCAAACUGUUUCGGAAAUCUUGCUGAUAGAUUGCUUUACGUUAAUCUUGCUAAUAAUCAGUUUCGAGGAACAAUACCAACUACUUUCUCCAGGAGUUGUCAGCUGAAAUAUCUAAACAUGGAUAAUAAUGAGUUUGAAGGAUUGUUGCCCCCGUCUUUGGAAAACUGUAAGCACUUGAGAAUUCUUGAUAUUGGCAAUAAUAAAAUAGGUGGUACAUUUCCGUCAUGGCUUUAUGUACUUGGAGAGCUAGAAGUCCUUGUCUUGCAAUCAAAUAAACUCUAUGGUACAAUAAGUGGAAGGAGCAUAGAAGAUCCCUUCCGCAAGUUGCGGAUUGUGGAUCUGUCCAACAACCACUUCACAGGCCAUUUGCCAAUUCAAUACUUUAAGAAUAUGAAAUCAACUGAUAAUUUGUAUAGUUAUCAGCUUUCCACAGCAGUUUUUUCUUUCCAUUAUGAAGCAGCAGUCUCAUUAAUUGUGAAGGGAACAGAGUAUGAAGUAGCAAAUAACCUUCAUAUUUACACAGCCAUUGAUCUGUCGUGCAACAAAUUUCAGGGAGAAAUUCCAAAGGUUACUGGAGAGCUUAAAUGGCUGGCAUUGCUCAACUUAUCUCAUAAUAGUCUAACAGGACCUAUCCCGUCAUUGCUGAGAAAUAUGAAAGAACUCCAAUCUUUAGAUUUGUCCUCAAAUCAACUGACGGGGGCUAUUCCACCUCAGUUAACUGCGCUGACAUUUCUAGAGGUCUUAAACCUCUCGGGAAACCAUCUUAGUGGAGAGAUUCCUCAGAAAGGACAAUUCAGCACAUUCAACAAUGAUUCGUAUCUAGGAAACUCCGCUUUAUGUGGAUCACCAUUGACGAAGAAAUGUGCAAACACAGCAUCACCUCCACAAGAAGUCGGAAAUGUUGAUGAAGAUUAUGCGGGUGAUGAAUUGACAUGGGAAGCAAUCAUGAUCGGAUAUGGAUGUCGACUGAUAUGUGGAUUGUCAUCUGCAUACAUUGUUCUCAAACUAGGAAAGCCUUGGUAGUUUGUGAGAUAUGUCGAAGUACUGCAACAGAAGUUGAUGAAAAGAUGCUUGAAGAAAGGUACUGGUCGACCAAUAAGAACUUGAAAGUUGUUGUCCUGGUAGACAUUUCUGAACCAGUAGUAUUUGGUAUUAUGUGAUAUUCUGUUUGGUCCGGACUCAUAACGAUUUCGCUUGCUUCAGGAGUAUUAAUAUUAACCUUCCUAUCUUGAUCAAUGUUAAUGCAAAUUAAAAUGAAAAGGCAAAAAAUAUGCAUCAAAUCCCCUCCUGUUGUACCAAGAUUCAUUAAUUAAGAGGCAUGGCUUUUGUCUCUCCAAGUCUUCGAGAAAUUAUUCCAAGUCUUCUUUGGAGGCCUACUGCCUCAACAACCUUUCAAAGAUGUAGCAGUUGCUCGACAGUGAUAUAUAUAUUAGAUAAAGACUAUGCAACAACCAACGUGACAGAAAAAUCAAAAUAGGACAAAAUCCGUACGAAUCAAAAUAGUUUAUUUCUAAGGGGAAUAGCUGAAUUAAAUUGUAAGAGAAGUAAAACAGAUUCUUUUAUAUUUUGGAAUAUAACUGAAAAAGAUUUUGAGAUAAUUUUCAGAAAUCAAACCAGUCAAAUAAAUAUUCGCUGAAGGAACAGAGUAAAGAUACAACGAAUAUAACAAGUUGUAAGAUGAAUAUCGCUGAAUCAAACAGGGUAGAACCCGUACAAAAACGCCAAACAGAAAGGAUCAAAACAGAGUAAUCAAAUUUACCUAACACUAAUAGAAGUAGUGCUGAAUAAAAGAGAACGAAAUCUGUACCUUAAAAAUAGCAAACGCAAACACUAACCAACCUCACAAGGGACCAUCUAAACUCCCUAACCCCGACUUUAUCUUAAACUCCAAAUAUCUCCCUGACUCCAAUAUGCCCAGAACAAUAAACGAAUGUUUUGACCUUCUAAACGAUGUUUUCUGGAAUAACGCAAAACACGAAAAUCGUAGAGAACGAAAAGACCUUUCCGAAAAGGUAAGGCUCGUCAAGAACGGAGUCAUAACGAAUCGGGAAUUAAAUAAAACGUCCGCUGAUUCAGAACUCAAAGCGAGAACAGGAUCUGAUUAAGUUUUGUAAUUUUGAGAACAGUUUGAAACAUAAUCUGAGAAAACAUUAUAAACGAAAGUAUAUGAGAUUGAAAGAGCUUUCCGAAACAUCAAGAAUCAUCAAAUUCCGAUAAGAAUUGAAUUUUCUACGAAUUUUACAAGACAGCUGAUUUGUGAGAAUAAAGCCCUACGAAUUUUUGUCAUAAAAAUGAAGAGAAGGUUGAGUAGCUCUCAAAAGUAUAUAAAAAGAAUGAGAGAACAAAUCAAUAUACUCCCUUUGUCCCUCUCGUUUAUUUACAGUGUUUGACACGCAUUUUAAAGCGCAUAUAAAACAUAGUUCUAUGAUUUAUUUUCAAAAUUUUUCUUUUUUGUAUAAAAAUUUAAACAUCAAAUUUUUAUCUAGAAAAAAAGGAAGUUCAAAAUAAUUUAUUGAACUACGUUUUACGAGAGCAUUAGAAUGCGUGCCGAGCCCCCGUCCCCCAAUGUAAACAAAUGAGAGGGACGGAAGGAGUAUAUAUACAGAGUCUUGAGACCCUAAUUCUAAACCUAUCCAUUAUCUGAAUGCAAGGCUGAUCUAUAUUUUAAGUACACUAUCCUAAUUCAAUUUUAAAUCCUAUUCAUAAUCUAAUUUUAAUCCUUUAUUAUUAUUACUAACCAAUUAAUAUUAUUUUAAAAAAAUACUGGAUAUUACAUUCCUGAUCAGACUAGUGAUCGGAUUGCAACCGCAAAGCAGCCUAUAUAUAGUGACAAUUAAAUACACAACAAAACAACUUCUUUCUUCUCUCUUGGGUUAUAAUACUCAGACGGACAAGCUAUAUCUGAGGCGAUUUUCUGGGCGAUUAAACACACAAUAAAAGCAGCUUCUUCUUCUUCAAUUAAGGUUUAUUCUACACCCAAUCACAUACACACACACACUUUAAUAUGACUAGUGAGUUCAAUUUUUGGUGGUAUUAUAUGAUUAUCAUGUUCUCUUUUUAAAUAUUAGUAACGUUAUUUUCGGAGUGGACUCUGUUGAUGUUUAAAUUUGAUAUAGAUAUUGUAAUUGAAAAUUUAUGUUGAUUUGUUGUUCAGAUUUCAAGUAUUAAUUUGUGUGUGAUCAAAAUUUUGCUUCUACAUCGAUUAUCAGGAGGAAAUAUGAGGCCGAUCUUGAUCAAAGGACACGAAAGGCCAUUAACAUAUCUAAAGUAUAACAAGGAGGGUGACCUCCUCUUCUCCUGCGCAUUAGACAGAAACCCCGCUGUUUGGUACGCUGAUAAGGGAGAGCUUUUAGGCACUUACCGUGGGCACAUUGGUUCUGUUUGGGGUUGUGAUGUUUCUAGGGAUUCAAAACUUUUAAUAACUGCAAGUGCGGAUCAAACAGCAAAGGUAUGGGAUGUUCAAACUGGGUCUGAGCUGUUCACGUUUGAAUUUAAGUCCACUGUGAAAUCAGUAGAAUUUGGUGUCGGAGACAAGCUUGCUGUCAUUGCAACAGACUCCUUUCGUGACAUGUCUUCUGCAAUUCAUGUCAAACACAUAGCCAGAGAUCCUAGUGAACAGUGCGGUGAUUCUGUGAUUGAAUUCUCACCUGGAGGAAGAAUCAAUAGAGCUGUUUGGGGACCUUUAAAUAGGACCAUAAUAAGUGGUGGUGAACAAGGCGUUGUUCGUGUGUGGGACGUUGAGACAAAGAAAGUGAUUUAUGAGUCAGACAAGGAUACUGGUCAUCAGAAGGCCAUUACAUCACUUGCAAAAUCAAGAGACGGUUCACAUUUACUUACUGCUUCCAUUGACAAAUCAGCUAAGCUUUGGGACAUCAGAUCAAUGAAACUUCUCAGGACAUACAAGGCUGAAGCCCCAGUUAAUGCAGUUGCACUCUCUCCACUACUUGAUCAUGUCGUGCUCGGAGGUGGUCAAGAUGCAUCGACUGUUACAAACGAUCCUCGUGCUGGCAAGUUUGAGGCCAAAUUUUAUUCCAAGGUCCUUGAAGAAGAAAUUGGAUCUGUGAAAGGACACUUUGGUCCGAUAAAUGCAUUGGCAUUCAACCCUGAUGGAAAAAGUUUCGCAAGUGGAGGUGAAGAUGGUUAUUUGCGAUUACAUCACUUUGAUCAUGACUACUUCAACAUGGCGAUUUAAUUCGAAUUACUUACAUUGCUACGUCUUUUUUUUUUUUUUUCCGGUUUUAUUCAAGUUAUUUUCUGGUUUUUAUGUUGAUCUUAUGUUCUUUGUUAUAAAUAGAAGUGUGGUUCCUUUUAAAACUAUUUACAUAAGUUUUUGGCUUUUCAUGUAAUUUAAUCAAAGUAAAUGCCAUGAGAUCCUGAAUAUAUCUACUUAUCUAUCUAUCUACUUAUUAAAGCAGAAUCAGGGGAAAAAUAUACCAGAAAUUGGAUGAAAAAUUUACAUACACACCCUCAAUUAUUCAUCAAUUCCGAAAUUGGCCUGUAGUUUAGCUGUUAACUUGCAGGAUUUUUGUAAAAGUAGGAAUCAGCGAUUCUUAGGUACCCCAGUGACCCCGAAUCGGUUUCUCAGAUUCUUGGAAAUCCUCGGUCAGUUGAUUUAGAUUGUGGGCAUAUAUACACCUAUAGUCAGCCUCCGGCGGUGCAAUCUUUUGGUGGUGUUUUUCAGCCUUUUCUGCUAUAGCGAUUCUUGUUAAAACAUUCAGGUGCUAGGGUUGUUUUGUUGGUAAAGGGAAUUGGAUUGUUGUAUCUGCGGUUGUGGCAAAGGUAAUUUUCUUGCCCUUGCUAUUCUUUUGGGAUGUCUGAUUAUAAAUAGCCCUUCUAACUUUGUUCACCUGUUCUGUAUGAUGUGUGUCAUUUGUGAUUGAGUCGAGCAGUAUAUCAUUUUGAUGCAUAUUGUUAAUUUCACUCUGGGAAAUUUUUAUGCUGAUGUUUGGGCAAUUAAUUCUGGUUAUUUCGUUGAUUUUGUUUGUGGUUUGUUUCCACCUGCCAUUAGAACUGUAAAGUAAAGUGUAUUUAUUGAUCAUGAUUCAAGUGUUUGUAGAUAAUCGAUGUGGGUGACAAAGAAGCUGCAAAUGAUGAUGGUUCUUCACAAAUUUUAUCUGCUUUGCUUCCUUUUGUUGUGGCUCUCACCAUGGUUGUCAAGUCGACGACUGCUGUUGCUGCUCUUGCUCAGCCCUCAACUUUCACCUGGUAACAACUUUUGUAUGUUUGGUAAAAUAUUUUGAUUUUUUUUUUUUUGUAAGGGUAAAAUAUUUUGAUUGUGAUAAGCUAAUUUAUUGUUUUUUAAUGAUUCCAACACUACAACAGAUUUAGCAUCACACAACGGUUUUUGCCCGUUGUCUGAGACCACGGAAAACCGUGGUCUAUCGAGACGCCGUCUGAUAUGCGUAUCAGACAACGGUGCGCACCGUUGUGUGAUAGUGCUAAACACGAUGGUUUACGUUAAAAAAAUUGUUGUGCAACACCCAGAACCAACAACGUUUACUCUUAAACGUGGUGUUGUUAGAAACACUCCUUAACAAUAGUCGAUUUCAAAAAUGGUGUUGUUAGAGAGACUAUCCACAACAGUUUUAUUAGCUCGCAAGACUUGUUGGAAAGAUGAUCAUACAACAGUAGUUGAAAUAGAGAAGCUCGUUCUUUCCUCUCUUGUACAACGGGUUUCGAACACCAAGCCACUUGUGUAAGGCCCCUUCUAACAAUGUUUUAAUUAGUGAGGUUGUUGUGUUUAGUUACGUCAGACAAUGGUUUUCUUUCAUAGUUGGUUGUCGUUUACAUGUUUUAACAAUUGUUUCUGUUUCAUCAUUAUUGCAAGUCAUUUGUUUGGACAAUGGUUUUGUGACAAUAAAUCAUUGUUUCCAGUUUUAUGAGACAAUGUUUUUAAUGAAUAAUGAUUAUUGUAUCAUGUUCAGUAUGACAAUGGCCCUGUAUUAUCCCAUUACCUAAAUACAUAAUAGACAAUGAUUAACAUAACUCGAUUAAACUAAGCUAGAGAAUGUAAUUAAAAAGCCAAAAAUUUGUAAACAAAAAAUUUCAUUAUGCACUAAUAACCAUUGUUACAACCAAAUCAUAUAUACCAUCCAAUAUCCAGAAAUAUUUCCCCCGAGGAUGGCAAAUCUCAAAAAUAUAAAUACCUACAAUAAAUGGUAGCAUCUAGAGAGGCAUAUGUGACUACAAGAGUCUUUUGUGAGCUUUUCAACUACCCAGCCCAGGAACAAUCCUCUGAUUGCAUUCUUUUGAUUCGGAUGGAGCCCUCCUGCUAUCUCUUUUGGAAGUGACUCUACUGCAACCACCUGUAAUACAUAAAAAAGUUCUUGAUAUGCUUUUCGUACAAAGAAAUUAAUGUGGUUGAGGAGUAUGUUUCGAGUUCAAAAUAUACCAGUGUGCCAUCUUCCAUGGUUUCACGUCAUUCAUACACAAUAAAUUGUAGCAAUUGUGAGCCCUAUCAACAUACCAGUCUUUCUGUAUUUAGAGUUGGAGCAGCUAAGCCAAAAUCAGACAAAUGGGGAUUGAGUUCAUCAAGUAAAAUAUUUGCUGACUUUAAGGUACUAUUAACAACAUAAGGAACAACAUCAGCAUCUUGCUUCUAUCAUCAGUGAAGUAUAAAAACUCUUGCAAGCUACUAUUUGCAAUAUAAUCAUGGACCAGAAGACGUACCAUGUUCAGCGGAAUAUCAUUCAAAUCUCUGGCAUGGUUGUUGUGAUGGAUAAAAAUAAGUUCCUUUAUGACCUGAAUUAAACAUUAAAAGAUACCAAAUUAACCGAAAUGCGUAGAGAUGCACAAAAAGUCCAGGCCCGAAAAUAUGGUCAUAGAGAUUUAAAAAAAGUCGAAAAUAAAGACAAACCAUGUGAGUAAAAAGCAGAGUAAGGAGGAUUGAUGGUAGUGUUUGAUAUAGAUGCCAUGUGGGUAGAUCCAUAUGAGCUGCUGGAAGCAGAGAGAUUUCUUCCAAACUCUCUUACAUUAUUGACAACAUUUGUGUUAACAUAUAUGUGUUGUAUAUGAAAUUUUAAAGAUUAGAUACAUAAAUAUAAUAUUAUUCGGAAAAUAUAACAUACCAUCUCGAGUCAUUUUCUUGCUUGGUCAUUAAAAUAACCUACAGCAAGUAAUGUACCCUCACUCUAUAAGAAGAAGAUGGACAAAAAGAAGUCAGUUGUAUGGAUGCCUCGGAAUAUAUACAAGAAUGUCCCAGGGAUAUUUAUUCAGUUGAUGAAGCAUGUAUAUCUAGAAAUUAACAAACCUCAUCAGCCAAAACAAAUAUAAAAUUAAUAAAAUCAUCUGUCUCCAAACACACAGAUUAAAAUCAAAGCACAAAUGUUAUCACACAAAACCAAGACAACACAAGAUCCAUCACUAAAACACACAACUACUACUAAAAUCAAACACACAAACAAAAAUCUCAUAUAGAUUCAAACUUUAUCCCCAAAAUCAAGUAUAAUUACACAGUAAAAAGCAUUCGUUUACCUCUUCAUAAGGUGAAUUGUUGUUAAACUAAUCAGCACGGUCAACACCGGCAUCAAAAACUUGAAUGGCCUUUGGGGUUAUCGCCGACAGAACAGAUCUGAGUAAGCUUUGUAGAAAAUGAGAUAGAGACGGGGGAGGGAGGGGAGAGUUCAGAGGAGGGUGAGGGAGAGACAGAGGGCGAGAGGGAGGGGAGGGGCGAGAUGCUUUAACAAAUCAAUUGCGGCAAGAGUGGGGAAGACACAGCCGCACCAGAAGAGGAAGAGAUAGAUUCAGAAGAAGAGAGAUUUACUCUCACUUACAAAUUUUAGGUCAAAAUAGAGGGGGGGAAAUGAAAAUUUGGAUAAACAAGUAGAGAGGGAAUUGAAAAUUUUUGUAAGGUGGAAAUCAUUCGUUCAUCCCGUGUAAAUAACAAAAUCAAUGUAUUAUAAUAUCCAUAUAGUUGAAUUAUAAAUAAAUGAAUUUUUUAAAUUAUAUUUUUGUAUUUGAUUACAAAUAUUUCAUAUUAAAUAAAUUUUAAAAACAAUUUUAAUGUAGAUGUCAAUAUCUAAUUAUUUUAGUUAUUUGUGAAAAUCUUCAAAAAAUUAAAAAUUAAUCUGGUAAAUCUUUUUGACAAAAUAUAGUUGAAAUACAACUAUUUAAUAAAAAAUUAAUAAUUCUUUAAAAGUUAAAAUUCUCAUUUUCUCGAUGUAUUCCGUUUUUGUACUCUUUGUCUAAAUAAAAUAUACACAAAUUUUUAUUAUUCAUUUGUAAUAAGAAGAUAUUUGUGUGGUUCAAAUGUCAAUAUUAGUAUAAAUUUCAUAUUUACAAUAUAGGAUGUACUUAAUAGAAGUUUUGUGAUCUAUAUGAUUAACCCCGUAUUAAUUUUGAAAUAUUUUCGAUCAUCCAAACAUAUAAAGAUCUUAAUAUCUAUCAAUAUUAGUCAUGUAUAAUAUUUUUAAAUUUUUCUAUAUUUAUUUAUAUCUUGUUGUAACAAAACUAGUGAUGAUCGUUGUUUUUAUGUCAUUUCUUAUUUUUGUACUUUUUAUCAAAAAAUUAUAUUUAUAUUAUGCAUAUGUCCAAAUUUGUAUUAUUCAUUUGUAAUUGGAAGAUAAUUUUGUUGUUCGGACCUGAGUAUUACUAUGUGUUUUAUGUUCACAAUUUAGGAAGCACUAGAUAGAAUUUUUGUUAUCUACAAAAUUUGCUCUGAAUUAAUUUAUAAAUAUUUUUUUCGAUGAUAUAACCGUACGGAUGUUAAUAACUAACAAUAUUAGUCAUGCAUAAAAAAAUUAGAUUUUUUUAUGCUUAUUUUAUAUGCUUUUUUUACAAAACUAGUCAAUUGUAAAUUUUGUCUUAUUGUAAAAAGGUAAUUUUUGUCUUGUAGUGUCCAACAGACAACGGUACUUAUAGGCACGUGUGUUGUAUGAGUUAAAAUGACACAACUGUUAUGGACAUUAUACAGUCAUAACAAAAUCUAUUGUCUAAAAUAGGCUCAAACAAUGUUUCGGGAAAAACUCGUUGUGUGUAAGUAGUGUAGACAAUGGUUUCUGGGAGGCAAACCGUUGUAUAAUAAAUUUUCAUUUUUAAGAGUUAGAAAUUCACAUUUUCUUGAUUAGUUCUUGUUUUUGUACUCUUUGUCUUAACAAAUAUACUUAUAUUAUGUAUAUAUGCAAAUAUCAAUUGUCAUUUGUACUAUGAAGAUAAUUUUGUAGUUCGAACAUGAGUAUUGGUAUGUGUUUUAUAUUUACAAUUUAGAAAGUACUGAAUAGGAUCUUUGCUAUAUAUAAGAUUAGCUCCGUAUUAUUUUAUAAAUAUUGAUUUUGAUGAUCUAACCGUACGGAUGUCGAAAACUAACAAUAUUAGUCAUGUAUAAAAAAAAUCAAUUUUUUAUGUUUAUUUUGUAUGUUUUUUUUAACAAUACUAGUCAAUUGUAAAUUUUGUCUUACUGUAAAAAGGUAUUUUUUGUCAUGUAGUGUCUAACAUACAAUGGUUUUUAUAUGCACCUAUGUUGUAUAAUUGAAAAUGAUACAACUGUUACAGAAGUAUACCGUUCUAAGAAAAUCUAUUGUCUAAAUUAGGCUCAAACAACGGUUCACGGAAAAUCCGUUGUAAAAAAGUAGUGUAGACAACAGUUUAUGGGAAGGAAACCGUUGUAUAAUAAAUUUUCAUUUUUAUGAGUUAAAAAUUCGCAUUUCCUUGAUCAAUUCUUGAUCUAAUGCAAGAAAAACAUAUGACUAUCAAGAAAUUGAUUGUUUUGUUAUAACUUUGGUUAGGACUUUGAAUCUUUGCACUCUCUUAUGUACAUCCAUUUUCUUAAAAUUCAUUCAAUCAUACAACAUUUUAUUAGUUAGUAGAGGCUUGUCUAUAAUGCCAUGCUACAAUGCUAACAAAAACACUUGUAUGUUAGCUUCCCAGUCACACAACACUAUAUAAAACCCUUGUUUGAACUCCUCGUAAACAACACAACAAAUAAAACACUUGUCUAAUUACAACGACGGUUUCUUGAACUAUUGUCUGAAGUUUCUUCACACAUCGGCUCUCAAAACAGUUGUCUAACAUGCAUCAUUACACAAUACCACAGUUAAGAAACCAUUGUCUAAUUGAAUUUACUAGACAACAAUUUUUUAACCGUUGUAGGUCGUAGAUGUUAGACAAUAGUUUUUCGAGGCCGAAAAGAAAGUGUUGUGUCUUUUUUCCAAACAACGCUUUUUUCACCGUGCGUUGUCUGAUCAGUGUUGUCUAAUGGUGUUAUUGUUGUAGUGCAAGUUGGAUUUAUUUAAUGCUAAUAGGUACUUGUUCAAGUGAGGAGAUUUAACUGAGAUUCAGGUUCUGGCAUUUGUCUUGUGUUGUUAUUUGUUUAUGUACCGGUUUUGAGAGUCAUUAGAGAUAUGUAAGGUAUUUAUUCCUAUUUUUUAUUAUUAGUAUUACAUCGUUUUCGGGUAAAAUAAUCGAUGAUUGUUUGUUUUAACUGUGUAAUAGCCUUAUGAUCUGCCAACUUAUGUAGACAUGUGAUAAACAUGUUGACUGUGGUCAAUAUUUUAGAUGAGGUAGUGUGUUUGUUGUUAUUGCAAGACUUUUUGGAAUAAUCAUUGUCAAAAAGAACUAACGAUGAAUGGAAAUGAAGUUCUGAAGAAGUGAUGAUACAAUGUUAAAGAGAUUGCUUUUUGUUGAAUUUUUCUGACUCUGGAAUUAAACUGCGUUAGUAUCUUCUUCUCUGAUUUUCCUUAUUUGGUAGACCUACUACUUUCAGAAGAUACAUGUGGUAUUUGUUUGGUUGAUUAAUUUUGGUAAGAUACAGUUUCCGUUUGGAAUCAGACUAUCCAUUGAACAAUCAGACUAUCCAUUGAAGAUUUUAUGCUCGCUCUUAAAUGGUUGAUCCACUGAUCUUAUUCUUACUUCAUAUGAGCUAAAGCCAGCUCUAGGGGUGUUUCUCGCAUACAAAAAAAUUAAAAAAAAUAUUAUGAAACUAUACUUUGCAGGAGUCUCAAAAUAAAUAAGUGUAAACGAUAAACUUAAACACCUAACUUCUUAAACACCUAGCAUAACACGGGUGAGCAUAUGGUCAAUCAUACCAAAUUGAAUAAAUCGAAAUUAAAAUUUAAAUAUUUUUAGACUGGACCAAACUGAAAUAUUUUGUCCGAUCCAGUUCAGUAUGAUCGAAAAGAAUUGAUUCUUUUGGAAAAAGUAACUUAAUAUUAUAAAUAAAAUUAAGAUUUAUAAUUUAUUUAAAAACUAUCAAUGAAUCAUCAACACUUCUUCAAAAAUAGAUACAUUUGAAUUUAUACAUUAGAUAUUAUAACUUCUAAAAAGUAUAUAAAAAUAUAUAAUAUAAAUAUAAAUUUAUAGUAUAAUUUUUUUGACUAUUUAGAAUAUAUUUUUAACCCAAAUAUUUUUUUUUAAAAUCAAAUUUUAUUUCGAUGAACUUUUCUAGAAAAUUAAGAUAGAAACGAAACUCAUUCCUACAGUAAGGUUUCAGUUUUUCGGCUGCAAUACGGUUUUGCUCAUCAUUAGCAUAAAUGGAGUAUGUAGUAAAUAUGAAUGAAUGGCAUGGGAAUUCUUGGAAUGGUAUCAAGAAUUAAGAUUAAAGCACAUUAGAAGUUUAGAACCAUGAAUGUUAUUUUUGAAAAUAGUAAUCCCUCCGUUUCUUAUCACGUUUCUCGUUUGAUAUGUCGGAACGGUUCAUAAUAUGAGACAAAUUAGUAAUUUAUGUCCAAUUUAUAAAAUUAAAUAUAGUCAUGAGUGAUCUUGUUGGAUUCGUAUCUAUGAGUACUUUAAUAAGAUGAAAUUUUUAUAUUUAAUGUUAAUACAAAAUUAAAAUAUAUUAAUUAAAAAUAUAUAUUGACAAACGUGAUAAAAACAAACAGCAAAAAUAUUAAGAAACGAAGCGAGGGAGUAAUAAAUAUGCUUUAUGCUGAACUGAAUUGAGUGCGUGGAAGCUUGGGGAGGCAGCUUACUACAGUAUCUACGUGUAUCUGUAUAUGCAAUAAAGACACAAAUACUCACAGGAGAUUAUUUUUCAAACACUUAAUUUCCCCCUUUCCUUCUCGUAAUAUUCAACUCAAUUCAUCACAUCAUCUUCUUCAGACAAACAACUAUACUCACUUCAGAUCAUCACAUCAUCUUCUUCUUGACUUCAGAUCCACAUUUCAAACCCUAAUCAUUCGCUUGGUCCCCUCCCUCUCUGUAAUAAUACAAUUCUUUCUACACACAAACAAUAACAUCAUCAUCAUCGAGUGAAGCUUCAUAUCCACAUUCCAAGACCUAAUUACUCGCCAAACCACUCUCGCUCUCAUGGAGGAGGCCUUAGAAAUGGCGAGAUCGAAUGAUACCAAGAAGCGAAGGGCGGGAGUGGAUCGGCUGCAACAGCUUCUUGAAGAUUCAAGAAAGUGCUUGUCAUCGUCGGAAGUGACGGCGCUAGUCGACACGUGUCUUGAGCUUUUGAAGGACACGUGUGUUGCUGUCGUCGGCCGCGGAGUUGUUUAAGUUGCAUUCUGAUAGAAUUAUGACGGCGGUUGUUGAUAGGUUGUGGGAUGGGGAGCAGCGGGUUCGAGACUCGGCGAGGAGGCUGUUGAUUACCCUUAUGGAGGUAAUUUAUUAAUUUUCUUGGGGAAUGCCAGUUGAUUUUAUGGAAUGUGAUAUAGUAUAGUUUCUAUCAAUCGAGUAUCUUAAAUUGAUGACUACAACAAGUAUUAUCGUUUUGCACGCAAGUGGCUAAACUUUUAUGCAUGCCAAAUUGCCAAUCGGGUUUCAAUUUCAGAUCUCUGCCUUCACUUGCAUACGAACACAUUUGAGUUUAAAAAGAUGAAUCACCUCAUAAAUAUCAUUAAUAAUUAGUUGGUGUUAAUAGUGCACUGAAAAAUGGGAGAGAAUGACAAGACUAUAGACAGUAGUAGGGCUGAGCGAGAUGUUAAUUGAGUACUUAUAUGAUGCUUCACUAUGUUCAGGGAGUUAGUUUAUUGCUUCUUUCCUACACUUUCACUUGAAUUAGUACUAAUUAAUAAUUCCUUCUCUAUCUUGUAAAAUUUCUCCUUCAUUGCUAAGCAUAUCUACUCUGAUUAAUUUUCAAACAAACUUUACUACUGAGAUAGGAUUGUUUGCUGGGUAGGAGCACCAUAGAAUGAGUAGCUCUAUUGCUAUAUACUGAAGGGUGCGGUGGCAUCCUCGGUUAUAUUUUAAGUGCUACUUCGAAUUUAGUUGUUGGCUUUUGCAAUUUAUUUUCAUUCACAAUGUUUUAAUAAUGAUACCCCAUAUUAGGUGAGAGAUAUUAGUGCCAGGCUGGAGCAGAUUCAGAUUCAACCAGCAACUUCCGUCUCUUCCAUCUCUGAAGGACUUAAUAGUAAUCUUCUCCACCAUGCACCUGAUUUAGAAGUAUAAUGUAUUAAUGUGAACUUUUUAUUUAUAUUUAUUUCCAUGUGUAGUAAAACGAUCACAUCUUUUAAGAGCUUAGUACAAUGUUAUGUACAAUGUGUAAUUAAUUAAGAGGUUUGUACAUAGUUUAGUAUGAAAUGGAAAAAGUUUGUACAGAAGUUUAUUUGUUCACAUUACAGCUGAGACGAGCAAGCAAAAACCAUCAGAGAAUUCAAAGGAUAAUGAUAAAGGAAUUGAGCCCCUACUGGAACUGCCGGAAGAUAUUAUCUUUCUACAAAUUCUGCCUAAGUUGAACAGCCUAGAUGUUCUUCCCCUGGUUUUGGUGGCUAGGAGUUGGGCCUCCUUUCUUUUGCAUGAGGGACCCAGACUGAUGUUAUUCAACCCACCUAAAAAUCCUACACCUAAACACACUUCAAUUUUAUUUGAUGUAAGCCCGAUUCCGUACUCUGUUUCAGUUUUGUUAUCCCCAGAGAGCCGCCAACUGUGUCAGUCUAGGUGUAUAAUUGUUCCAAUCUUGAAUUCUGGUAUAAAACAUGCUGUUCCAAUUUUCACUGACUACCCAGAUUUUUUAAAGCAGGGGGAAGUCCCAACUGUAGUGGGAUCUUCCAGUGGUAUUAUAUGCCUCUAUAUCACCAGUUCUCCCUCUAGAUACAUCCUGCUAAACCCCUUAACAAAACAUUAUAAAGAGGUUGGGGCCCCUUAUAUUUUUGUACCAGAUUGUGAGCAAGCUUCUGUAACUUCUGGAUUCUUUUAUGAUGAAUGGACUGAUGACUUAAAGAUCGUACAAUUGUUGAGAUGGGAUCAAAGGCUUACGAGCUUGGAUGCUCCGGGACCCAAAAAGAUACAUGCGCUUCGCGUUUGUUCUGUAAAUUCUGCAAAUUGGGAAGUUGUUGACUUGGGGCCAAUGAAAGUCUCCGAUCGUCUUGGUGGUGUGUUAUUUUUGCCGAAAGCUCUCGUCACAUUUGUAGAUGCGUUUGCUACAGAGCCGGAGAUUAACUUUUGGUUGGAUUUUCGUGAUUGCCGUCUAAAGGCAGUUCCGGAAUUAGAAGGGGCUGAACUCAGUAUGAAAUCGGUUUGGUGGAAUAACCAGGUUGGUGUUAUUGUUGGAACUGACAGCAUUUAUGUCCUUGAUGAGGAGUUUGCAGCCUGGUAUUACUGCACAGUGCUUCCGGACGUGGGAAAUUGUGUAUUCUGUUUAGAUGAGAACAAAAUUGUGGGGAUGGGGGCUGGGGAAAGCGGAAGCGUAAAUGAUUACAAUAUUCUUAAUUCCACAAGCGGCGAAAUCCAACAUAUAAUCUCGUUGCCUUCUUGCAGGGUUUUUCCGUAUGUUCCUACAUUCUACUAUAUCGAGGGAAUGGCUAAUUUUUAGACUUUUGCAAGUCACAAUGUAAUAAAAGAAUGUAAACAGUACAUAGCAGCAAUACCUCUCUAUAGCAUAUAGUUUCAGAUACAACAUGUAUUGUGAUGCCAGCUUGUAGAGUACAAGUAUUAUUCUAGGUGAUUGAUUGUUGAGAAUAAUAGAGGCAACCGGUUGCAUGAUGGUAUCCUUGAAACUUUCAUAAUUACUAAUAUCGAACUCAGAUAGCAUGCAAUUUUUCCGGAGAUCAUAUUCUUUAGCUAUCAACUAACUCUACAUUAUAUAUUAUGUCCCAGAUCAAUGAGUUUGUUUGCUAUAAUGUCCUAUUUUAUAUGUGAUUUAGGAAUAUGUUCCAUUAACUUGUUAUCACCCUCAAAUCUAAAAUCUAAGACUACCAUGUCCUUAGUUUAUUUUGUUUAAUAUUUGUGAAUAGACUCUAAUCUGAUCAUAUCAAUUAUAUUUUAGUAACAGAUGUUUAAAUGCAUAUGUUUUUGUUAUCUAGUUAUUUCAAUGAUGAUGGGAUUAAAUUUUUUUAUUCUUGUAAUAUGUACAAUGAUUGGUUUAGCUUUAAUAUUUAUUUUUAUUUUUAUUUACCAAUUUUAAUGUAGGUAAAGUUUUAUCAGCAAAUUUUAUUUUUUGUAUGCAGUAAUCUGUUCUAAUAUCAAAUUUUGAUUUAGAUCGAGUAUUAGUAUGUUGAAUUUGCAUUCAUCUAGUUAGAUGAGUGAAACUGGCUAAUUAAUGGAAAAUCAUAAGUACCUGAGUUGUUUUCAAAUUUUUUUCCCAAAUUUUAAUUGUUUGAUUGGUUUCUUCAAAUUAAUAUUAAUGGAAUCAUGAACGCACAUAAAUAAUUUAAUUAAAAAUUAUUUAUUUAUGUGUCAUUUAGAAAAAAUUGGGGACAAAAUUUGGGAUAGUAAUGGGGACGAAAUAUGUGUUAGCGUUAAUGGUUUAGCGGCAGUGGAGAACGCAAUUUAAGAGCAAAUCCAAUAGUGUCCUAAACUAGUAUCCUAAAUUAAAAAUUAAGGUAUUUAUAUAAAUGAGUGCUCCACCUAAUGAGUGCUCCACCAAUGUCCAGUGAUACCUUAAAAUACUAGGAAAUCCAUCAAGCGUCUCGUUUUUAAGACAUCACUAGGCAUGCCCUAUUUCACUUCUAUCAAUAAAAUAUAUCUUUCCCUCGUUUUUUACAGAUCUCUUCUCUCUCAUUUUUUCCAUUUAUGCCCAAUUAUAAUUCAAAUAUAAUACACCUUCAGUCCCUUUUUAGUUGUGAAAUUUACAAAAAUAAUUUGUCCUUAAAUAAUAUUCUCAUCCUUGUUCCAAUACAUAUUUAUACAUAUUUUUUCAUGUUUACCCCUUGAUUGUUGGUUCAAAUGUUUGACUGUACUACUAAUAUAUACAGUUUUGACUUAGUAUUUAAUAUAAUAAAUAAGGGCAUGCGUGGAAACAACUUACAACAUUUAAUUUUCUUUAAUAUAUGUAUUUUUGCAAAUGUGACAACUAAAAAGGAACAGAGAGAGUAUUAUUUUAAUCAUAAAACAUAUUGUUGGAGUUAAUAUAAAAAAAUCAUGUCUUAAAUCAUAAGAUUACUAUAUUUAAUUAUAUUUAUAAGGCAUCUAAUAGUACAAUAUUGGAUUUGCUCUGAUCACAGAUCAAUCAAAUGAUCGGCAACUUAAGCGAUCAAAUGAGAUGACUCGCAUAGUCCACGCUAAUCGAUAUCCUUAAGAGGAUGUUUGCCUGGGCUUAAAGCCCUUGCUUUAAGCCAUCUUUGGCUUUAAGCUGAAAAAUGUCUGUUUGUGUAAUAAGUCAGAAGCCAGCCUAAAGUCAGAAAUAAGCCAGAAGCUGACUUAAAGCCAGAAGUUAAUUUGAGGUACUUUUUUCAGUGGCUAAAUUUUUUUGAACUUUUUUUUUGAUAAAAAUUACUCCUAAAUCAUAAGUUUCUUAUAAAUCACUUUUAUUUUUAUUAUUAUAUUUUUAAUAACUCAUAAGUCAUUCAUAAGCCAAAAUUACCCAAACAGACAUUUUAAGCUAUCAGCUUAUCAGAUAAGACACGUUAAGUCACAAGUCACAUUAAGUCAUAAGCCAUAAGCUCAGCCAAACGGGCAAGUUUUCUAAGAGACAUUCCUGCUUAGUGCAUUUUUAAUAGGGUUGCCUAAAUCGUUGACGAAAUUGGACAUGUGAGACAUUAUAUAAAAUUUGUUAAACAUGUAAGUGAUUGUGUUUCAAUAAUGUUAACUACAUUGAUAGAUUAUAACUUAAAAAUAGUAUGUUAUUAAUAUUUAGAUUGUUAUAAAAAAAUAUAUGAGUUUAAUAUGAUAGGAAAUGAUGUGUAAAUUACCCCGAUUAUAUAUAUAUAUAAAUAAUAAUAUAUUUAUAUAUAUUAUACUAAAUAUAUUAUUAAAAAUAGAUAAAUUUUAUAAUAUAAUCAAAAGUAAAAAAUAAUCUUUAUUUUUAUUGAUUGAUUAUAAAUAUAUUGUAAUAUAAUAUAUUUUAUAAUUUUAAAUUGUUGUUUAUUUAUAUUAUAAAUCAAUUUUAAUAUGAUUUGAGGUUGAAAAUAUAAGAUAAUAUUAUUUUAUUAUUAUAUUAGGAGUUUGUAGUUUGUUUUUUAAUUAAAAAAAUAUAUUAUAUAUUAUAAAAUUAUUAUGUUUUUAUUAAAAAAUAAAAUUCCCCGAAACCCCGCGGGGAUCCCCGUUCCCCGUUCGGGGCGGGGAUCGGGGCGGAAAAUAAUCCCCGUUCGAGGUUCGGGGCGGGGUCGGGUAGGGCCGUAGGGGUAUUGAAUUCGGGGAUCGGGGUCGGGGAUAGCACUCCCCGCCCUCGAAGUCUCCCCGUGCCCAUCCCUAGUCGAACCUCUAGAGGUCCGUAAAAAAUCUCCAAGAAGAUUACACUAUGUAAUCUUCUUGGAGAUUUUUUACGGACCUCUAGAGGUUCGACAAAUAUAGUGGCCGGUAGGAUGUUGGUUAAAAUUAUAGAUAAGUGGUGUCUAUGGUUGAGUGUGAUUUUUUUGAAUAGAAUGGCUAUAUAUUUUAUUUUUGGGAUGCCAACUCAAUUUUUAAACUAAGGACUUCUCAUAUUUGGAGAUGCUAUAUGAUGGCAAAUCCCGCAAAUCUUCAAUUUUGACAUAUAUUAUCCUAAAUUCUCUUUCAACAAUGAUUGAUUCAAAUUUGGAUCAAGAUUGUUGGAUCCCGCUGACGUGGCAGUGACGUCAUGUUGACGUGGCGCCCUGGGGUGGACCCCGGUGCUGACGUGGCAGAUGACGCGGCGGUGACAUGGCGCCUGGUUGGGGUCCCAUUACUAACGUGGCAUUUGGGUAGAAAGUAUAAAUUACGGAAAAUUGAUGACAAACUGAGAGGUGCAUAUUAUAAGUUUUAAAAAGUAUGAGGAGAUAUUUGAUCAGUUUAAAACUAGUUUUUAGGUUUUUAGGCUAACCGUGGUUUGUAUAUUCGAGCAUCCCCGUGUAUAUUGACAUAUAGGUAAACUCCUUGCAAUACUUUGAGCUGCAAAAUCCAUCAAAAUUUUGAUUUAUCAUGUAACUGUUUGACAGAGUACUUCCAACUUUCAAGCGUAAGUAUCAAAAUCACUACCUUCAUAUGUUCCAUUAAGCGUGAAAGGUACAGAAUAAGAAGUGAAAGAAAUCCUUUAUAUUUACACGGCCAUUGAUCUUAUAGGAUCACCUAGCCCAUCAGUGCUAGGGAAUACGGAACCAUCUUAUCAAUUAACGAAGAAAUGUAUGCAUGCAGUGUCACCACCACAAGUCAGAAAUGGUGAUGAUGCUAAUGAUAAUGAACUCAAUUGGGAGUGAUCCUAAUGGGAUAUGGAUGUGGAUUGGUAUGCGGAUUCUUUGGGGUUUAUUGUUCUUACAAUGGGAAAGCCUUGGUGGUUUAUGAGAUACAUUGAAGUAAGUUGAUAAUGACAUGCACGGCUUAAUUAAGAUUAAUUAAGACAAACACCUUGACAAAAUGUUGUCUUAGAAUGAUAUGUAUUCUGAUUUUUCCUAAUUUAAAAUCAAAUUUAUUACAAUUAAAGUUAAAAUCUGCGUAGCACAUACUAUACUUUGAUUAAAUUUUUAUUGAAGUUGUCCAUAUUAACCUAGUGGCCGAAAGUGAAUAAAUUAAAUUAGUGGGGUCUAAUAUAAAAAUUGCAUUAAUUAAAAUUUGUAAUGUAUAGAUUAUGCUAAAGCUAUUCAUUAUAAAGAACAUAGGAAUGUUAAUCUCUUUAUAUGUUUGCAUGCGGAUAGUCUCUCGGGAGUGUGGUAUAUUGUCAUGGCUGGAAAAACGGCUAAUUUCUACGGUUUUUUUUUGACAGAAAUUAAUUUUGACGGAAUACUGUCGAAAUAUCGAAAGUCGAAAAUAAGCCGCAAAAUUACUUUUUUCAAUUUUCAAUUGAAAACUGUCAAAAAAGUCUCUGGCAAAAUUAUAUUUAUUUCUACAGAUAAUGUCGAAAAUAUUUUCCUGCAAAUUUCCCGCACCUUAGUUGUGAGCGGAAAUAGAUAGUUUGGACAGAAUUCCGUCGAAAUUACGCGAGUUCUUUGUAGUGUGUUUUCACACAUACGCUGAUAAUCUUUGGGGACUGGGGUAUAUUGUUUUCGCAAAGCACUGGUAGUUUGUGAGCUUGUCCAAUUUUUCCCCCCAUGCCUAUACUGGUUGGUCUCAGUCUUAGUGGUAAUAAGCUGGCGUCAAAUUUUCCAGAAUUCAUAUAUAAUUGCUAUAACAUGAUCCGAUGCCUGAAUCAGCAGCUAACAAUUUACGUAAUCUUGAAGAACUAUAUCUUGGUGCCAAUUCUUUCGAGGGCUCAUUUCCAACGAAUAUAUUCAAGCUUUCCAAAUUAAGGGUUCUUGACCUAUCUGUGAAUAAUUUUUCAGGUUCCAUUCCCAAUGGUAUAGAGAUGCUUCCCGAUCUUGGAAUAAAUCGUAUUUAUAAUAAUUCAUUUGAAGGAAUUAUUCCUUCUUCAAUUAGUCUACUUAAAGAUCUUCAACACCUAGACUUCGGUGACGACAACCUUGUGGUUUCAAGUAUAAUGUCUUACGGGUCCAAUCUAACCGAUCAUUACAGGCAACCCCAUUGGAGAUGCUCUUAAUAACAUUUUAACUAGAGAGUAUUUUCUAUCAAUUGCAUUUGUAUUAAAUUUGAUUUAGAUGAAGAGAAACAGAAUACAUAUGAUCCCGAGACAACAUUUUGUCAAUGUUUUCGUCUUGAUUGAACAGUCUUCUUCAUGCGUGUCCUUGUCAACUUCAGUUGCAGUAAUUCAAUGUAUCUCAGGAACCACCUUGGCUUUCCCAUUUUGAUAACAAGUAUCCUGAAGAUAAUCCGCAUAUCAAUCCACAUCCGCGCGUAUCCCAGUUGAUUUAUUAAUUUAUUCAUGAAGUGUUGCGAACGACAUUCCUGCAAAAGUAAAAGUCAGUGGAAUUUGUAUGAUAGCAUGAUGAAUAUUUAAAGUUUCAGUUAAAAUUUCACCAAGUAUUUUAUUUCUGGCUUAAGUCCCGGAUUGACGAAUUCUGCUGAUCACAUUUCUAAUCGACCAAUUCUGGUCGAAUAAAUUAAAUGGCACACUUCCUGAGUUGGUGGUAGGGGCGUUCUUCUUGUGUUUCUUUCUUUUCAUUAUUGACAUUGUUAUCCAGGCCCUUGCUUCUGGGCUUUUGUAAAGCACCCAUUUACGCCAUUGUCAUGAUCAUAGCUAGUCUUCCAUAUCCAAGAUACGCGCAUUAUAGUGGAUUUAUCUUUAUUAGUGAUUUCUGUGGAAAUGCAUAAUCUUAAUUAUAAGCUCCAAUAUUAUAAAAUAAACCUAACUUAUUAGAGUUAACAGGGCAUUUGUGUUGAUAAUUUGCGCAAUGUUAAUGGGGAUCGCUCCCAAGUCUUGGACGGACUCUUUCCAAGUCUUCUGAGGACCCAUCUGCACACUAAUUUGUCCGCCAACUAAAAAUUUAUAUAUAUUUUUCCAUAGAAUAUAAAUAGUUGGGGGUACUAACAGAACCUCUAGUAAAAUUAAUUAAUACCGUUAUGAUUUCGCAAACACAGCAGACAGCAGGCAUAAGGCUUAUAAAUAGAAGUGUCGUAUUUGGUUGAUGGUCAAGUUGAGUGGAAAUAUGGCACACUUUGUAAAGCCUUGUUAUCCUCUUCUCUUUGUUUUCUUUCUCUCAUUACUUCAAUCCAUUCUAACAACACAAGAGGGAGAAGCUCUUGUGAAAUGGAAGAAUAGCCUAGCCCCUUCUUCUUUUCUCGACUCUUGGUCACUCACCAAUCUCGAUAAUCUUUGCAACUGGACUGGCAUUACUUGUAACUCUGCAGGUUCAGUCUCUGAGAUUAACCUUAGUGAGAAACAACUUGAUGGAAUGCUGUCCGAGUUUGGUUUCACUUCAUUUCCAAAUCUCAACAAUCUCACCCUCGCAAUUAACUACUUCUCGGGUCCAAUACCACCAGCCAUUGAGAAUUUAACACAGCUUCAAUAUCUUGAGUUGAGCAAUAAUUAUCUAGAUGGUCCCAUUCCUUUCCAGGUUAGCAAUCUUCAGAGGUUGCUCAUCUUAAACCUGUCAGAGAAUGAACUGCAAGCUCCAAAUUGGUCCAAUUUUUCCCCCAUGCCUUUUUUGACCAUCCUCGACCUUUAUAAAAAUAAUCUUUUGUCAGAAUUUCCCGAAUUUAUAUCUAACUCGUGUAACCUUACGUACCUUGACCUCUCAUCCAACAAGUUUAGAGGGGAUCUUGCGCGAGAAUCAGUAUUAACCAAUCUAGGUGAUCUUGAAACCCUCUAUCUUAUUAGAAAUUCUUUCAAGGGGUCAUUUCCGUCAGAUUUAUUCAAGCUUUCUAAAUUAAAACGUCUUCACCUGUCGAGCAACAAAUUUUCAGGUUCAAUUCCUAAUGCCAUAAGGUUGCUUUGUGAUCUUGAAUUCCUAUAUUUAGGCAACAAUUCCUUUGAAGGACUGCUUCCACCAAAUAUAUUUAAGCUUUCAAAAUUAAAACAUCUUGUUCUUCGGAGUAAUAAGUUUUCAGGAUCUGUUUCCAAUGAUAUAAAUUUGCUUCCUGAACUUGAAUAUCUCGAUCUUAAUUCUAAUUUUUUUGACGGGCCGCUUCCUCCAGAUGUAUUCAAGCUCUCCAAACUAAGGUUUCUUUACCUCUCGGGUAAUACCUUUUCACGUUCUGUUUCCAAUGAUAUAGGUUUGCUUUCUGAGCUUGAAACCCUCGAUCUUAACUCUAAUUUUUUGAGGGUCCGCUUCCGUCAAAUAUAUUCAAGCUCAAAUUAAAAAUUCUAGACCUCUCAAACAAUAGAAAUUUAUUUCAAAGAAGUUUUCCUAUUGGACUGGAACUCUUGAGUAACCUCAGCUACUUAGGUCUAAGUUCCAGUAAUCUCAGUGGCAAUAUUCCAUCUUACAUUGGAAACCUGAAGCUACUAAUAUCUCUUGAUCUCAGUUCUAAUCAAUUGACUGGACCGCUUUCAAAGCUCGUUUCUAAUGUCACAAAUCUUAUAUUUCUUGAUUUAAGAGAUAAUAGUCUUAGUGGAAAUAUUCAGACUGACUUGUGGAAAUAUAACGAUCAUCCAACUCUGGAAUACAUCAAUUUGAGUGGGAACUAUUUUACGGGUAUAGUUUUUCUCUAUAGAUCUUUUCUUUUGUCAUAUGUAACUAAGCUAGUAAUCUGAUUAAUUGCAGUUUUACCAAAGUUUCAACAAUCUUGACAGGUGAGCUUCCAACAACAAUUUGCAAUGUCACUUCCCUUUCGGUUCUUGAUUUGUCAAAUAAUAACUUAAGUGGUGCACUUCCAAAAUGUUACGGGAAUCUUGCUGAUGGAUUGCUUUACAUUAAUCUUGCGAAUAAUCACUUUCGAGGAACAAUACCCACUACUUUCUCCAGGAGUUGUCAGCUGAUAUAUCUGAACAUGGAUGAUAAUGAGUUUGAAGGAUUGAUGCCCCCAUCUUUGGCGAACUGUAAGCACUUGAAAAUUUUUGAUAUUGGCAAUAAUAAAAUAGGUGGUACAUUUCCGUCAUGGCUUUAUGCACUUGGAGAGCUAGAAGUCCUUGUCUUGCGAUCAAAUAAACUCUAUGGUACAAUAAGUGGAAGGAGCAUAGAAGAUCCCUUCCCCAAGUUGCGGAUUGUGGAUCUGUCCAACAAUCAAUUCACAGGCCAUUUGCCAAUUCAAUACUUUAAGAAUAUGAAAUCAACUGAUAAUUUGUAUCGUUAUCAGAAUGACACAGGAGUUUUUUCUUUCCAUUAUGAAGCAUCUGUCUCAUUAACUGUGAAGGGAACAGAGUAUGAAGUGAAAAAUAUCCUUCAUAUUUACACAACCAUUGAUCUGUCCUGCAACAAGUUUCAAGGAGAAAUUCCUGACGUUAUUGGAGAGCUUAGAUGGCUUGCAUUGCUGAACUUAUCUCAUAAUAGUCUAACAGGACAUAUCCCAUCAUUGCUGAGAAAUAUGAAAGGACUCCAAUCUUUAGAUUUGUCUUCAAAUCAACUGAAAGGGGCUAUUCCACUUCAGUUAACUGCAUUGACAUUUCUAGAGGUCUUGAACCUCUCGGGAAACCAUCUUAGUGGAGAGAUUCCUCAGAAAGGGCAGUUCAGCACAUUUAACAUUGAUUCUUAUCUAGGAAACUCCGCGUUAUGUGGUUCACCUUUGAUGAAGAAAUGUGCAAACACAGCAUCACCUCCACAAGAAGCCGGAAAUGGUGAUGAAGAUGAAGCUGGUGAUGAAUUGACAUGGGAAGCAAUCGUGAUGGGAUAUGGAUGUGGACUGAUAUGUGGAUUGUCAUCUGCAUACAUUGUUCUCAAACUAGGAAAGCCUUGGUGGUUUGUGAGAUAUAUCGAAGUACUGCAACAGAAGUUGAUGAAAAGAUAUGCAUGAAGAAAGGUACUGGUAGAUCAAGAUGAACUUGAAAGUUGUUGUCGUGGUAGACAUUUGUGAACCAGUAGUGUACUAGCUGCAUAAGUAUUUGGUAUUAUGUAAUAAUCCGUUUGGUCGGGACUCAAAAUGAUUUCUCUUGCUUCAGGGGUAUUAAUAUUAACCUUGCUAUCUUGAUCAAUGUUAGGGCAAAUUAAAAAGAAUAUAAAAGCAAAAAAUUUGCAUCAAACACCUGUUGUACCAACAUGCAUCCAUUAAUUUGCUUUCAUCUAUUAAGUAACAAUUUAAGAGCGCUUCCACUCUGUUUAAGCAUGGAGAUAACACAAAGAAGGCAAGUCCAUGGACUAAUAUAUUAACACGUAGUCCACAUCUAUGGUAUGAACAAUUCAUAUUGCUCUUCUAUCUGUUCAACAGUCUCCCGAAGAUAGGCCAAAAAUGUCAUCUGUGGUUCUUAUGUUUGUCAGUGAAGGAGAAUCUCUGAUGCCUACACAACCUGGUGUUUUUACAGAAAGGAAUGUAGGUGAAACCAGGGGCGUAAAAUGAAUCAGGACUAAAAUCUGCUAAAAUGAUAAUUAUUUACUCAUCAUUCAAGAUUAGUCGGGCUCAAAGAUUUAUAUGGAUUUUAAGAACAAACUAUGACUAAAUAUGAAAAAAUCAUUAAUUUUUCCGACUCAAUAUUUUUUAGCCUCCCCCGGCCCUGGGUGAAACCAUAAGCUUCUCUGGUGCACAUCCAAAUCAUUCAGUUGGUUCUACUUUCAGCUCACCCACAGGAACAUCAUUCUGCAGGUACUCUUUUAUCUGUACUUUCUUAUAUUGUAUGCCAGUAAAUUUUAUAUCGACAAACUGCACAAUACACCUCGAUCUCAUAUUAUUGACAGGUGAGCUCCUCUCAUAAUGCUCACAGGCGAACCCCUGCAUAUAUACUUUGUGAUGUCAUUGAUGAUCGAUAGACUUGAAAAAAAAUUAUGACAAAGAUUCAUAAAAUAUCUACUUCCAUCCUAAUUCAGUAUUCAAUAUUAUUCAUUCGUAUCAUCAUCCAAUCAAUUCUAAUAGUUCUUCUUUAAAUCAGUACAAAUAUUGUUAAAUACCUGGAUGAUGGUUGUCUUUCCGCGAACCAAUCAUGAAAUUACCUCUGUAUAAAUCCAUCGGAAAUAAGACAGUUAAUAUCCCAAUCGAAUACACCCCGUCAGUUGUCAAACUCCUCGAAACGUAUUAAUCACUUUAGAAAAUUUGUUCCACUGGCGCUAGUCAGUCCCAGAGUUGGUGGUGGGUGCUUCUGGGCUUUCGAAAAGCACCCAUUUACUCCAUUGUUUAGAGAAGUAAAACCCCACCUUCCGCUCAUUUGAUUGAUCAGCUGAAUUAGGCAGAGUUUACAUGGUCAUGAUCAUAGUCUCCCAUNUUAAUAGUCUGACAGGACCUAUCCCAACAUUGCUGAGAAAUAUGAAAUAACUCCAUUACUCCAAUCUUAGAUUUGUCCUCAAAUCAACUGACAGGGGCUAUUCCACCUCUGUUAACUGCAUUGACAUUACUUUUCUCUUUAUAUUCUUUCCUUUUGUAUGUACCUAUGCUAAUUAUCUGAUUAUUAAAAUUAUAACAAAGCUUCAAGAUUUUUAACAGGUGAGCUUCCACUAAAAAUUUGCAAAGUCACUUCCCUUUCGCGUCUCAUUAUGUUAGAUAAUGGGUCAAGUGGUGCACUUCCACAGUGUUUGGGGAACCUUUCUUUGCUUGGUUUCAAUAAUCUUGCUAAUUAUCAAUUUCAAGGACCAAUACCAACGACUGUCCAAGACUUGUCUGUGCAUAUCUAAACAUCCAUAACAAUCACUUUGAAGGUUUGUUGCUCCAAUCUUUGGCAAACUGUAAACACUUACAAAUUCUUGAUAUUGGAAACAACGUUGGAGAGCUAGAUGUCCCAGUUAGGGCGGUAAUUCGACUAGAGCAAACCGAGUUUUGAGCGGAGCCAAAUUCGAGCCAAGUUUAAUCGAGUCGAGCCGAGUCGGCUCGUUUAGCUAAUCGAGCCUAAAACUUAGCCCGAACUCGACUCAUUUAAUUUCACGAGUCGAGUCGAGCCAACUCGUUUAGCUAAAUGAGCUGAUUUUAACAAGUCGAGCGAGCGAGCUCGUAUAAUUUUAACUUAGUCGAGCCUGAAUCUCUACCCAAACUAUUGGCUCGUGUAAUUUCGCGAGUCGAAUCGAGCCGGCUCGUUUUAUUAAACAAGCCGAAAUUUUUGCCCGAAUUUGCUCGUUUAACAAGCCGAUCUGAGCCUAGUUAAAUGAGUUCGAGUUAGUCGAGCUCGCGAGCUGCGAGCUCACCUGCCAGCUCUAGUCCUAGUCUUGCAAUCAAAUAGGUUUAACGGUAUAGAAAGUGGAAGGAGCACAAGGCAUCCAUUCCCCAAGGCUAUUUACCAAUUCAGUACUUUGAGGAUACAAAAUCAUUCUGCAGGUACUCUUGUAUCUGUACUUUCUUGUACUGUAUGCCACUUUGACAGUAGAGUAAAAUUUAUAUCGACAAACUGCAUAUGUUCUGAACUACUCCUCUAUCCCAAAUUAGAUGAGCUAGUUGACUUUGAGCACGUAACUUAAGGUACAUUGACCAACUAGUUCCGAUAUUUAUUUUUUUAAUUUUUCUUUUGUAAAUGAAAAUUUCAUAUUUAAAUUUUUAUUUGCAAAACUAAAAUUUAAAAAUAUGUAAUGUGGCUAUGCGGUCAAUGUCAACGAGCUCAUCUAAUUUGGGAUUGGGAUGCAGGGAGUAUUACGUACUAUGUUAUGCAAGCUGUUUACAACUUUCAUCAAAAUUUUCAAACAUUUCUGAAUAUGUAUUUUCAAAGAAUUCUCGGGCACUCUUAAGGCCUAUAAUUAUUGGAACUCUCACGUUAUGGACCAGAGGACCACUAUGUAUUUUACAAGCACGACGAAUCAUGUGGUCAUUAUGGACUCCCCAAGCCUUAGAGGACUCAUUCCAGGUUUUAGGAGGACCACUGCCUAGCUCACCCUUUCGGAGUGAUGUAAAUUAGUUUCCAGACACUAAAAAUAAGUAAUCAGAUUAAUCAUUACAAAAUUUUGAUAUAAAAUCAGAAUAAAUCCUAAACUUUGAUGAUACAAAAAAAAUUAUAAUUGUAAAUUAUACAAUCAAAUUAAGAUCGAAUUAACUUCCCUCACACUUAAAAUUUAUAGCGAUCAAAUCAAAAUCGAAUUAACUUUCCUAUUACUAAAAUUUAAUUACAAUAUUAUUAGAUAAAGAGAAUAUAUAAUAAUCAAGAGAAAAUAGAUUUUUUUUUGCCACUCAACUUAUUGUGUUUUAAGAAACUUACCACCCAACUAAAUUUUUUUCCUUUUGCUCACUAAUGUUAGGUUUGGAUUUGUUUUUAGCCACCAAAUAAGGUUCGGAUUUGAUUACCAGCAUUAUGAUAAUUUUUUUUGUCACUAAACUUAUUGCGUCUUUAGAAACUAACCACUGAACUAAAUUUUUUUUAUUUUACUCACUAAUGUUAGAUUUAGUUUUUUUUGUCACUAUAGUUAGGUUCAGAUUUGAUUAUUAGCAUUACAUUAAUUCUGUGUAGCAUUUUUAAAAUAUGGUAGUAGUCUGUGAUAUUUAGAUGAUUUGAUAUAUGUCUGUAUUUUUAUAUAUAGUAUAUUUUAUGUCCCCAAGGUCGUUUACCUUGGGUCAUAAAAAUUUUACACUCAUUUUAUGACUUUUAAAAGAUGUAGUUUCAUAAAUAAUUUUAUUUUUUUCUUUCGAAUUAAAAUUCAGCAUUUGAAUUUUACACACAAAAAAAUCGCAAGAAUAAGAUAUGAAACUAUGCUUUACAAGAGUCUUAAAAUACGUGCUAAACGGUAGAAAAAACUGUAAACUAAUGAGAGGUACAUAGGGAGUAAUAAUAACAUAAAAUGAUGCACAAUCAUCGAAUUAAGUUUUCCUCUCUCUAUAUAUUUAUUUUGUAAAUUUUAAUAAGAUAAAGUUAUUAAAAUUUAUGAUAUAAAUUUAAGAGAUAUCUUAGAUUGAGUGGCAAAAAUUUAGUUGGGUGGUAAGUUUCUAAAAACACAAUAAAUUGAGUGGGAACAAAAUCUAUUUUCCCAAUAAUGAGUGGGAAUAAAAUCUAUUUUCCCAAUAAUCAAAGUGACGAAAAAUCAAAGUCAUCUAAUAAGUCCAGAAAAAAUAUGACCAUUAGUAUAUUGAAAUAAUAUUCACGCAUUUAUAUACGAGAAUAUAUGGUCCACAAGUUAGUGCACAAUGUCCAAGAAUCUUUAUCAAAUAACACGGCAAGCAUGCAGCAUAUAAAUAAGAGUGGGCAGUAUGGUAUUGCAUUCAUAACCCACUUGAGCAGAAAUAUGGCACACUUCCUAAAGCCUUCUCACCUUCUUCUCUUUGUUUUCUUUCUCUCGUUACUUCAAUCCAUUCUACCAACAAGACCAGAGGGAGAAGCUCUUGUGAAAUGGAAGAAUAGCCUAGCCCCGUCUUCUUUUCUCGAUUCUUGGUCACUAACCAAUCUCGAUAAUCUUUGUAACUGGACUGGCAUUACUUGUAACUCUGCAGGUUCAGUCUCUGGGAUUAACCUUUAUGAGAAACAACUUGAUGGAAUGCUGUCCGAGUUUGGCUUCACUUCAUUUCCGAAUCUCAACAAUCUCACCCUCGCAUACAACUUCUUCUCGGGUCCAAUACCACCAGCCAUUGAGAAUUUAACACAGCUUCAAUAUCUUGAUUUAAGCAUCAAUAGUCUCGAUGGUCCCAUUCCUUUCCAGGUUAGCCAUCUUCAGAGGUUGCUCGUCCUAAACCUGUCACAGAAUGCAUUGCAAGCUCCAAAUUGGUCCCAUUUCUCUUCCAUGCCUUUUUUGCGCAUCCUCAAGCUCAGUAGGAAUCAUCUUGUAUCGAAAUUUCCAGAAUUUAUAUCCAAUUCUCAUAGCUUGGCUAUCCUUGACCUUGGCCAGAACAACUUUACAGGUGAUCUUGUGCGUGAAUUUACCAAUCUACAAAAUCUUGAAACCCUCUGGCUUUAUCGUAAUUCUUUUGAGGGGCCAUUUCCGCCGGAUAUAGUCCAGCUUUCCAAACUAAAAGAUCUUGCCCUGUCAAGUAACAAAUUUUCAGGUUCAGUUCCCAAUAACAUAAGGUUGCUUUGUGAUCUUGAAUACCUAUAUUUAGGCAACAAUUCCUUUAAGGGGCCACUUCCACCAAAUAUAUUUAAGCUUUCAAAAUUAAAACAUCUUGUUCUUUGGAGUAAUAAGUUUUCAGGUUCUGUUUCCAAUGAUAUAGGUUUGCUUCAUGAGCUUGUAACCCUCAAUCUUAACUCUAAUUUUUUUGAGGGGCCGCUUCCGCCAAAUGUAUUCAAGCUCUCCAAACUAAAGUUUUUUGCCCUUCAUGAGAAUAACUUUUCAGGUUUUAUUUCUAAGGAUAUAGGUUUGCUUUCCGAACUUGAAAUCCUCUAUUUUGGCUCUAAUUUUUUUGAGGGGCCGCUUCCUCCACAUGUAUUUAGGCUCUCCAAAUUAAGAGGUCUGGACCUCUCACACAAUAGAAAUUUAUUUGAAGGAAGUAUUCCUAUUGGACUGGGACUCUUGACUAACCUCAGGUACUUAGAUCUACAUUCCAAUAAUCUCGGUGGCUAUAUUCCAUCUGACAUUGGAAACCUGAAGCUACUAGUACUUCUUGAUCUCGGUUCUAAUCAAUUGACUGGACCGCUUUCAAAGAUCGUUUCUAAUCUCACAAAUCUUAUAUGUCUUGAUGUAAGUCAUAAUAGUCUUAGUGGAAAUAUUCAGAGUGACUUGUGGAAAUAUAACGAUCAUCCAACUUUGGAAUACAUCAAUUUAAGUGGGAACCAUUUUACGGGUAUAGUUUUUCUCUAUAGAUCUUUUCCUUUUCUCAUAUGUAACUAAGCUAGUAAUCUGAUUAUUGCAGUUUCACCAAAGUUUCAACAAUCUUGACAGGUGAGCUUCCAACAACAAUUUGCAAUGUCACUUCCCUUUCGGUUCUUGAUUUGUCAAAUAAUGAAUUAAGUGGUGCACUUCCAAACUCUUUGGGGAAUCUUGCUGAUGGAAUGCUUUACCUUAAUCUUGCUAAUAAUCAGUUUCGAGGAACAAUACCAACUACUUUCUCCAGGAGUUGUCGGUUGACAUAUCUAAACAUGGAUAAUAAUGAGUUUGAAGGAUUGUUGCCCCCAUCUUUGGCGAACUGUAAGCACUUGAAAAUUCUUGAUAUAGGCAAUAAUAAAAUAGGUGGUACAUUUCCGUCAUGGCUUUAUGCACUUGGAGAGCUAGAAGUUCUUGUCUUGCGAUCAAAUAAACUCUAUGGUACAAUAAGUGGAAGGAGCAUAGAAGAUCCCUUCCCCAAGUUGCGGAUUGUGGAUCUGUCCCACAAUCAAUUGACAGGCUAUUUGCCAAUUCAAUACUUUAAGAAUAUGAAAUCAACUGAUAAUUUGUAUCGUUAUCAGAAUGACACAGGAGUUUUUUCUUUCCAUUAUGAAGCAUCUGUCUCAUUAACUGUGAAGGGAACAGAGUAUGAAGUGAAAAAUAUCCUUCAUAUUUACACAACCAUUGAUCUGUCCUGCAACAAGUUUCAAGGAGAAAUUCCUGACGUUAUUGGAGAGCUUAGAUGGCUUGCAUUGCUGAACUUAUCUCAUAAUAGUCUAACAGGACAUAUCCCAUCAUUGCUGAGAAAUAUGAAAGGACUCCAAUCUUUAGAUUUGUCUUCAAAUCAACUGAAAGGGGCUAUUCCACUUCAGUUAACUGCAUUGACAUUUCUAGAGGUCUUGAACCUCUCGGGAAACCAUCUUAGUGGAGAGAUUCCUCAGAAAGGGCAGUUCAGCACAUUUAACAUUGAUUCUUAUCUAGGAAACUCCGCGUUAUGUGGUUCACCUUUGAUGAAGAAAUGUGCAAACACAGCAUCACCUCCACAAGAAGCCGGAAAUGGUGAUGAAGAUGAAGCUGGUGAUGAAUUGACAUGGGAAGCAAUCGUGAUGGGAUAUGGAUGUGGACUGAUAUGUGGAUUGUCAUCUGCAUACAUUGUUCUCAAACUAGGAAAGCCUUGGUGGUUUGUGAGAUAUAUCGAAGUACUGCAACAGAAGUUGAUGAAAAGAUAUGCAUGAAGAAAGGUACUGGUAGAUCAAGAUGAACUUGAAAGUUGUUGUCGUGGUAGACAUUUGUGAACCAGUAGUGUACUAGCUGCAUAAGUAUUUGGUAUUAUGUAAUAAUCCGUUUGGUCGGGACUCAAAAUGAUUUCUCUUGCUUCAGGGGUAUUAAUAUUAACCUUGCUAUCUUGAUCAAUGUUAGGGCAAAUUAAAAAGAAUAUAAAAGCAAAAAAUUUGCAUCAAACACCUGUUGUACCAACAUGCAUCCAUUAAUUUGCUUUCAUCUAUUAAGUAACAAUUUAAGAGCGCUUCCACUCUGUUUAAGCAUGGAGAUAACACAAAGAAGGCAAGUCCAUGGACUAAUAUAUUAACACGUAGUCCACAUCUAUGGUAUGAACAAUUCAUAUUGCUCUUCUAUCUGUUCAACAGUCUCCCGAAGAUAGGCCAAAAAUGUCAUCUGUGGUUCUUAUGUUUGUCAGUGAAGGAGAAUCUCUGAUGCCUACACAACCUGGUGUUUUUACAGAAAGGAAUGUAGGUGAAACCAGGGGCGUAAAAUGAAUCAGGACUAAAAUCUGCUAAAAUGAUAAUUAUUUACUCAUCAUUCAAGAUUAGUCGGGCUCAAAGAUUUAUAUGGAUUUUAAGAACAAACUAUGACUAAAUAUGAAAAAAUCAUUAAUUUUUCCGACUCAAUAUUUUUUAGCCUCCCCCGGCCCUGGGUGAAACCAUAAGCUUCUCUGGUGCACAUCCAAAUCAUUCAGUUGGUUCUACUUUCAGCUCACCCACAGGAACAUCAUUCUGCAGGUACUCUUUUAUCUGUACUUUCUUAUAUUGUAUGCCAGUAAAUUUUAUAUCGACAAACUGCACAAUACACCUCGAUCUCAUAUUAUUGACAGGUGAGCUCCUCUCAUAAUGCUCACAGGCGAACCCCUGCAUAUAUACUUUGUGAUGUCAUUGAUGAUCGAUAGACUUGAAAAAAAAUUAUGACAAAGAUUCAUAAAAUAUCUACUUCCAUCCUAAUUCAGUAUUCAAUAUUAUUCAUUCGUAUCAUCAUCCAAUCAAUUCUAAUAGUUCUUCUUUAAAUCAGUACAAAUAUUGUUAAAUACCUGGAUGAUGGUUGUCUUUCCGCGAACCAAUCAUGAAAUUACCUCUGUAUAAAUCCAUCGGAAAUAAGACAGUUAAUAUCCCAAUCGAAUACACCCCGUCAGUUGUCAAACUCCUCGAAACGUAUUAAUCACUUUAGAAAAUUUGUUCCACUGGCGCUAGUCAGUCCCAGAGUUGGUGGUGGGUGCUUCUGGGCUUUCGAAAAGCACCCAUUUACUCCAUUGUUUAGAGAAGUAAAACCCCACCUUCCGCUCAUUUGAUUGAUCAGCUGAAUUAGGCAGAGUUUACAUGGUCAUGAUCAUAGUCUCCCAUAUAUCCCUGAUACGCACAUUAUAGUGGAUUUAUCUUUAUCAGUGAUUUCUGUGGAGAUGCAUAAUCAUUAUAAGCUCCAAUAUAAAAUUUUAAAGUUAGUAUGGGAAUUUGUGUUGAUAAUUUGCGCAAUGUUAACAGGAUUGCUCCCAAGUCUUGGACGGACUCUUUCAAAGUCUUCUCAGGACCCAUCUGCACACUAAUUUGUCUGCCAACUAAAAAAUCAACAAUAUGUUACUCCCUCCGUUUUUCUUAAACUGAGGUUAAAAUUUUUGACACAAGAUGGGUUGACAGUAUAAAAUUAAAAUAUUUGUGAAUAAAAAUUUUGGUUAUAUUUUUUAUUUAAAAAGAAAAUCUUGAAAAUAAUAUUAUUAACUACCAGUCAGAUCACUUAAGUGUAUGUCCAAAAUUAAAGCGGCAUAUAAAAAAAAGGGAGGAAGCAUGUACUAACUGUUUCCAUAACAGUUUACAAGUAUAAGCUAUACCCCCUCUCUAUUUUUUUCUAUGACAGCUUUGAUUUUGGGCACACAUUCUUAAGUGUUUUGACCGGAUAGUUAAAAAUUUAUCUUCUAAAAUUUUUAAAAAAAGUAAAAUCGCAAAAAAAAUUAGAAAGCUGGUAUUUUUGAUAAAUUUCCAAAUAUGUAAUCAAGAAAAAUAACUUUUACUAUCCAAUCAACUCAUUUAAAGAUGUGUGUCAAAAAUCAAAAUAUCAUACAAAAAAUAGGUAUACAUUUUUUUAAUAGAUUAUACUCCCUCUGUUCCAAAAUAAGUGUCAGCUGGGGGUAAUAACAAGACCUUAGUCAACCCAAGCACAGCAGACAGCAGGCAUAAGGCAUCAGGAAUUUCACAGGACCAUUAUCUUUCUCUUAUUAACUGUGAAGGGAACAGCGUAUGAAGUAGCAAGAACCUUCAUAUUUACACAGCCAUUGAUCUGUCGUGCAACAAAUUUCAGGGAGAAAUUCCAAAGGUUACCGGAGAGCUUAGAUGGCUUGCAUUGCUCAAUUUAUCGCAUAAUUAAUAGUCUGACAGGACCUAUCCCAACAUUGCUGAGAAAUAUGAAAUAACUCCAUUACUCCAAUCUUAGAUUUGUCCUCAAAUCAACUGACAGGGGCUAUUCCACCUCUGUUAACUGCAUUGACAUUACUUUUCUCUUUAUAUUCUUUCCUUUUGUAUGUACCUAUGCUAAUUAUCUGAUUAUUAAAAUUAUAACAAAGCUUCAAGAUUUUUAACAGGUGAGCUUCCACUAAAAAUUUGCAAAGUCACUUCCCUUUCGCGUCUCAUUAUGUUAGAUAAUGGGUCAAGUGGUGCACUUCCACAGUGUUUGGGGAACCUUUCUUUGCUUGGUUUCAAUAAUCUUGCUAAUUAUCAAUUUCAAGGACCAAUACCAACGACUGUCCAAGACUUGUCUGUGCAUAUCUAAACAUCCAUAACAAUCACUUUGAAGGUUUGUUGCUCCAAUCUUUGGCAAACUGUAAACACUUACAAAUUCUUGAUAUUGGAAACAACGUUGGAGAGCUAGAUGUCCCAGUUAGGGCGGUAAUUCGACUAGAGCAAACCGAGUUUUGAGCGGAGCCAAAUUCGAGCCAAGUUUAAUCGAGUCGAGCCGAGUCGGCUCGUUUAGCUAAUCGAGCCUAAAACUUAGCCCGAACUCGACUCAUUUAAUUUCACGAGUCGAGUCGAGCCAACUCGUUUAGCUAAAUGAGCUGAUUUUAACAAGUCGAGCGAGCGAGCUCGUAUAAUUUUAACUUAGUCGAGCCUGAAUCUCUACCCAAACUAUUGGCUCGUGUAAUUUCGCGAGUCGAAUCGAGCCGGCUCGUUUUAUUAAACAAGCCGAAAUUUUUGCCCGAAUUUGCUCGUUUAACAAGCCGAUCUGAGCCUAGUUAAAUGAGUUCGAGUUAGUCGAGCUCGCGAGCUGCGAGCUCACCUGCCAGCUCUAGUCCUAGUCUUGCAAUCAAAUAGGUUUAACGGUAUAGAAAGUGGAAGGAGCACAAGGCAUCCAUUCCCCAAGGCUAUUUACCAAUUCAGUACUUUGAGGAUACAAAAUCAUUCUGCAGGUACUCUUGUAUCUGUACUUUCUUGUACUGUAUGCCACUUUGACAGUAGAGUAAAAUUUAUAUCGACAAACUGCAUAUGUUCUGAACUACUCCUCUAUCCCAAAUUAGAUGAGCUAGUUGACUUUGAGCACGUAACUUAAGGUACAUUGACCAACUAGUUCCGAUAUUUAUUUUUUUAAUUUUUCUUUUGUAAAUGAAAAUUUCAUAUUUAAAUUUUUAUUUGCAAAACUAAAAUUUAAAAAUAUGUAAUGUGGCUAUGCGGUCAAUGUCAACGAGCUCAUCUAAUUUGGGAUUGGGAUGCAGGGAGUAUUACGUACUAUGUUAUGCAAGCUGUUUACAACUUUCAUCAAAAUUUUCAAACAUUUCUGAAUAUGUAUUUUCAAAGAAUUCUCGGGCACUCUUAAGGCCUAUAAUUAUUGGAACUCUCACGUUAUGGACCAGAGGACCACUAUGUAUUUUACAAGCACGACGAAUCAUGUGGUCAUUAUGGACUCCCCAAGCCUUAGAGGACUCAUUCCAGGUUUUAGGAGGACCACUGCCUAGCUCACCCUUUCGGAGUGAUGUAAAUUAGUUUCCAGACACUAAAAAUAAGUAAUCAGAUUAAUCAUUACAAAAUUUUGAUAUAAAAUCAGAAUAAAUCCUAAACUUUGAUGAUACAAAAAAAAUUAUAAUUGUAAAUUAUACAAUCAAAUUAAGAUCGAAUUAACUUCCCUCACACUUAAAAUUUAUAGCGAUCAAAUCAAAAUCGAAUUAACUUUCCUAUUACUAAAAUUUAAUUACAAUAUUAUUAGAUAAAGAGAAUAUAUAAUAAUCAAGAGAAAAUAGAUUUUUUUUUGCCACUCAACUUAUUGUGUUUUAAGAAACUUACCACCCAACUAAAUUUUUUUCCUUUUGCUCACUAAUGUUAGGUUUGGAUUUGUUUUUAGCCACCAAAUAAGGUUCGGAUUUGAUUACCAGCAUUAUGAUAAUUUUUUUUGUCACUAAACUUAUUGCGUCUUUAGAAACUAACCACUGAACUAAAUUUUUUUUAUUUUACUCACUAAUGUUAGAUUUAGUUUUUUUUGUCACUAUAGUUAGGUUCAGAUUUGAUUAUUAGCAUUACAUUAAUUCUGUGUAGCAUUUUUAAAAUAUGGUAGUAGUCUGUGAUAUUUAGAUGAUUUGAUAUAUGUCUGUAUUUUUAUAUAUAGUAUAUUUUAUGUCCCCAAGGUCGUUUACCUUGGGUCAUAAAAAUUUUACACUCAUUUUAUGACUUUUAAAAGAUGUAGUUUCAUAAAUAAUUUUAUUUUUUUCUUUCGAAUUAAAAUUCAGCAUUUGAAUUUUACACACAAAAAAAUCGCAAGAAUAAGAUAUGAAACUAUGCUUUACAAGAGUCUUAAAAUACGUGCUAAACGGUAGAAAAAACUGUAAACUAAUGAGAGGUACAUAGGGAGUAAUAAUAACAUAAAAUGAUGCACAAUCAUCGAAUUAAGUUUUCCUCUCUCUAUAUAUUUAUUUUGUAAAUUUUAAUAAGAUAAAGUUAUUAAAAUUUAUGAUAUAAAUUUAAGAGAUAUCUUAGAUUGAGUGGCAAAAAUUUAGUUGGGUGGUAAGUUUCUAAAAACACAAUAAAUUGAGUGGGAACAAAAUCUAUUUUCCCAAUAAUGAGUGGGAAUAAAAUCUAUUUUCCCAAUAAUCAAAGUGACGAAAAAUCAAAGUCAUCUAAUAAGUCCAGAAAAAAUAUGACCAUUAGUAUAUUGAAAUAAUAUUCACGCAUUUAUAUACGAGAAUAUAUGGUCCACAAGUUAGUGCACAAUGUCCAAGAAUCUUUAUCAAAUAACACGGCAAGCAUGCAGCAUAUAAAUAAGAGUGGGCAGUAUGGUAUUGCAUUCAUAACCCACUUGAGCAGAAAUAUGGCACACUUCCUAAAGCCUUCUCACCUUCUUCUCUUUGUUUUCUUUCUCUCGUUACUUCAAUCCAUUCUACCAACAAGACCAGAGGGAGAAGCUCUUGUGAAAUGGAAGAAUAGCCUAGCCCCGUCUUCUUUUCUCGAUUCUUGGUCACUAACCAAUCUCGAUAAUCUUUGUAACUGGACUGGCAUUACUUGUAACUCUGCAGGUUCAGUCUCUGGGAUUAACCUUUAUGAGAAACAACUUGAUGGAAUGCUGUCCGAGUUUGGCUUCACUUCAUUUCCGAAUCUCAACAAUCUCACCCUCGCAUACAACUUCUUCUCGGGUCCAAUACCACCAGCCAUUGAGAAUUUAACACAGCUUCAAUAUCUUGAUUUAAGCAUCAAUAGUCUCGAUGGUCCCAUUCCUUUCCAGGUUAGCCAUCUUCAGAGGUUGCUCGUCCUAAACCUGUCACAGAAUGCAUUGCAAGCUCCAAAUUGGUCCCAUUUCUCUUCCAUGCCUUUUUUGCGCAUCCUCAAGCUCAGUAGGAAUCAUCUUGUAUCNUUUUUAUUUAAAAAGAAAAUCUUGAAAAUAAUAUUAUUAACUACCAGUCAGAUCACUUAAGUGUAUGUCCAAAAUUAAAGCGGCAUAUAAAAAAAAGGGAGGAAGCAUGUACUAACUGUUUCCAUAACAGUUUACAAGUAUAAGCUAUACCCCCUCUCUAUUUUUUUCUAUGACAGCUUUGAUUUUGGGCACACAUUCUUAAGUGUUUUGACCGGAUAGUUAAAAAUUUAUCUUCUAAAAUUUUUAAAAAAAGUAAAAUCGCAAAAAAAAUUAGAAAGCUGGUAUUUUUGAUAAAUUUCCAAAUAUGUAAUCAAGAAAAAUAACUUUUACUAUCCAAUCAACUCAUUUAAAGAUGUGUGUCAAAAAUCAAAAUAUCAUACAAAAAAUAGGUAUACAUUUUUUUAAUAGAUUAUACUCCCUCUGUUCCAAAAUAAGUGUCAGCUGGGGGUAAUAACAAGACCUUAGUCAACCCAAGCACAGCAGACAGCAGGCAUAAGGCAUCAGGAAUUUCACAGGACCAUUAUCUUUCUCUUAUUAACUGUGAAGGGAACAGCGUAUGAAGUAGCAAGAACCUUCAUAUUUACACAGCCAUUGAUCUGUCGUGCAACAAAUUUCAGGGAGAAAUUCCAAAGGUUACCGGAGAGCUUAGAUGGCUUGCAUUGCUCAAUUUAUCGCAUAAUUAAUAGUCUGACAGGACCUAUCCCAACAUUGCUGAGAAAUAUGAAAUAACUCCAUUACUCCAAUCUUAGAUUUGUCCUCAAAUCAACUGACAGGGGCUAUUCCACCUCUGUUAACUGCAUUGACAUUACUUUUCUCUUUAUAUUCUUUCCUUUUGUAUGUACCUAUGCUAAUUAUCUGAUUAUUAAAAUUAUAACAAAGCUUCAAGAUUUUUAACAGGUGAGCUUCCACUAAAAAUUUGCAAAGUCACUUCCCUUUCGCGUCUCAUUAUGUUAGAUAAUGGGUCAAGUGGUGCACUUCCACAGUGUUUGGGGAACCUUUCUUUGCUUGGUUUCAAUAAUCUUGCUAAUUAUCAAUUUCAAGGACCAAUACCAACGACUGUCCAAGACUUGUCUGUGCAUAUCUAAACAUCCAUAACAAUCACUUUGAAGGUUUGUUGCUCCAAUCUUUGGCAAACUGUAAACACUUACAAAUUCUUGAUAUUGGAAACAACGUUGGAGAGCUAGAUGUCCCAGUUAGGGCGGUAAUUCGACUAGAGCAAACCGAGUUUUGAGCGGAGCCAAAUUCGAGCCAAGUUUAAUCGAGUCGAGCCGAGUCGGCUCGUUUAGCUAAUCGAGCCUAAAACUUAGCCCGAACUCGACUCAUUUAAUUUCACGAGUCGAGUCGAGCCAACUCGUUUAGCUAAAUGAGCUGAUUUUAACAAGUCGAGCGAGCGAGCUCGUAUAAUUUUAACUUAGUCGAGCCUGAAUCUCUACCCAAACUAUUGGCUCGUGUAAUUUCGCGAGUCGAAUCGAGCCGGCUCGUUUUAUUAAACAAGCCGAAAUUUUUGCCCGAAUUUGCUCGUUUAACAAGCCGAUCUGAGCCUAGUUAAAUGAGUUCGAGUUAGUCGAGCUCGCGAGCUGCGAGCUCACCUGCCAGCUCUAGUCCUAGUCUUGCAAUCAAAUAGGUUUAACGGUAUAGAAAGUGGAAGGAGCACAAGGCAUCCAUUCCCCAAGGCUAUUUACCAAUUCAGUACUUUGAGGAUACAAAAUCAUUCUGCAGGUACUCUUGUAUCUGUACUUUCUUGUACUGUAUGCCACUUUGACAGUAGAGUAAAAUUUAUAUCGACAAACUGCAUAUGUUCUGAACUACUCCUCUAUCCCAAAUUAGAUGAGCUAGUUGACUUUGAGCACGUAACUUAAGGUACAUUGACCAACUAGUUCCGAUAUUUAUUUUUUUAAUUUUUCUUUUGUAAAUGAAAAUUUCAUAUUUAAAUUUUUAUUUGCAAAACUAAAAUUUAAAAAUAUGUAAUGUGGCUAUGCGGUCAAUGUCAACGAGCUCAUCUAAUUUGGGAUUGGGAUGCAGGGAGUAUUACGUACUAUGUUAUGCAAGCUGUUUACAACUUUCAUCAAAAUUUUCAAACAUUUCUGAAUAUGUAUUUUCAAAGAAUUCUCGGGCACUCUUAAGGCCUAUAAUUAUUGGAACUCUCACGUUAUGGACCAGAGGACCACUAUGUAUUUUACAAGCACGACGAAUCAUGUGGUCAUUAUGGACUCCCCAAGCCUUAGAGGACUCAUUCCAGGUUUUAGGAGGACCACUGCCUAGCUCACCCUUUCGGAGUGAUGUAAAUUAGUUUCCAGACACUAAAAAUAAGUAAUCAGAUUAAUCAUUACAAAAUUUUGAUAUAAAAUCAGAAUAAAUCCUAAACUUUGAUGAUACAAAAAAAAUUAUAAUUGUAAAUUAUACAAUCAAAUUAAGAUCGAAUUAACUUCCCUCACACUUAAAAUUUAUAGCGAUCAAAUCAAAAUCGAAUUAACUUUCCUAUUACUAAAAUUUAAUUACAAUAUUAUUAGAUAAAGAGAAUAUAUAAUAAUCAAGAGAAAAUAGAUUUUUUUUUGCCACUCAACUUAUUGUGUUUUAAGAAACUUACCACCCAACUAAAUUUUUUUCCUUUUGCUCACUAAUGUUAGGUUUGGAUUUGUUUUUAGCCACCAAAUAAGGUUCGGAUUUGAUUACCAGCAUUAUGAUAAUUUUUUUUGUCACUAAACUUAUUGCGUCUUUAGAAACUAACCACUGAACUAAAUUUUUUUUAUUUUACUCACUAAUGUUAGAUUUAGUUUUUUUUGUCACUAUAGUUAGGUUCAGAUUUGAUUAUUAGCAUUACAUUAAUUCUGUGUAGCAUUUUUAAAAUAUGGUAGUAGUCUGUGAUAUUUAGAUGAUUUGAUAUAUGUCUGUAUUUUUAUAUAUAGUAUAUUUUAUGUCCCCAAGGUCGUUUACCUUGGGUCAUAAAAAUUUUACACUCAUUUUAUGACUUUUAAAAGAUGUAGUUUCAUAAAUAAUUUUAUUUUUUUCUUUCGAAUUAAAAUUCAGCAUUUGAAUUUUACACACAAAAAAAUCGCAAGAAUAAGAUAUGAAACUAUGCUUUACAAGAGUCUUAAAAUACGUGCUAAACGGUAGAAAAAACUGUAAACUAAUGAGAGGUACAUAGGGAGUAAUAAUAACAUAAAAUGAUGCACAAUCAUCGAAUUAAGUUUUCCUCUCUCUAUAUAUUUAUUUUGUAAAUUUUAAUAAGAUAAAGUUAUUAAAAUUUAUGAUAUAAAUUUAAGAGAUAUCUUAGAUUGAGUGGCAAAAAUUUAGUUGGGUGGUAAGUUUCUAAAAACACAAUAAAUUGAGUGGGAACAAAAUCUAUUUUCCCAAUAAUGAGUGGGAAUAAAAUCUAUUUUCCCAAUAAUCAAAGUGACGAAAAAUCAAAGUCAUCUAAUAAGUCCAGAAAAAAUAUGACCAUUAGUAUAUUGAAAUAAUAUUCACGCAUUUAUAUACGAGAAUAUAUGGUCCACAAGUUAGUGCACAAUGUCCAAGAAUCUUUAUCAAAUAACACGGCAAGCAUGCAGCAUAUAAAUAAGAGUGGGCAGUAUGGUAUUGCAUUCAUAACCCACUUGAGCAGAAAUAUGGCACACUUCCUAAAGCCUUCUCACCUUCUUCUCUUUGUUUUCUUUCUCUCGUUACUUCAAUCCAUUCUACCAACAAGACCAGAGGGAGAAGCUCUUGUGAAAUGGAAGAAUAGCCUAGCCCCGUCUUCUUUUCUCGAUUCUUGGUCACUAACCAAUCUCGAUAAUCUUUGUAACUGGACUGGCAUUACUUGUAACUCUGCAGGUUCAGUCUCUGGGAUUAACCUUUAUGAGAAACAACUUGAUGGAAUGCUGUCCGAGUUUGGCUUCACUUCAUUUCCGAAUCUCAACAAUCUCACCCUCGCAUACAACUUCUUCUCGGGUCCAAUACCACCAGCCAUUGAGAAUUUAACACAGCUUCAAUAUCUUGAUUUAAGCAUCAAUAGUCUCGAUGGUCCCAUUCCUUUCCAGGUUAGCCAUCUUCAGAGGUUGCUCGUCCUAAACCUGUCACAGAAUGCAUUGCAAGCUCCAAAUUGGUCCCAUUUCUCUUCCAUGCCUUUUUUGCGCAUCCUCAAGCUCAGUAGGAAUCAUCUUGUAUCGAAAUUUCCAGAAUUUAUAUCCAAUUCUCAUAGCUUGGCUAUCCUUGACCUUGGCCAGAACAACUUUACAGGUGAUCUUGUGCGUGAAUUUACCAAUCUACAAAAUCUUGAAACCCUCUGGCUUUAUCGUAAUUCUUUUGAGGGGCCAUUUCCGCCGGAUAUAGUCCAGCUUUCCAAACUAAAAGAUCUUGCCCUGUCAAGUAACAAAUUUUCAGGUUCAGUUCCCAAUAACAUAAGGUUGCUUUGUGAUCUUGAAUACCUAUAUUUAGGCAACAAUUCCUUUAAGGGGCCACUUCCACCAAAUAUAUUUAAGCUUUCAAAAUUAAAACAUCUUGUUCUUUGGAGUAAUAAGUUUUCAGGUUCUGUUUCCAAUGAUAUAGGUUUGCUUCAUGAGCUUGUAACCCUCAAUCUUAACUCUAAUUUUUUUGAGGGGCCGCUUCCGCCAAAUGUAUUCAAGCUCUCCAAACUAAAGUUUUUUGCCCUUCAUGAGAAUAACUUUUCAGGUUUUAUUUCUAAGGAUAUAGGUUUGCUUUCCGAACUUGAAAUCCUCUAUUUUGGCUCUAAUUUUUUUGAGGGGCCGCUUCCUCCACAUGUAUUUAGGCUCUCCAAAUUAAGAGGUCUGGACCUCUCACACAAUAGAAAUUUAUUUGAAGGAAGUAUUCCUAUUGGACUGGGACUCUUGACUAACCUCAGGUACUUAGAUCUACAUUCCAAUAAUCUCGGUGGCUAUAUUCCAUCUGACAUUGGAAACCUGAAGCUACUAGUACUUCUUGAUCUCGGUUCUAAUCAAUUGACUGGACCGCUUUCAAAGAUCGUUUCUAAUCUCACAAAUCUUAUAUGUCUUGAUGUAAGUCAUAAUAGUCUUAGUGGAAAUAUUCAGAGUGACUUGUGGAAAUAUAACGAUCAUCCAACUUUGGAAUACAUCAAUUUAAGUGGGAACCAUUUUACGGGUAUAGUUUUUCUCUAUAGAUCUUUUCCUUUUCUCAUAUGUAACUAAGCUAGUAAUCUGAUUAUUGCAGUUUCACCAAAGUUUCAACAAUCUUGACAGGUGAGCUUCCAACAACAAUUUGCAAUGUCACUUCCCUUUCGGUUCUUGAUUUGUCAAAUAAUGAAUUAAGUGGUGCACUUCCAAACUCUUUGGGGAAUCUUGCUGAUGGAAUGCUUUACCUUAAUCUUGCUAAUAAUCAGUUUCGAGGAACAAUACCAACUACUUUCUCCAGGAGUUGUCGGUUGACAUAUCUAAACAUGGAUAAUAAUGAGUUUGAAGGAUUGUUGCCCCCAUCUUUGGCGAACUGUAAGCACUUGAAAAUUCUUGAUAUAGGCAAUAAUAAAAUAGGUGGUACAUUUCCGUCAUGGCUUUAUGCACUUGGAGAGCUAGAAGUUCUUGUCUUGCGAUCAAAUAAACUCUAUGGUACGAUAAGUGGAAGGAGCAUAGAAGAUCCCUUCCCCAAGUUGCGGAUUGUGGAUCUGUCCCACAAUCAAUUGACAGGCUAUUUGCCAAUUCAAUACUUUAAGAAUAUGAAAUCAACUGAUAAUUUGUAUCGUUAUCGGAAUUCCACAGGACCAUUAUCUUUCUCUUAUGAAGCAGCAGUCUCAUUAACUGUGAAGGGAACAGAGUACGAGGUAGCAAAGAACCUUCAUAUUUACACAGCCAUUGACCUGUCGUGCAACAAAUUUCAGGGAGAAAUUCCAAAGGUUACUGGAGAGCUUAGAUGGCUUGCAUUGCUGAAUUUAUCUCAUAAUAGUCUGACAGGACCUAUCCCAUCCUUGCUGAAAAAUAUGAAAGAACUCCAAUCUUUAGAUUUGUCCUCAAAUCAACUGACAGGGGCUAUUCCACCUCAGUUAACUGCAUUGACAUUUCUGGAGGUCUUCAACCUCUCGGGAAACCAUCUUAGUGGAGAGAUUCCUCAGAAAGGGCAGUUCAGCACAUUUAACAAUGAUUCUUAUCUAGGAAACUCCGCGUUAUGUGGAUCACCUUUGACAAAGAAAUGUGCAAACACAGCAUCACCUCCACAAGAAGUCGGAAAUGGUGAUGAAGAUGAUGCUGGUGAUGAAUGGACAUGGGAAGCAAUCGUGAUGGGAUAUGGAUGUGGACUGAUAUGUGGAUUGUCAUCUGCGUACAUUGUUCUCAAACUAGGAAAGCCUUGGUGGUUUGUGAGAUAUAUCGAAGUGCUGCAACUGAAGUUGAUGAAAAGAUAUGCUUGAAAAAUUGUACUGGCCGAUCAAGACGAACUUGAAAGUUGUUGUCCUUGUGGACAUUUCUGAACCAGUAGUGUACUAGCUGCAUAAGUAUUUGGUAUUAUGUAAUAAUCCGUUUGGUCAGGACUCAUAAUGAUUUCUCUUGCUUCAGGGGUAUUAAUAUUAACCUUGCUAGUUAAUUCAAAUUAAAACAAAUAUAAAAUCAAAAAAUUUGCAUCAAACACCUGUUAUACCAACAUCCAUUAAUUUGCUUUCAUCUCUUACGUAACAAUUUAACAGCGAUUCCACACUGUUUUAGGCAUGGAGAUUACACAAAGAAGGCAAGUCCAUGAACUAAUAUAUUAACCCGUAGUCCACAUCUAUGCUACGAACAAUUCAUAUUGGUCUUCCAUCUAUUCAACCGUCUCCCGAAGAUAGGCCAAAAAUGUCAUCUGUGGUUCUUAUCUUUGUCAGUAAAGGAGAAUCUCUGAUGCCUAUACAACCUGGUUUUCUUACAGAAAGGAAUGUAGGUGAAACCAGGGGCAUAAAAUGAAUCGGGACUAAAAUCUGCUAAAAUGAUAAUUAUUUACUCAUCAUUCGAGAUUAGUCGGGCUCAAAUGAAGAUUUAUAUGGAUUUUAAGAACAAACUAUGACUAAAUAUGAAAACUAGACAACCUGGUUUUCUUACAGAAAGGAAUGUAGGUGAAACCAGGGGCGUAAAAUGAAUCGGGACUAAAAUCUGCUAAAAUGAUAGUAAUUAUUUACUCAUCAUUCAAGAUUAGUCGGGCUCAAAUGAAGAUUUAUAUGGAUUUUUAAGAACAAACUAUGACUAAAUAUGAAAAAAAUCAUUAAUUUUUCCGACUCAAUAUUUUUUAGCCUCCCCCGGCCCUGGGUGAAACCAUAAGCUUCUCUGGUGCACAUCCAAAUCAUUCAGCUGGUUCUGCAGGUACUCUUCUAUCUGUACUUUCUUAUAUUGUUUGCCAGUACAUUUUAUAUCGACAAACUGCACAAUACACCUCGAUCUCAUACACAGGUGAACUCCUGCAUAUGCUUUGUGAUGUCAUUGAUGAUCGAUAGACUUGAAAAAAAAUUAUGACAAAGAUUCAUAAAAUAUCUACUUCCAUCCUAAUUCAGUAUUCAAUAUUAUUCAUCCCGUAUCAUCAUCCAAUCAAUUCUAAUAGUUCUUCUUUAAAUCAGUACAAAUAUUGUUAAAUACCUCGAUGAUGGUUGUCUUCCCGUGAACCAAUCAUAAAAUUACCUCUGUAUAAAUCCAUCGGAAAUAAGACAGUUAAUAUCCCAAUCGAAUACACCCCGUCAGUUGUCAAACUCCUCGAAACGUAUUAAUCACUUUAGAAAAUUUGUUCCACUGGCGCUAGUCAGUCCCAGAGUUGGUGGUGGGUGCUUCUGGGCUUUCGAAAAACACCCAUUUACUCCAUUGUUUAGAGAAGUAAAACCCCACCUUCCGCUCAUUUGAUUGAUCAGCUGAAUUAGGCAGAGUUUACAUGGUCAUGAUCAUAGUCUCCCAUUUCCCAGAUACGCGAAUUAUAGUGGAUUUAUCUUUAUCAGUAAUUUCUGUGGAGAUGCAUAAUCAUUAUAAGCUCCAAUAUAAAAAUUUAAAGUUAGUAUGGGCAUUUGUGUUGAUAAUUUGCGCAAUGUUAACAGGAUUGCUCCCAAGUCUUGGACGGACUCUUUCAAAGUCUUCUCAGGACCCAUCUGCACACUGAUUUGUCUGCCAACUAAAAAAUCAACAAUAUGUUACUCACUCCGUUUUUCUUAAACGAGGUUAAAAUUUUUGACACAAGAUGGGUUGACAGUAUAAUAAAAUUAACAUUUUUGUGAAUAAAAAUUUUGGUUGUAUUAUUUUAUUUAGAAAAAGAAAAUCUUGAAAAUAAUAUUAUUAACUACCCAGUCAAAUCACUUAAAAGUAUAUGUCCAAAAUUAAAGCGGCAUAUAAAAAAACCGAGAGAGAGUAUGUACUAACCUGUUUCCAUAACAGUUUACAAGUAUAAGUUAUACUCCCUCUCUAUUUUUUUAUAUGACGCUUUGAUUUUGGGCACAUAUUUUUAAGUGUUUUGACCGGAUAAUUAAAAAUAUUAUUUUCUAAAAUUUUUAAAAGAAAGUAAAAUUGAAAAAAAAAUAGAAAGCUGGUAUUUUUGAUAAAUUUCCAAACAUAAUCAAGAACAAUAAUUUUUACUAUCCAAUCAACUCAUUUACAGAUGUGUGUCAAAAAUCAAAAUAUCAUAUAAAAAACAACAAUAUGUUACUCCCUCCGUUUUUCUUAAACUGAGGUUAAAAUUUUUGACACAAGAUGGGUUGACAGUAUAAAAUUAAAAUUUUUGUGAAUAAAAAUUUUGGUUAUAUUUUUUAUUUAAAAAGAAAAUCUUGAAAAUAAUAUUAUUAACUACCAGUCAGAUCACUUAAGUGUAUGUCCAAAAUUAAAGCGGCAUAUAAAAAAAAGGGAGGAAGCAUGUACUAACUGUUUCCAUAACAGUUUACAAGUACAAGUUAUACUCCCUCUCUAUUUUUUCUAUGACGCUUUGAUUUUGGGCACACAUUCUUAAGUGUUUUGACCGGAUAGUUAAAAAUUUAUCUUCUAAAAUUUUUAAAAAGAAGUAAAAUCGCAAAAAAAAUUAGAAAGCUGGUAUUUUUGAUAAAUUUCCAAAUAUGUAAUCAAGAACAAUAACUUUUACUAUCCAAUCAACUCAUUUAAAGAUGUGUGUCAAAAAUCAAAAUAUCAUACAAAAAAUAGGUAUACAUUUUUUUUAAUAGAUUAUACUCCCUCUGUUCCAAAAUAAUUGUCAGCUGUGACAUUUUGCAAAAGUAGCUGGGGGGUAAUAACAAGACCUUAGUCAACCCAAGCACAGCAGACAGCAGGCAUAAGGCAUCAGGAAUUUCACAGCACCAUUAUCUUUCUCUUAUUAACUGUGAAGGGAACAGAGUAUGAAGUAGCAAGAACCUUCAUAUUUACACAGCCAUUGAUCUGUCGUGCAACGAAUUUCAGGGAGAAAUUUCAAAGGUUACUGGAGAGCUUAGAUGGCUUGCAUUGCUCAAUUUAUCUCAUAAUAGUCUCACAGGACCUAUCCCAUCAUUGCUGAGAAAAAUGAAAGAACUCCAAUCUUUAGAUUUGUCCUCAAAUCAACUGACAGGGGCUAUUCCACCUCAGUUAACUGCAUUGACAUUACUUUUCUCUUUAUAUCCUUUCCUUUUGUAUGUACCUAUGCUAAUUAUCUGAUUAUCAAAAUUAUAACAAAGCUUCAAGAUUUUUAACAGGUGAGCUUCCACUAAAAAUUUGCAAAGUCACUUCCCUUUCGCGUCUCAUUAUGUCAGAUAAUGGGUCAAGUGGUGCACAUCCACAGUGUUUGGGGAACCUUUCUUUGCUUGGUUUCAAUAAUCUUGCUAAUUAUCAAUUUCAAGGACCAAUACCAACGACUGUCCAAGACUUGUCUGUGCAUAUCUAAACAUCCAUAACAAUCACUUUGAAGGUUUGUUGCUGCAAUCUUUGACAAACUGUAAACACUUACAAAUUCUUGAUAUUGGAAACAACAAAAUAGGUGGUACAUUUCGGUCAUGGCUAUUUAUUUUGGAGAGCUAGAUGUCCUAGUUAGGGCGGUAAUUCAACUAGAGCAAACCGAGUUUUGAGCGGAGCCAAAUUCGAGCCAAGUUUAAUCGAGUCAAGCCGAGUCGGCUCGUUUAGCUAAUCGAGCCUAAAACUCUGCCCGAACUCGACUCGUUUAAUUUCACGAACGAGUCAAGCGAGUGAGCUCGUAUAAUUUUAACUUAAUCGAGCCUAAAUCUCUACCCGAACUAUUGGCUCGUGUAAUUUCGCGAGUAGAAUCGAGCCGGCUCGUUUUAUUAUAGAAGCCGAAAUUUUUGCCCGAAUUUGGCUUGUUUAACAAGCCGAUCUUUCAUCAAAAAUUUCAAACAUUUCUGAAUAUGUAUUUUCAGAGAAUUUCUCCAGCACUCUUAAGGCCUAUAAUUAUUGCAACUCUCACGUUAUGGACCACUGUGUAUUUUACAAGCACGACGAAUCAUGUUGUCAUUAUGGACUCCCCAAGCCUUAGAGGACUCAUUCCAGGUCUUAGGAGGACCACUGCCUAGCUCACCCUUUCGGAGUGAUGUAAAUUAUUUUCCAAACAUUAAAAAUAAAUAAUCAGAUUAAUCAAUACAAAAUUAAAGAUAUAAAAUCAGAAUAAAUCCUAAACUUUGAAUAUACAAAAAAAAUUAUAAUUGUAAAUUAUACAAUCAAAUUAAAAUUGAAUUAACUUCCCUCACACUUAAAAUUUAUAGCGAUCAAAUCAAAAUCGAAUUAACUUUCCUAUUACUAAAAUUUAGUUACAAUAUUAUUAGAUAAAGAGAAUAUAUAAUAAUCAAGGGAAAAUAGAUUUUUUUUUUUUGCCACUCAACUUAUUGUUUUUUAAGAAACUUACCACCCAACUAAUUAUUUUUUCCUUUUGCUCACUAAUGUUAGGUUUGGAUUUGUUUUUAGCCACCAACUAAGGUUCGGAUUUGAUUACUAGCAUUAUGAUAAUUUUUUUUGUCACUAAACUUAUUGUGUCUUUAGAAACUAACCACUCAACUAAUUUUUUUUUAAUUUACUCACUAAUGUUAGGUUCAGUUUUUUUUUGUCACUGAAGUUAGGUUCGGAUUUGAUUAUUAGCAUUACAUUAAUUCUGUGUAGCAUUUUUAAAAUAUGGCUCAUAAGAAUUUUACACGCAUUUUAUGACUUUUAAAAGAUGUAGUUUCAUUAAUAAUUUUAUUUUUUUCUUCCGAAUUAAAAUUUAGCGUUUGAAUUUUACACACAAAAAAUCGAAAGAAUAAGUUAUGAAAGUAUGCUUUAUAAGAGUCUUAAAAUACGUGCUAAACGGUAGAAAAAACUGUACACUAAUGACAGGUAAAUAGGGAGUAAUAAUAACAUAAAAUGAUGCACAAUCAUCGAAUUAAGUUUUCCUCUCUCUAUAUAUUUAUUUUGAAAAUUUUAAUAAGAUAAAGUUAUUAAAAUUUAUGAUAUAAAUUUAAGAGAUAUCUUAGAUUGAGUGGCAAAAAUUUAGUUGGGUGAUAAAUUUCUAAAAACACAAUAAAUUGAAUGGGAACAAAAUCUAUUUUCCCGAUAAUCAAAGUGACGAAAAAUCAAAGUCAUCUAAUAAGUCCAGAAAAAAUAUGACCAUUAGUAUAUCGGAAUAAUAUUCACACAUUUAUAUACGAGAAUAUAUGGUCCACAAGUUAGUGCACAAUGUCCAAGAAUCUUUAUUAAAGUAACACGGCAAGCAUGCAGCAUAUAAAUAAGAGUGGGCACUGGGCAGUAUGGUAUUGCAUUCAUAACCCACUUGAGGAGAAAUAUGGCACACUUCCUAAAGCCUUCUCACCUUCUUCUCUUUGUUUUCUUUCUCUCGUUACUUCAAUCCAUUCUACUAACAAGACCAGAGGGAGAAGCUCUUGUGAAAUGGAAGAAUAGCCUUGCCCCUUCUUCUUUUCUCGAUUCUUGGUCACUCACCAAUCUCGAUGAUCUUUGUAACUGGACUGGCAUUACUUGUAACUCUGCAGGUUCAGUCUCUGAGAUUAACCUUUAUGAGAAACAACUUGAUGGAAUGCUGUCCGAGUUUAGUUUCACUUCAUUUCCAAAUCUUAACAGUCUCACUCUCGCAUACAACUUCUUCUCGGGUCCAAUACCACCAGCCAUUGAGAAUUUAACACAGCUUCAAUAUCUUGAUUUAAGCAUCAAUAGUCUCGAUGGUCUCAUUCCGUUCCAGGUUAGCCAUCUUCAGAGGUUGCUCGUCUUAAACCUGUCACAGAAUGCAUUGCAAGCUCCAAAUUGGUCCCAAUUCUCUCCCAUGCCCUUUUUGUGCAGCCUCAACCUCAGUAGCAAUCCUCUUGCGUCGAAAUUCCCAAAUUUCAUAUCCAAUUCUCAUGGCCUGACUCACCUUAGCCUUGAUCAAAACGAGUUUACAGGUGAUUUAGCGCGUGAAUCAAUAUUUGCCAAUCUGCAUAAUCUUGAAGUCCUCAGUCUUGUUGGCAAUUCUUUUGAGGGGCCAUUUCUGCCAAAUAUAUUCAAGCUUUCCAAAUUAAAACGUCUCACCCUGUCAAGUAACAAAUUUUUAGGAUCAAUUCCCAAUGACAUAAGGUUGCUUUGUGAUCUUGAAUUCCUGUAUUUAGGAAACAAUUCUUUUGAAGGACCGCUUCCACCAAAUAUAUUCAAGCUUUCAAAAUUAAAACAUCUUGUUCUUUGGAGUAAUAAGUUUUCAGGUUCUGUUUCCAAUGAUAUAGGUUUGCUUUCUGCGCUUGAACUUUUGAAUCUUCACUCUAAUUUUUUUGAGGGGCCGCUUCCGCCAAAUGUAUUCAAGCUCUCUAAACUAAGGUUUCUUAACCUCUGGGGUAACAACUUUUCAGGUUCUGUUUCCAAUGAUAUAGGUUUGCUUCCGGAGCUAGAAAUCCUCAAUCUUCACUCUAAUUUUUUUGAGGGCCGCUUCCGCCAAAUAUAUUCAAGCUCUCUAAACUAAGGUUUCUUAACCUUUGGGGUAAUAACUUUUCAGGUUCUGUUUCCAAUGAUAUAGGUUUGCUUCCUGAGCUAGAAUUCCUCAAUCUUCACUCUAAUUUUUUUGAGGGUCCGCUUCCGCCAAAUGUAUUCAAGCUCUCUAAACUAAAGUUUCUUCAUCUUCGAGGUAAUAAGUUUUCAGGUUCUGUUUCCAAUGAUAUAGGUUUGCUUCCUGAGCUUGAAAUCCUCAAUCUUCGCUCUAAUUUUUUUGAGGGGCCGCUUCCGCCAAAUGUAUUCAAGCUCUCCAAACUAAGGUUUCUUUCCCUUAAGGAAAAUAAAUUUUCAGGUUCUGUUUCCAAUGAUAUAGGUUUCCUUUCUGAGCUUGAAUACCUAUAUCUUGACUAUAAUUUAUUUGAAGGAAGUAUUCCUAUUGGACUGGGACUCUUGACUAACCUCAGCUACUUAGAUCUAAGUUCCAAUAAUCUCAGUGGCUAUAUUCCAUCUGACAUUGGAAACCUGAAGCUACUAGUAUUUCUUGAUCUCAGUUCUAACCAAUUGACUGGACCGCUUUUAAAGAUCGUUUCUAAUCUCACAAAUCUUAUGAAUCUUGAUGUAAGUGAUAAUAGUCUUAGUGGAAAUAUUCAGAGUGACUUGUGGAAGAACUCUAUAUCCUUACGUUACAUUAAUUUUGCAAAUAAUUAUUUGUCUGGGAACAUUCCUAAGGAAUACAACGAUCAUCCAACUUUGGAAUACAUCAAUUUAAGUGGGAACCAUUUUACAGGUAUAUUUUUCUCUAUAUAUCUUUUCCUUUUCUCAUAUGUAACUAAGCUGGUAAUCUGAUUAUUGCAGUUUUACCAAAGUUUCAACAAUCUUGACAGGUGAGCUUCCAACAACAAUUUGCAAUGUCACUUCCCUUGCGGUUCUUGUUUUGUCAAAUAAUGGAUUAAGUGGAGCACUUCCAAAUUGUUUCGGGAAACUUGCUGAUAGAUUGCUUUCCAUUAAUCUUGCUAAUAAUCAGUUUCGAGGAACAAUACCAACUACUUUCUCCAGGAGUUGUCAGGUGAAAUAUCUAAACAUGGAUAAUAAUGAGUUUGAAGGAUUCUUGCCCCCAUCUUUGGCGAACUGUAAGCACUUGAAAAUUCUUGAUAUUGGCAAUAACAAAAUAGGUGGUCCAUUUCCGUCAUGGCUUUAUGUACUUGGAGAGAUAGAAGUCCUUGUCUUGCGAUUAAAUAAACUCUAUGGUACAAUAAGUGGAAGGAGCGUAAAAGAUCCCUUCCCCAAGUUGCGGAUUGUGGAUCAAUAGACAUCGGCUAAAAAGCGAUGUCUAUGUAAAAUCAGACCGAUGUCUUCGUGGGUGAUGAGAAAAGUAAGUGCAUUACACAUCGCUUUCUAGCCGAUGUCUAUAACCUAUUUACACAUCGUUUAAUAUGACAAUCUGAUGUAUUUUUUAACAGUAGAUACCUUCACUAUAAUUUCAGUUCCUCAUUCCUAUGCCCUCUAUAUCAUUUUAAACUUGUCACAUGCUUAAUAAAAUGAUACUUUAACAUCUUAAAACUUGUAAAAUAGAUGUAUAUGAUAACCUUUUACAUCAUGCUUUUAUAGGAAGUGAUGUGGUACCCUUCUUUUCUUUAAGAAAGCGAUGUCUUUGUUCUUGUUUUACAUCAGUGAUUUUUAUACUCUGAUAUCUAUUAUAUAGUUUAACAUCAGGCUUUUUCUUGUUAACUGAUAUGUAUUCAUUCUUAUGACAUCGCUUACUAAGUGAUGUAAAUGUUAGUUUUAAAUUGCCAUGAAUCCUCCUGUUUCUUAUGAAUCCCCCUGUUUCAUUUAAAUUUCCAACAAAUUCCAAAACAACACCAAAGCUAUACUAAUUAAACAACCAAUUACCAAUGUCUAGCCUACCAUAACAGAACUAAAACAAAACUAGCUAGCAAAACAAUACUUCCGCAAAAGCCAAAUAUAUUACCAUCAAUCAUUACCAAUCAAAUUACAUCCCACAAUCAAAGAAACUGCACAAAUCCUAAAUAUUAACCAAGCAACCAUAAUUUACAAGCAGUUCACCACGUACUCCAGCAACCAUAAUUUACCAACUACAUUUCCCUCCAUUUAUCAACAAAAUCUACUUAGCUAGCUAGUGUCACUGUCUUACAUAAACUGAACUAAUUAAAGGAAACCAAAGUUCUCCAAUAAACCAAAGGCCUGUUUAUAAGAAGGACUCGAUAUGGCUAAGUGUCUCAAACCGAACCUCGUCAAGCUCAGCCUUGGAACAAAUCACUUUUCGAUUCUUGGAUGCCCACUGAAAAAUGUAAAACAAUAACAUUGAAUUAUACCUAAAUUUAUAUGUACACCAUUUAAUUAUAUCAACAAUGGAUUAGGCAAAGAAAAAUACCCUUUUAAAAAAUGUCAUUUCAUUGUCCAUGACAAUCUCUUUCAUAUACCGCAUAAUAACAUAGCCGCAUUCAGUUCCACCGGGCUGUUUAGGACAUCCCUAUUUAACCAAAAAAAACUCAAAAUAGUAAGUAAAGUAAUGCCCCUGGUUCUAAGCAUCAGUAGCACAAAUUGUUAAAAAUAAAUACGAAAGCUUACUGUAAUAUAUUUGAAGCUUGGGGCUUUAUUUCCCCUUCCGGCCUGAACAUUGAAAGUAAUCACAGCCCUGUCAUCUUGGCAGUGUUAAUAAUGCACAUGCAUUUAUAUCUCCAUAAGAAAGAUAAUCAAUAAAAAAAUAAAUGAAAAUACCUUGAUAUUGCUUUUUCCAAGUUGGGGAAACUAGUUGAACGAGGCAGAGGAUUAAGUAUGAAAACCUCGCCACCCCAAAACAGAACCAAUACCCAAUGGAAACUAUUUUUAACAAAUAUUUAUGAAAAACACAAUUACUAUCAAAAUCAUAUAAAUUUUAUUUUCAGUCAUGUAAAAAACUAAAUAAAAGAGAUUUAUAAUAAAUAAGAAAACACUUAAGCUACUUACUUGCUAUUAUGCGGCAUCAAAAAGAGACGAUCAGGAUUACCCUCUUUAAAUCGAUUAACCAAGUUAUCUUCAAAAGAAUUGUUCAUCAAGUUCAGCGAGGCUCCAGGAUCACAAAAAGCAAAUUGAUCCUUAGUGCCAUUUUCACGAACCACGCAAUGCAAGUAUCUACAUUGUAAAUGAAAUGAAAUUAUAUAAAAUUACACGAAUAUGAAUUAUAACUAAACAACAGUCAUGAUCUAGAAGACAGUAAUUAAAAAAAGUUUACUCACGCCAUGUAUGCAGCAAUUGCUGCUUGGCCAAUCAUAUUAAACUCCAGCAAGGCGACUAUGUUUUCAUACAAGAUGAAGAUUCUUUUCUCGAUACCAAACACCUCAGCAUCACACGGGAUUUGAAUUGAGUCUCCGGAGGAUUGCAUAAAUGUUGUUGCAUGUUUAUACAACAACCGAAAGCGUUUUGGAACAUUUUUAUUGAUCUCCAUGUUAUGAAACAAGGACUGGACUUUAUCUAAAUCGGUUUUAGGUUCCUUUACUUUCCGUUUACCUUUCUGAAAAAUGAACAAAAUUAAUUUAAAACAAAAUAUAACAAAAUAUAGGGGUAACAUAUAAUAGUACAAUCCAGUACAACAAUUAUGUUAAAGUACACACCAUAGUAGGAAUAGUAGGAGGGGCAUUUGGGAAUAUGAUCAAGUCGCGGGGCCAUGAGACGUACGAGCCAACAGCUUGCUCUACUGUUUCAAUCUCACCUGGUACCGGUUUAGGAAUCUUGGCUUGUCCUUGAAUUGGGCCAUCCACUGAGACGCGAACACAUCCAGGCUCUAUCGGCACUCCAUGUAUAGAUUUGUUCAUGUUAUCAUCAUCAAACAACAAACCAAAUGCCACUUUAUUUUCUAUUGUGCCUACAGCCAACUCACAUUUUCGUGGACCGGCCUACACACAUAUAUUUAAACAAUUAUGACGAAUGCUUGAAAUAUGUUGAGCUAAAUUGAAUAAAUGUGCUAGUUAUUUUACCUUAUUCUCUGGUGGAUUAGGUUCCAAGUCAACUUCAAUCAUCUCUGGUUCCAGUUUUUUCACCACCUCUGUCUUAGCUUCUUUGACAGUGUUUGCCUCACAACUUGCUUUAUCAGAAGCAAUAGGAGAUGAAAUAUUUGCUUUGCUGAGCAAGGCCUUCAUUUCAGCCAUCUCCUGCCUUGUCUUCUCCAUUUCCAUGGCCAUCUCUUUCUUGGCUUUCUCCAGCUCCGCGUCCCUCUCUCGAUCCCUCUCCAACAACUCAGCUUUGGUGAUUCUAUUUCUUCUUCCUGGUGGUAUAUUAAAAAAAAUUGACGGGCUCACAAAGCCUCCAACUCCUCGAACCCUCCCCGAAUGUUCAGGAGUUUGUAGGGCCGUAGUCAACACAUCUCGACUCCCAGAAGGAGUGAAUUCCCCCUUACUUUGCUGCUCUAGUAAAAUAUUCUGACAUGAAAAAUAUGAACAUACAAAUCAUCAUCUAGUGAACCUCAUCAUCAAUAUUAACUUUAAUUUUACGAGCCUUUUAAUUAUAAAUACUCACAAUUCUUUUUCCUAUUUCAGCUAGGUCUGAAUCCUCAUCAUCAGCAUCAUCAGCCUCAUCAUCAUCAUCAACAUUAUCAUUAUCAUCAUCAAUUUUAAUUUUACGAGCCUUUUGCCACAUGAGAGCCCGAUCAGGUUCUUCAUCGGCAGCCAAAGUUCCUUUCUUGAUCUGAUUAAAAUCAAAAAAAAAUUAAAAAGGCCAAGAUAUGUAAAAUACAAUUAUUUAGGUUCAAUGCUUAAAAUACAACUAUUUUUAUACCUCUUCUUCCAAUAAUCCAAUGUAACCCUUUCUUGAUGUCCGGUGAGGAUAUUUUCGAUUACUCACCCUCAGCUUUUGUUUUUCACUAAAAGACUUCAAAUAUUUUAAAUAAUAUUAGAAUACUAUUUUUCAGAAUAUAAAAAGACAUUUAUAUCACAAUAAAGCAGAACAUAAAAUAUAUUUCAUACCAGAAAUUUCGAGGUAGUCCUCUCAGCAACAAAAUUUUUCCAAGCCUCCUUUCCAACAAAAGCAUACUUCUUUGGAGGCUUUCGUAAUUUCUUCUUCUGCCCAAGAUACGGCCUCACAUAAUCUCUUGUUAAAUUUGCUUUAAAAUUCCUCCACUUUGCUCCUGCAGACCUGAUCAACCCCUUCUCAAGUUGCUUAGGAACUUUAAAUGUCUCCUGCAACCAAUGUUAAUUGACAAAAUUUACAAAAUUAUACUCUAAAUGAGUAGAAGAAAAUGCAAAAUUUACAAAAUGCAUAGGAGAUUACUUAUUUUUAUACCUUCACAUCAAUCCAUAUUUUCUCCUUUAGUUCAUCAGGUACCUUUGACCAGUUAGGAUAAUCAAUCGGAAUCAUUGUCCUAGCCAACAUUCCAGUGUAGGAUUGUAGACUGUGCCUUGCAUCCCCUGUAGGAACUCCAUGUGCAUUACAUGAAACCUUUGUUUUCUUGCCCUGCGCCUUCCUCACCACCACUUUAUACAUAGCAGAAACCCCUCGGGCACCCCCACGCUUUUUCUUUGCUGUUUCAGAUGUUGUAACUGUUGCAUCCGUUUCCUCCACAGAAUUCACAUUUUCUCCCUGAGGUUCUGUUGUCAGCUCCAACCUUUUAUCUGAUGCCUCAUCCGACUUUUUGGAGUCUUCAUGGAAUUGUACUUUGGUUUUUUGCUUUUUAUUUGCCAUUUAUCUUCUUCAAUCUGAAAAUGAAACAUAUAUAAUCCAUUAGUCACAGGCAUAUAUACGAGCAAUUACAGGAUAAGCAGUUAUAAAGUUACAUAAGCCUACAUAAGCCGUUACAAAAUUGUAAAAAUGCAUAACUAAACAUUUACACAGAGUGAAAAUUACAGGAGUCUAAUUACACAGAGUAAAUUACAAAGUUGCAUCACAUAUAUUACAUGACUUGAAAUAAUGUUAUCACAGAGUAAAUUACAAAGUCUCAUCACAAAAUUAACUAUUACAUGACUUGAAAUAAUGUUAUCACUUCUUAACCCAAGUGCCCUUAAUAUUUUCUCUAAUACUUUUCUCAACAUCAUCACCGACAUCACAUGUAGGAAUUUGGCAGCAGAAUGGAGGAUUUUCCAUGGUUGUGUCUCCUAAAUCAUCAUCGUUAUACACCUCUUGGUAGUCUCGAGUUGUAGAGGUUAAUACGACGGACCACUUGGCAUCCACCGGAUCUUCAAUAUAAUAAACUUGCUUUACUUGAUCUAUAGACACGUAUUUAUCUCUCUUGUGGCCUUGUCGACUUAGAUCGACAAGUGUGAACCCAAGAUCAUCCACCUUAAUUCCCUUGUCAUUGUCCGCCCAAUUACAUAAAAACAGUGGGGCUUUGAAUGCAUGAUAAUCCAGCUCCCAUAUAUCUAGGAUAACACCAUAAAAUGUCAAGUCACUUUCUACGGGGUUUAAAUCUUUAGCGCUAGACACUUGGACAGUUUUAGCAACUAAAGACACUCCGCUGUUUUGAACUACCCUCACAUUGUCUCGCUGUUUUGUAAAGUAUCGGACCCCGUCUACUAGAUAAGCUUCGUAAGUCAUAACUGAAAAUGAUGGUUUUCCAGCUAUCCAUCUUACUGUCUCUGAAACUCCUCCAGGAUUCUCCACCAUUUCACUACUGACCUACACAUUUCAUAAACAGAAAUUAUCCUAAAUUACUAUAGAGAAAAUAAAUUAGGCACAAAUGAAACUAUAAAAAUACUAACUUUUUCUAGAAACCAAUCAGCAAAACUGUUAUUGUGCUCUCUCAAGAGCCAAUGAACGCUUUUCUUUUUCCCACGAUGGAUUUCCUCUAGAUACUCCUUAUGCAUUCUGCCAAAAAUUAUAUAUUCAUUAAAGAAGUAGUUUAUACAGAAUGUAUAUAUUAAUUGAACAGCCACAAAAUUAAAAAAAUCUUACAAGAUAUAUGGCUGUACUUCAAGGUUGUUUAGAAGAACGUGUAAAUGAGCUUCAUCCCUCUCUUUUUCUUCGAUUGAUUUCAUUACCGCAACAGAUAAUGGACCACUUAACUUGCCUUCAUCUUUGCGAAGACCAGCAGUGGUGCAAGUUUGCUUGACAAACUCUUGGCAGAAUUCAAUCGAUUCUUCUCCAAGAUAACAUUCUGCUAUACAACCUUCGGGGUAGUAACGAUUGCGUACGUAACUCUUCAACACCUUAUUAAACCUCUCAAAUGCAUACAUCCAUCUAUAGAAGACUGGCCCACAUAACCGUAAUUCCCGAACCAAGUGCACUAUGAGAUGUAUCAUUACAUCAAAAAAUGAUGCAGGAAAAAUUUUUUCUAGCUCGCACAAAGUUACUAUUACAUCUGAUUGCAAUUUAUCUAGUUUAGAUACGUCGACAACUUUGCUGCAUAAAGCAUUAAAGAAGAAACACAAUCUAAUUAUUGUGACCCUGACUUUUUUUGGAAGUACCGCGCGAAUUGCAAUAGGAAGUAAUUGUUGAAGUAGGAUGUGGCAAUCGUGGGACUUCAACCCAAACAUUUUUAAUUCUUCCAUGGAAACACAGUUUUUAAUGUUUGACGCGUGUCCAUAAGGAAGUUUCAUGUGCAUUAACGAUGACAACAUCUUCUUCUUUUCUGCCUUGGACAAAUUAAAAAUCGAAGGAGGUAAAUAGGUCUUUCUUUCUCCUUUUUGUGGAGCUAGAUCAGCCCUAACCCCCAUGUCAAUCAUGUCAAGACGAGAAGCUUCACUAUCUUUAGACUUAUGUUUCAUAUUCAGUAGUGUGCCAAUCAAGCUAUCACACACGUUUUUCUCCACGUGCAUAACAUCUAGACAAUGACGGACAUGGUGAAAUUUCCAAUACUCUAACUCGAAGAAAAUUGACUUUUUCUUCCAUGGACAGUCAACCUUCUUUGACUUCCUUACUUCUUUCCCAAACUGAAAUUCAAUUUUUUCUUGCUGCAAUAAAACCUCUUCUCCCGAAAGAGGUUGACGUGCCUGCCCUAAUUCUUGUUGUCCAUUAAAAGCAGCUUUUUGCUUCCUAUAUGGAUGAUUUCUAGCCAAGUAACGUCGAUGACCUUGGUAACACAUCUUCCUACUAUGGCUUAAAUACUUUGCAACAGUAUCAUCACCACAUAUUGGACAAGACAUAUAACCUUUAUUAACACAUCCGGACAGAUUUCCAUAUGCGGGAAAGUCGUUUAUUGUCCACAAUAAAAUUGCUUUUAAAGUGAAAUACGACUUAGUGUGUGCAUCAUAGACAUUUGGUUCACCUUCCUCCCACAACUUCUUUAAAUCAUCGAUUAGAGGCUGUAAAUAUACAUCAAGGUCAUUACCAGGCUCAUGAGGACCGGGAACUAAAACUGUUAGCAUCAUAAACUUCCUCUUCAUGCAUAACCACGGAGGAAGAUUAUAAGUCACUAGUACUACUGGCCAACAAGUGUAUCUAUUGGUUAGACCGUUAUUAUGCGGGUUUAUACCAUCUGCAGACAACGCCAAGCGAAUAUUUCUUGCCUCACUACCGAAGGCAGGCCACCUAUAGUCGAUAUUUCUCCAAGAAGGAGAGUCGGCUGGAUGCCGCAUCUUUCCAUCUUCUAUUCGCUGCUUUGCGUGCCAGGUAAUCAGUUCAGAUGUAGAAGGAGAUUUAAACAUUCGCUUCAAUCUCGGAAUAAUUGGAAAAUACCACAUUAUUUUAGCAGGAACAUUAAUCCUUACUUUACCAUCCUUUCCUAACUUCCAGCGAGAUAGACUACACUUAGGACACUUAGAAGCAUCAACAUAUACCCCCCGAUAUAGUAUGCAAUCGUUUGGACAUGAGUGGUACUUUAUGUAUUCUAGGCCUAAGUUGGAUAAUGUUUUCUUGGCUUCAUAUGCAUUAGGUGGCAUCACAUUUUCCUUAGGAAGGAGAGAGCCAACAGUAGACAAUAAAUCUGUAAAGGCGCUAUCACUAAUUCCAAACCUUGCUUUCCAAUUAUGCAGUUUUAGCAUCGACUCCAAUUUGGUACAUUCACUACCCUCAUACAAAGGCUGUUGAGCAUCAGCCACAAAUCUCCUAAACUGAUACGACUCAUUAUUGUACUCACUCGAAUUAUACGCAGCAUCACAAACAUUGACUGUUUGUGAUGCAUGACCAGGGGAAUGCAUCGAUGCAGGGUCAAGCGUAGGUGCAGGGCUAGGGGCAUUGUCAUGAACUGUUGAUCCAGUGAUUCCACACCCUUGUGUGUGCCAAAUCCAAUCAAGGUAUCCCAAACUAAAACCGUAUUCAUAUAAAUGUCCCCUAAUAAUCUUAACUGCAAAUUUUUUAAAGUUAACACAUCUUUUGCAGGGGCAUGGGAUUUUUUUAGUAUCACUAGCAUUUUCCUCGGCAAAUAUUAAAAACUCUUCAACCCCGAUUUCAUAGUCAAGUGUAUCCCUAUCUUUGAAAAUCCAAGACUUGUCCAUGUUAUUCUCAAACUACCUGAUUGUCAAAUAUGAUAUCAAAUUACAUGGUAACAAAGAUCCAAACACAAUAUACAAUUACAUUUACAAACUAAACAAACACAAAUAUAUUUACACAGCUGUGCAUAAAACAUAAAAAACAAAUCCCAAGCUCUAAACAUAUAUAACACAGUACAUAAAAAAGAAACCCCAAGCUCCAAACAUAUAUAAAACAUAUAUACAACUACACGUUUAAUUUUCACAUGCAUACAUAUAACUACAAAAAGUUAUACUUGCAACCGAAACAUUUAUAUAAAUAUAAAGAAGAAUAUAGAAGAAUAUAUAUACCUAAAACCCAGCAGCUUCGAAACCCAGCACCUCCAAAAUCCAGCAGCUAUCCAGCAGCUUCGAAAACCCAGCAACUACCCUAAUCUCCAAGCUUCAAAUCUCCAAGCUUCAAAGAACCCUAAUCUCCAAGCUCCACUCGACCCUAAGCUUGAAGAUCGAACCUUAAGCUUGAACACAGCAGCUUCGAAUCGCGCACAAAUCGCACCUAGGGUUUAGAAGAGAGGGAAUCAGUUAAUAGAACAUUUGAAAGGGGGUUUAGAAGAGAGGGAAUCAGUUAUUAAACCAAGAACGAGGAUUGAAGGACUGAAGGAUUGAAGAAAAUCGCAUACCUAGGUUUAGCUGUCGAGAGAAAGGGGGAAGAGCUGCUGUCUGAAAGAAAUAUGUAUAUAUGUCCCGAUUGUUUUCUUUUGAAUGCUUUUGUUUUAAUUUUGAUUUAUUUUUAAUGUUUUUUUAUUGUUUUAUACUGAGGCGGGAGUGAAUGAUAUGUUAAAGGGGGGGAAAACAGUAGGGGGAACUAAUUAAAAAAUUGACUAAGGGCGGGGGAGCGGAGGGCGCGGGCUUUAAUAUUUUUAAAAUUGAGAUUAGACAUCGCUUAAUAAACAAUGUGAUGUGAAAAAAUUUUAAAGUGAGAGCUUAGACAUCACUUAUGUUAAGGACUGAUGUAAAGAUACCAGAAAGACAUCACAUAUAAAACGAGCGAUGUAAAAAAGGCAUUUUACAUCGGUGACACUUCCGACUGAUGUCUAAUGUGCGAUGUCUAUUGACGAAUUUCUAGUAGUCUCCAAAGGAUAUUUAUCUUUCCAUCAUGAUGCAGCAGUCUCCUUAACUGUGAAGGGAACGGAGUAUGAGGUAGCAAAGAACCUUCAUAUUUACACAGCCAUUGAUCUGUCGGGCACCUAAUUUCAGGGUCGAAUUCCAAACGUCACUGGAGAGCUUAGAUGGCUUGCAUUGCUCAAUUUAUCGCAUAAUAGUUUAACAGGACCUAUCCCAUCAUUGCUGAGAAAUAUGAAAGAACUCCAAUCUUUAGAUUUGUCCUCAAAUCGACUGACAGGGGCUAUUCCACCUCAGCUAACUGCAUUGACAUUUCUAGAGGUCUUGAACCUCUCGAAAAACCAUCUUAGUGGAGAGAUUCCUCAGAAAGGACAGUUCAGCACAUUCAACAAUGAUUCUUAUCUAGGAAACUCCGCGUUAUGUGGAUCACCUUUGACGAAGAAAUGUGCAAACACAGCAUCACCUCCACAAGAAGUCGGAAAUGGUGAUGAAGAUGAUGCUGGAGAUGAAUUGACAUGGGAAGCAAUCGUGAUGGGAUAUGGAUGUGGACUGAUAUGUGGAUUGUCAUCUGCGUACAUUGUUCUCAAACUAGGAAAGCCUUGGUGGUUUGUGAGAUAUAUCGAAGUACUGCAACUGAAGUUGAUGAAAAGAUAUGCAUGAAGAAUGGUACUGCACUACAACAAAAACAGCAUCACACAACGGUUUUUGCCCGUUGUCUGAUACCCAAGAAAACCGUGGUCUAUUGCGAUGCCGUCUGAUACGCGCCUCAGACAACGUUUUAUUAGUUAAAGGCUUGUCUAUAAGGCCAUGCUACGAUGGUAACAAAAACACUUGUAUGUUAGCUUCCUGGUCACACAACACUGUAUGGAACCCUUGUUUAAACGGCUCGUAAACAACACAACAAAUAAAACACUUGUCUAAUUACAACAACGGUUUCUUGAAAUAUUGUCUGAAGUUUCUUCACACAUCGGCUCUAAAAACAGUUGUCUAACGUGCAUCAUUACACAAUAUCACAGUUAAGAUACCGUUGUCUGAUUGAAUUUACUAGACAACACUUUUUAAACCGUUGUAGGUUGUAGGUGUUGGACAAUAGUUUUUCGAGGACGAAAAUAAAGUGUUGUGUCUUUGUUUCGGCCAACACUUUUUCCAGCGUCCGUUGUCUGACUAGUGUCGUGUGAUGCCAGUUUUGUUGUAGUGCUGGUUGAUCCAGACGAACUAGAAAGUUGUUGUCCUGGUAGACAUUUCUGAACCAUUUGUGUCCUGGCUGAAUAAGUAUUUGGUAUUAUGUAAUAAUCCGUUUGGUUGGGACUCAAAAUGAUUUCUCUUGCUUCAGGGGUAUUAAUAUUAACCUUCCUAUCUUGAUCAAUGUUAAAUCAAAUUAAAUGAAUGAAAAAACAAAAAGUAUGCAUCAAAUCCGCUCCUGCUGUACCUAACAAUUUAACAGCACCCUUCCACACUGUUCAUACCUAAUUUGCGUGUAAUAUGAAAACUAAGAGGCAUGGCUUUUGUCUUUGAGAGAACUUAUUCCAAGUCUUCUUCGGAGGCCUACUGCCUCAACAACCUUUCAAAGACUAUGCAAUAAUCCACGUGACAGAAAAACCAAAGUCCAAUUAGUAUUAUAAGUUCAUAAAAAAUACUAUAGGAUCAUUAGCAUUAGCAUUACAUUAGCAUACAGCAUAUAUAUAAAUAGAAGAAUGCAGUGUGGUAUUGGAUUCAUAAUCCAAUUGAGCAGAAACAUGGCACACUUUGUAAAGCCUUAUGACCUUCUUCUCUGUGUUUUCUUUCUCUCAUCACUUGAAUCCAUUCUUGCAACAAGACGAGAAGGAGAAGCUCUUGUGAAAUGGAAGAACAGCCUAGCCCCGUCUUCUUCUCUUGAUUCUUGGUCACUCACUCAUCUCGAUAAUCUUUGUAACUGGACUGGCAUUACUUGUAACUCUGCAGGUUCAGUCUCUGACAUUAACCUUUUCAACAAACAACUCACUGGAAAGCUUUUCGAGUUUGGUUUCACUUCAUUUCCGAAUCUCAACAAUCUCACCCUCGCAGAUAACUUCUUCUCUGGUCCAAUACCAUCAGCCAUUGGGAAUUUAACACAGCUUCAAUAUCUUGAUUUGAGCAAUAAUUAUCUCAAUGGUUCCAUUCCGUACCAGGUUAGCCAUCUUUCAAAAUUACACGUCUUAAACCUGUCAGAGAAUGAACUGCAAGCUCCAAAUUGGUCCAAUUUCUCCCCCAUGCCUUAUUUGACCAUCCUCGACCUUUAUCAGAAUAAUCUUAUGUUGGAAUUUCCAGAAUUUAUAUCUAACUCGCGUAACCUGACAUACCUUGACCUUUCAUAUAACAAGUUCACAGGCGAUCUUGUGCGCGAAUCAGUAUUAGCCAAUCCAGGUGAUCUCGAAACCCUCUAUCUUAAUGAAAAUUCUUUUGGGGGGCCAUUUCCACCAGACAUAUUCAAACUUUCCAAGUUGAGAGUUCUUGCCCUGUUCAAUAAUCUUUUUGAGGGGCCGCUUCCGUCAAAUAUAUUCAAGCUCUCUAAACUAAGAUUCCUUUUACUUUGGAGUAAUAAUUUUUCAGGUACUCUUUCGAAUGAAAUAGGUUUGCUUUCUGAGCUUGAAGACCUAGAUCUUCACUCCAAUUUUUUUGUGGGGCCGCUUCCGCCAAAUAUAUUCAAGCUCUCUAAACUAAGAACCCUUUUCCUCUUGGGUAAUAACUUCUCAGGUUCUAUUUCCAACGACAUAGGUUUGCUUUCUGAGCUUGAACACCUAUAUCUCGACUCCAAUUCUUUUGAGGGACCUUUUCCAACAAAUAUUUUCAAGCUUUCCAAAUUAAUACAACUUGGUCUCGCAAACAAUACAAAUUUAUUUGAAGGAAGUAUUCCUCCAGGACUGGGGCUCUUGACUAACCUAGAGGACUUGUCUCUUGCUUACAAUAAUCUUGGUGGCUAUAUUCCGUCUUCCUUUGGAAACCUAACACUACUAGUAUAUCUUAAUCUCGCUCGUAAUCAAUUGGUUGGAACACUAUCAAAGACCAUUUCUAAUCUCACAAAUCUAUGGUUUCUUGAUGUACAUCAUAAUAGUCUCUCUGGGAAUAUUCAGAGUGACUUCUGGAAAAACUCUACAUCACUGCGUUACAUUAAUUUGGCAGACAAUAAUUUUUCUGGGAACAUUCCUAAGGAAUAUAAUGUUCUUCCAAUCCUGGAUCACAUCAAUUUUAGGGGGAACAAUUUUACAGGUAUUUUUCUUUCCAUAUUUUUUCCUUCUGUUGUAUUCAAUUAUGCUAGAAACUACAGCCUCUGUUUUUUCAAAUACAUAUCGUUUAACUUUUUGGCACAAAACUUUAUAAUAAUUCUAACUAAAAGGUCAAUGAACUCAAAAAUGUGUGUCAAAAAGUCAAACGUCAUUUAUCUGAAAUCAGAGGGAGUAUAUAUUACUGUUUUACCAAAGUUUCAACAAUCAUGACAGGUGAGCUUCCACCAACAAUUUGCGAUGCCACUUCCCUUUCGAUUCUUGAUCUGUCAAAUAAUGGAUUUAGUGGUGCAGUUCCACAUUGUUUGGGGAAUCUUGCGGAUAAAUUGAUUUCGAUUAAUCUUGCUAAUAAUCAGUUUCAAGGACCAAUACCAACAAAUUUCUCCGAGAGUUGUCGUCUGACGUAUCUUAACAUCUAUAACAAUCACUUCAAAGGUUUGGUUCCCCAAUCUUUGGCAAACUGUAAGCACUUGCAAAUUCUUGAUUUUGGAAAAAAUGAAAUAGGUGGAACACUUCCGUCAUGGUUUUUUACUCUUGGAGAGCUAGAAGUCCUGAUCCUGCGAUCAAACAGAUUUUUCGGGAGAAUAACUAGAAGGAGCAUACCACGCCCCUUUCCCAAGUUGCGGAUUUUGGAUCUAUCCAACAAUCAGUUCACCGGCUAUCUGCCAAUUUUAUACUUCAAGAAUAUGAAACCAAAUGAUAAUAAUUAUGAUUAUUUCAACAACACAAACGAAGCCUAUUACGUUUAUCAAGUUUCUAUCACAUUAAAUGUGAAAGGAAGCGAGCAUGAAGUGACAAAUAUUCUUCAUAUUUACACGGCCAUUGAUCUGUCGUGCAACAAAUUUGAAGGAAAAGUUCCAGACAUUACCGGAGAGCUUAGAUGGCUUGCAUUGCUAAAUUUAUCUCAUAAUAGUCUUUCGGGGCCUAUUCCAUCACAACUGGGAAAAAUGAAAGAGCUCCAGUCUCUAGAUUUGUCGUCAAAUCAAUUGACAGGUGUUAUUCCGGAUCAACUUACUAGUAUGACAUUUCUUGCUAGUUUGAACCUCUCAGAAAACCAUCUUUCUGGGAAAAUCCCUCGGAAAGGACAGUUCAGCACUUUUGGCGAAGAAUCUUACUUAGGUAAAUCGGCCUUGUGUGGAGUUCCUUUGACAAAGAACUGUAUAGACGAUGUGCCACCUUCACAAGUUGGAAAUGGCAAUGAUGAAAAUGUUGAUGAAGAUGAUACCGUUGAUGAAUUCAAUUGGAAAGUGAUCCUGAUGGGAUAUGCAUGUGGAUUAAUAGGCGGAUUGUCUGCAGGAUACAUUGUCUUCACAGUCGGAAAGCCUUGGUGGUUUUUGAGAUACAUUGAGACACUGCAGCAGAAGUUGAUCUGAUGCGCAACUAGAAACAACGUUAUAAUCUUAGAAUGACUUGUGUCUUUAAACAGAGUUAGGAACUUAGGAUGACUUGUGGUGCUAUAUUUUUUUUUUGAAAAAAAAAAACAUAUUUUUGUAAUUUUUUAGAUACAGAUGUUAAGAAGGUGUUGUAUAUUCAUUUUUUACCCAAAAAAAAAAAGAGGGCUUAUUUCAUGAAAAUUAGAGUUUUAUGUAUUUUCUCCAGAAAUUAGUCCUUAUUUCUGAAAAUAAGGUUAGUCAAAACGGUCACUACACGAUUGGUAGCCUUUCAGUUCUUCCUAGUGUCCACUACAGUUUCAUUCCUUACCAGUUAUUUUAUGCUCUGCACUGCAUUAUGCAGCUUUCAUAUUACUGACAGCUAAUCUCCUUCCAACACUUUGCGAUGCGAAGCAGGGACGCAUAAGUAUUUUUAUAUGUGUAUUAGUUUUGAAGAUUAAAGUUGCAUGGACAAUUGUGUUGAUAAUUUGAGCAAUGUUAACCGGGAUAGGUCUUCUUCUCUCUCCCAAGUCUUCUGAGGACUCAUCGGCUCAGAUUAGUCUAUCCAAAAAUUAUGAUCUGACGGCUAUUGGCACACUAACGAUUUACAUAUCACUUGAAUAUUACUGGAUACCCGCAUCUUGUUUUAAAUGGCGUAUAUCGGCUAAUAGUUCAACGAUGGUGACAAAUCCCGGUGAUCCAAAUAAUUGAUUGUCGCAAAAUUUUCCGCUUACAUCCAACUAACACGUAUUAGGAAAAAAAAUUAUAUAAUUAAACACGCUCAUGUAUCUAUAUCUUUUACAAGAUUGUAAGUCCCCAAUUCUAUGUGAUAUUAGCUAUAUGUGACUAGAAGGUUUAGAAAUACUAGAUUAUCAAGAUUUCUUUUUAUUCUAGCUAGUGUUGAGUUAUAUUUAUUUUCUUCAAACAAUCAAUACUUAUUUUUUAUUAAUAUGUGAAACUCCAAUAUAUAUUAUUAUACGAUAUAUUAUGAAAACACUAUAUUUUGUAAUGUUCAUCUUAUCCUACCAGCAAAAUUACAUCGCUAACAAAAUUAUAUCAAUUUUAUUUUAUAAACUCAAAUAAUUUAAUUUAUGAAACAACUCUAUGAGAUUCUUAUCAUGAGUUAGAAUUCAAAUAAAUAAAGAGUUCAUAUUGAUAAGUGGAAUUGAUGUGCAAGUAAGGGGUAUAAAAAAAUCUCAAAAUAACUCCAAAAAGCACAUGACAUGUUUGAUUUAAUAGAACUGGUACAUAAACAGGGGGACCAUUAUAUUUAUAAGCAAGUGACCAACAAUAGUUUACUACUGAUAUUUUGUGAUAUUUUUUGUGAUAUUUUUUGAGACCUUUAACAUUAUUCUGUGAAGUGGUAUACUACUGUUACUAGUUCUGAAACUUCAAACAAAGUAGGCGCAACAUUGUAAGAGUGAUUAAUAAAGUUGAGAAACAGUGUGUACAUUGAGCAGUAUGACAAUCAGGUUCAGCAUAUAAUACAAUCAGAUUCACAAUCAGGUUCACGAGAAACAUGCUGCAUUCCAAAAAGCCUUAUUAUCUUCUUCACUAAAUAACAAGGCAAAUACAGCAUAUAAAUACAAGUUAUAAGUACAAGUGUGGUAUUAGAUUCAUAACCCAGUUGAGGAGAAACAUGGCACACUUUGUAAGGCCUUCUCACCUUCUUCUCUUUGUUUUCUUUCUCUCAUCACUAGAAUCCAUUCUUGCAACAAGACGAGAGGGGGAAGCUCUUGUGAAGUGGAAGAAUAGCCUAGCCCCUUCUUCUUUUCUCCACUCUUGGUCACUCUCCAAUCUCGAAAAUCUUUGCAACUGGACUGGCAUUACUUGUAACUCUGCAGGUUCAGUCUCUGAGAUUGACCUUUGUGAGAAACAACUUGAUGGAAUGCUGUCCGAGUUUGGUCUCACUUCAUUUCCAAAUCUCAACAAUCUCACCCUCGCAGACAACUUCUUCUCAGGUCCAAUACCACCAGCCAUUGAGAAUUUAACACAGCUUCAAUAUCUUGAUUUAAGCAUGAAAAGUCUUAAUGGUCCCAUUCCGUUCCAGGUUAGCCAUCGUCAGAGCUUGCUCAUCUUAGACCUGUCACAGAAUGCAUUGCAAGCUUCAAAUUGGUCCAAUUUCUCUCCCAUGCCUCAGUUGCGCUUCCUCAAGCUCAGUAGCAAUCAUCUUGUGUCGAAAUUCCCAAAUUUUAUAUCCAGUUCUCAUAGCCUGACUUACCUCAACCUCUCAUAUAACAUUGGAAACCUCAAAAAAUAUAUAUUUAUAUAUUUAUAAUUAAAAAAUUGAAUUACUUAAUAUAUUAAAAAAUUGAAUAAAAUUUUAUAUAUUUUAUUAAAAAAUUGAAUAAAAAUUGAAUAAAAUUGAAUAAAAUUGAAGUACACGAAAAGGUACACGACACGAAAUACACGACUGAGAAGUCGUGUCGGUUUUGUGUUUACCCUUCGGGUACACGACACGAGGUACACGAAAUAAAUAAAUAAAUAUAUAUAUAUAUAUUUACCCUUCGGAUUAAGAGUUGGUCGCGGACAAAUUCAAAGUUUCCCAAUUAUCCUUUAUUUUAUGUAACUUUGCUUAUGUUUAAGCCUAAAUUUGGACAAUAUUUGUAAAAUAUUAAUAUUUCGUGUACUAAUUCGUUACCAGUUUCGUGUAUUUUUUCGUGUAUAUUUCGUGUUUUCGUGUUUUCAUGUACUAUUUCGUAUCGUGUCGUUUUCGUGUACAUGAAAAAAUUCGUGUACUACAGUUCGUGUCGUUUUUACCUGUUUCUAAAUCGUGUCGUGUUCGUGUUUACAAUCGUGUACACGAAUUGAAUUCGUGUCGUGUUCGUGUAUACCCACCAGAUACACGAAACACGAAAGUACACGACACGUUUAUACACGACACGAACGAUUUGCCAGGUCUANGAAACACGAAAGUACACGACACGUUUAUACAUGACACGAACGAUUUGCCAGGUCUAUUCAAACCUAGCAAGUAACCAAGAGGGGGCAAACUCCACCAGAGACAAAUCAAAGACCAUACCUGAGUAUUGCCAACAUAACAUUACAAACUGGCAGGUGAAAAAUAUGUGAAUAAGGUCUUCGUCACCAGAGUUACACAUGGGACAGUCAAGAGAAAGAUUUACUCCCUUAGAUUGUAAUCGACUUUUCACAGGCACAUUAUUCCUGCAAAAACGCCAUAAAAACACUUUGAUCUUAAGAGGAACCUCCAACUGCCAGAGUUUCUUCCACCCACUAGAUUGUGUAACAGUGCCAGUGCCAAUAUUUUGGGCAUGCCAAAACUGGUAACCUGUUUUCACAGAAUUUUGGCCGUUAGUAGUCUUUGACCAAGCUAGAUGAUCCACGGUCGACCUAUAGGGAACAGAAGUUUUUAAAAAUUAUGUAAUUCAUUCAAUUCCGUAUCAGACAAUACAUCUUAUCAUCGGUGAUAAUGGAAAUAGUGUAGAUGUUUGACCUAGUCCAUGUUUGACAACCAAUAUAAUAAGAAAUAAAUUCUUAUUUUUCUAAAAAAUAUAUUUUUGUAUAUAAAUGUUAAAGAGAUAUUUCUUAUUUGUUGUUUGAAAAAAGUAAAGACUUAUUUCAGAAUAAAUAAAAAUUAUUGUACAUUCUCUUUAUUUUUAAAAAUAAGUUUGGUCAAAUCGCCCAUAAUUCUCGUAAUUCAAAAGCCCAUUAUUUUUUUUUUUCUUGCUAAUUGAUCAGCACACGCACACGUUUCCAACUUCCCGCAAAGGGUACCGGAGUACCACCACACCGACGCUUUGUUGGGCCCAAUAAUUGGCUGAAGUUGAACGGGGCUUUCUGCCUCCGCUGGACCCCAGUUGGGAGGACUCUUUCCAAGUCUUUCGGAGACUCUUUCCCAUUGACUCCAACUUUCCAGGGUGUAUACAAAUUUUUUGAAAGAGGGUGUAUACAAAUUAUUCACGGCCAUCAAAUUAACCAGCGUAGCUGGUGAACAAAUAUUAUUGUUUAUUAUAAUUUUAUUUAAUUUAAAUGUGAUUAUAAAGAACAUAAGAGGACGUUUGAAAGUGUGGGUCUUAUUUCAAACAGUAGAUUUCAAAAAAUAUGAUUUCAAUUGUUAUUUAAAAUUCUUAAAUUUAUAUUAUAUUAAAAUGUUCUUAUCUAUACUAUACUAUUAAAACCGAAACAUUAAAAGUUUGGUCGGUCGGUACUUGGGCCGAUAUAUGGGCCUAUCUAUAUAACUAAUUAUUUUUUUUUAAUUUUGGGCCGAAAUACAGGCCUGUCUAUAUAAUCAAUUAUUCUUUUUAACUAAAAUAUGUUAUCUUUUUUACUAUUAAAGCCAAAACAUUAAAAAUUUGAUCGGUCGGUACUUGGGCCGAAAUAUGAGCGUAUCUAUAUAACUAAUUAUUUUUAUUUUUUUUUAUUUUUGGCCGAAAUACAGGCCUAUCUAUAAAAUCAAUUAUUCUUUUUAACUAAAAUAUGUUAAUUUUUUUUACUAUUAAAGCCGAAAUAUUGAAAGUUUGGUCGGUCGGUACUUGGGCUUCUAGGCCGAAAUAUAGGCCUAUCUAUAUCAUCAAUUAUUCUUUUAAACUAAAAUAUGUUAUCUUUUUUACUAUUAAAAUCGAAACAUUGAAAGUUUGAUCGGUCGGUACUUGAGUCGAAAUACGGGCCUAUCUAUAUAACUACUUAUUAUUUUUAACUUGGGCCGAAAUACAGGCCAAUCUAUGUAAUCAAUUACGCGGUAUUCUUUUUAACUAAAAUAUGUUAUUUUUUUAACUAUUAAAGUUGAAAUAUUGAAAGUUUAGUCGCUCGAUACUUGAGCCGAAAUACGGAUCUAUCUAAAUAACUAAUUAAUUUUUUUUAACUUUGGAUGGAAAUACAGCCCUAUCUAUAUAAACAAAUAUCUUUUUAACUAAAAUAUGUUAUCUUCUUUAUACUUUCUAACUAAAAACUCAAUCUUCUAAAUGAACAUGGAAGAAUAUAGUAAUUAUCUUUUUAACUAAAACAAAUUAUCGUCUAUUAAAUCAAAUUAUAACAAACUAUCCAUAAACAUCCUUAAUUUAUAACAAAUUAUUAAAUAUUUUUUAUCAUCUACUAAAUCAAAACAUUAAAAAUUAGAUUACCAUUAUGGAUCAGUAUUUGAAUUACGCUUCUCUUUAACUUAUAAUAUGUUUUAUACUAUAUUAUUAACUAUUAAUAACUAAAUAUUAAAACGCUGAUUGGGUUGUUUCUAUCUGGGUUUACGGGUCUCCUCAAAUUAUAAUCCCUCCGUUCUUAAAUAUCUGCCUUUUGACUUUUUGGCACGCAUGUUAAAGUGUUUUGAAUUUAUAGUAAAAAUAUUAUUUUUAAAUUUCUUUUUCUGAAUAAAAAUUUUAUAUCAAUACUUUUAUUCAUAAAAAGAAAUAUUUGAAAAUAACAUUUCUAGCUAUGUGGUCAAAAUAUCUUAAAAUGUGUGCGAAAAAGUCAAAAGGCAUAUAUUCAAGAACGGAGGGAGUAACAUGUAAAAAAAAUUAUUUUAACAUUAUCAUUAAAAAAUUAUAUAUUUGACCUAAUUAUAAAUUAACUAUUUGAAGGAAUAAACUAUUAAGAAUUUAUUUAGCUGCUAAAUAAAAGUUUUUUUAAUAACAUUAUUCUAUCACAAUUUUACUUUCAAUAAAAUUCGUUAAAUCUAAAAUAUAUGCGAUGAAAUAACAAAUAUUAAAACCGCCCGUGCAUUGCACGGGUUUUAAGCUAGUUCUAAUUAAUGAGUCACUAUUCGUAUUCUCAAGCAUGUUAGUUUGUUAAAAUUUAAAAUUUCAAAUGAAAUUAGGCUAAAAGACCAUAAUAUCAAAUCAAAAUCUCAUUAUCCAAUAUAUUGGUGGGCAAAAAUAUUAAACCUGGCUAUUCAUUAAUAUUGGUUCUUUAUUCAAAUUAUGUCAAAUUUAUAUAAAAUUUCGAAAAUUAUUUAUGAAUAAGAGUCGGCAUUCAUAUAUUUAUUAAGGAUACAAGUGAGAAAAUGUUAUUAAAUUAAUAUUUUUUAAUAUACGUAAGUUUUUUAAAAUAAAUUUGUAGCGUGGGACGGGAGUAUUAGACUGAUUCUGGCUUGGAGUGAAUCAGCCCAUAAAGUUUACAGGGUAGAUGACCAUUCUUAAAUCUUAAAGAAUCUUACGGUGACAGCUAACUGAACGACUCGGUUUCAGAAGUGCUGAAAAGUUUCGACGUAAACUACAAUUUGCCUAGCAUGUAAUUUCCAUGCAUUUUCUCGUUACGAGUAGGUUUGUCCGGAAGUACAAUUCAAAAUAGAGUGCUGUUAAAAAAAAUUGAGUUACUUAUUCAAUAACUUUUUUGAUAUUUAUAUAUUUUUAAUUAUAAUAAAGAUACUAGUGAUUAUGGUUAGCUUUUGGAGUACUUUUGGAGUACUUGGAAAUUUUCUUUUCGAGAAAAACGAGAGUACCUAUUUCAAUUUUUUACCAAAAAUUAUAAUUGAAAACAACGGACUUUUAUACUUAUCAUAACAAUUUUUAACAUCUUGUUUAGAAAUAACCUGUUGUUGUAUUAUGCAAAAGUAAUAUCACUAGUUUCUAUAUCCGUAUUCUAAUGAUAAUAAAAACAUCUCUAAUUCAUUAAAACUCUUACAUAGAAAUUGAUAAAAAAAGAAGAUAUAAAAUAAUUUAUUAAAAAUAUAUCAAAGUUUUUGCACUCGGUUAUAAUUAUUGUGUAAUUUUUUUUUUCAAUUCCAAGAUAUUGUUAUAAGAAAAUUUUACAUCAUAUAUAUAUUACAAAAAAAAUUAAUGUAUUAUAUAUAUAUAGGGUCCUACUCUGGUACAAACCUUUUUAGCGUACAAACUACAAACCAAAAUUAAAAAGUCUCUAAAUCAAAUCAGAAUAUAGCACAUAUGGUAUGGAAAUUGAUCGUUGCGAGAUGAACAAAAAUAAUGAUUAUAAAGUUUGUAUUUGAGCCAUUAUAUAUAUACUUACAAUAAAAGUAAUAAUAUAUUAUAUUCUAAAUAUAGUUAACCACUGCAGUUGGUCGCUUAUAAAUAGAAGUGUGCAUUAUAGGAUGAAACGUACAUCAAGCUGAGGAGAAACAUGGUACACUCUGCAAAGCUAUAUCAUCUUCUUUUACUUGUUUUCUUUUCCUCCUUACUUCCAUCCAUUCUAUUGGCAACAAGACGAGAAGGAGAAGCUCUUGUGAAAUGGAAGAAUAGCCUAGCCCCGUCUUCUUUUCUUGAUUCUUGGUCACUCUCCGAUCUCGAUAAUCUUUGCAACUGGACUGGCAUUACUUGUAACUCUGCAAGUUCAGUGUCUCAGAUAAAUCUUUCCCAAAAACAGCUCGAUGGAACGCUGUCCGAAUUUGGUUUCACUUCAUUUCCGAAUCUCGAAAAUUUGACUAUAAGAGACAACAGCUUCUCCGGGCUAAUACCACCAGGCAUUGCGAAUUUAACACAGCUUCAAUACCUUGAUUUAAGCUACAAUUAUUUCAGUGGUUCCAUUCCGUACGAGGUUAGCCAUCUUCAGAGAUUACGUGUUUUAGACUUGUCGUAUAAUGAAAUGCAGGCUCCAAAGUGGUCUGACUUCUCUCCCAUGCCUUUUAUGAGCAUCCUCAACCUACGGGCCAAUCAUCUUGUGUCGAAAUUCCCAGAAUUUAUAUCCAAUUCUUUUAGCCUGACUUUCCUUGACCUUGGAGACAACAAGUUCACCGCUGAUCAUCUUGUGCUCGAAUCAGAAUUUACCAAUUUGCAAAAUCUUGAAACGCUGUUUCUUGAUGGUAAUUCUUUUGAGGGGACGUUUCCACCGAAUAUAUUCAGGCUUUCUAAAUUAAAAUACCUUUCCCUAUCUGCUAAUAAGUUUUCAGGUUCUGUGCCGGAUGACAUAGGGAUGCUUCGUGAUCUUGAAUCCCUUUAUCUUGGUAACAAUUCUUUCAAAGGGAUGCUUCCACAAAAUAUUUUCAGACUUCCCAAAUUACGGGAUCUUUCCCUCUGGGGUAACAAUUUUUCAGGUCUUAUUUCAGAUGAUAUAAGGAUGCUUUCUAACCUGGAAUCUCUUGAUCUUAAUGGUAAUUCUUUUCAGGGUCCGCUUCCACCAAAUUUCUUCAAGCUUUCCAAAUUAAGACAUCUCGCCCUCUCAAAUAAUAAAAGAGUAUUUAAAGGAAGUAUUCCUCUUGGGUUGGGGCUUUUGACUAACCUUGACUACUUAUGUCUUAAUUCCAAUUAUCUCACUGGCUACAUUCCAUCUGACAUUGGAAAUCUAAAGCUACUAGAACAUCUUGAUCUCAGUUUUAAUCAAUUGACCGGACCGCUCCCAAAGAUCAUUUCUAACCUCACUAAUCUAACGCGUCUUGGUCUGAAUGAUAAUUGGUUUUCCGGCAGUAUUCCAAGUGACUUCUUGGAAAACUCUACAUUAUUAUUUUACAUUGAUCUUUCAAACAAUGAUCUGUCUGGAAGCAUUCCUAAGGAAUUCAACGUUCAUCCGACAUUGGAUUAUAUCAAUUUAAGUGGAAACCGUUUUAGAGGUCUACUUCUCUCUUUAAAUUUUUAUGUUCGUUUUGUAUAUGCUAGUAACCUGAUUAUUACACUUUUACUGAAGCUUCAACAAUUCUAACUGCAGGCAAGCUUCCAGCAACGAUUUGCAAUGCUACAUCCCUUUCGACUCUUGUUCUGUCAAAUAAUGAAUUCAGCAAUGCACUUCCACAUUGUUUGGGGAAUCUUGCUGAUCAACUUCUUUCCAUUAAUCUUGCUAAUAAUUUGUUUCGAGGACCAAUACCAACAACUUUCUCUAAGAGUUGUCGGCUGACAUAUCUAAACAUGUACAACAAUCACUUUGAAGGGUUGUUGCCGCAAUCUCUGGCAAACUGUAAGCACCUACAAAUUCUUGAUAUUGGAAACAAUGAAAUAGGUGGUAAAUUCCCGUCAUGGCUGUUUACUCUUGGAGAGCUGGAAGUCCUAGUCUUGCGAUCAAAUAGAUUCCACGGUCCAGUCAAUGGAACAAGCUCAGCAAAUUUAUUCCCCAAGUUGCGGAUUGUUGAUCUCUCCAACAAUCAAUUUACAGGCGAUUUACCAAUUCAGUAUUUUAAGAAUAUGAAACCAACAGAUAACCACUAUAGUUAUUUUUAUACAGAAAGUGGUUUUUACUAUCAUCAAGCAUCGAUCUCAUUAACUGUGAAAGGAAGAGAGUAUGAAGUGAAAAAGAUCCUUCAUAUUUAUACAGCCAUAGAUGUGUCAUGCAACAAAUUUCAGGGAGAAAUUCCCGAGGUUAUUGGAGAACUUAAAUGGCUUGCAUUGCUCAAUCUAUCACAUAAUAGUCUUAUUGGACCUAUCCCAUCACAGCUCGGAAAUAUGGAAUCACUUUUAUCUCUAGAUUUGUCUUCAAAUCAUUUGACAGGGGGUAUUCCCGAUCAGUUGAUUAGGUUGACAUUUCUAGAGGUCUUGAACCUCUCGGAAAAUCAUCUGACAGGGCCUAUCCCCCAAAAAGGACAGUUCAGCACAUUCAACAAGGAUUCUUACCUAGGUAACUUUGCCUUGUGUGGAUUACCUUUAACUAAUAACUGUACACACACUGUGUCACCACCACAAGAAGGCGGAACUGGUGACAAUGAUGCCUAUGAUGAACCCGAUUGGGAAGUGAUCCUCAUGGGAUAUGGAUGUGGACUAAUAUGCGGAUUGUCCACAGGGUACGUUGUCUUCACAUUCAGAAAGCCUCAGUGGUUUAUGAGAUACACUGAAAGCGUGCAACAGAAGUUGAUGAGAUGAUGCAUGUUGAGUACCGUUCAAUCAUGAAGCACAACUGGAAACAAUGUUAUCUUAGGAAAACAUGUGUUCUGAACCAGUAGUGUUUGCACAAAAUUUGUGGUGCUAUGUAAUACUUAUAUAAUUGUACGUAUGAUUAUUGAUUAGUCGUUGAGAAAAUGCAUUUUAUUUCAGUGUCAAUGAUAAUCUACAUGUUUUGGAUACUUCCAGCUUCUCAUACUAAUAUAGGAACCACUUGAAAAAUUUUGGACAGGCUCUGAGGAUGCUAAUGCUGCUGUUUAGUUUCUACCGCGGAAUUGACUUUAGCAUAUACUCGUAUGACAUAUUACUAGAUAUAUGGUUGUUAAAUAAAAUUAUCUUUUUGUGGAAUAAAUAGGAAAGCAAAAUCAUAGAAUAAUGUAUGUUAUAUAGGAAGGUAUUGUCCUCUUAGAUAGGUAUCAUUUAUGCCUCAUUGGCAUGUCUCAGAAAACUUUUGGGUUAACACAAUGUUUACUUAGAGCAUUGCCAUUCCUUAAAUAUAAUAUAAAAUAUUGGAUCUUAGUGACUUAAGAUGAUAAUAGCUAUUCGCACCUCCAACAAUAUUCCUUAUAUUCAUUCCUUAUAUACUAUUUUAUUAUUAAAAGUUACCAUUAUUGCAAUAGGUGAAAAGAGAGAACAUGUUUGUAUUCAAAAUUUAUUGUAAAAUAAUAUUUAGGAGAGGAGAGAGGUUACCUAAAGAUAAGGCAUGGCUAGUUAUUUAGAGAAUCACUAGGAUACUGUUGGAGUGGAUUAUUUUCCCAUAUUACUCAUAUUUUGGUUUAAGAUUCCUAAUAGGGAAGCUGCUGGAGUUGCUCUUAGAGCAUCUCCAAGAGAUUCUUCAUUUAAGCUCCUAACUUGAGAUUUGAGUAGGGAGAGGAAAAAUGUUGCUCCAAGAGACUCUUAAGUGGCUCUUAAAUCACUAAGAGCCUCUUGUUUCUCUCUCCUCUCUCCUCAAAGUUAAGAGCCACCACAUUGCUCCUAACUUAUUUUUUCACAAUAAAAAAAUCUUUUCCUCCAAUUCAGCUCCAUCUUUCCAUCUCUUUUGUUAUAGUGGAGCCCAAUAUAUGAAUAAAAUAUGAAAUAGAGAAGAGAUGUAGAGAGUAUUGUUGGAGUUUACACUCUUAACUUUGUCUUAAAUUGCUAAGAGCUAUUUUUUUAUAUUAUAUUUAGGAGCCAAUAAGGAGGCUCUUGGAGAUGCUUUUAGUACUAAUUGUUAGAAUAUGAAAAUGCAGUUAUGAACUAUUAUGCUAGAGAGAGAAAAAUUCAACAAACUUCAUUUCUGUAAACUACAACUAUUAGUCUGUUACAUUGCUGAAAGCUACAUUUAUACAUUUACAGUUUACAACAAACUAUGAAACUGAUUUUCCCGCGUCCUCCUCACUUGUCCACGUGGCCUGACUGGCUUGGUGUCCUUGACACUCUUUAUUAUUGCUAAUAUAUACUUAACACUAAUACCUCAAAGCAGGGUAUAAAUUCAAUAGCACAGCUUCUGGAUAAUGGAAAUUUAGUUAUCCAGAGGUCUUGGUUUUACAUAUCACUUGUAUAUUAUGUCUCGGUCUCAUUGAAGCAUACCAAACGAGAUUUUGGGUUUGUUAAUAUUUUUUUAGUCCAAAUUUGAAUAAUACUGUUAUGCUUAUUCACACGGUAGACGUGUUUUUAUUAAAAUACUGCAACUGAAAUUGAUGAAAACAUGCACAAAGCAUAGCAGACGAAAGACUUGAGGAGAUAUUGUCUUAGGCGAUGCAAUACGUUCUAAUAUAAUGCUAUAUUAUGCAAUCUCGUUUAAUACUUUCAUCAUUAUUCUCCAAGAUGUCUGAACAUGUAUUUUCAAAGAAUUCUCAGUUCACCUUUAGUCUUAUAGCGACAUUUUGAAGGCACUCUCAACUUACACCCUAUAUAUACACGUACGGUUCACUUCAGUACAAAGAUUUUAUGAUACAACUCUCAUAUUAUGAACUAGUUCUGUCGAAUACAUGAAUAUUGAUCAAUCAUUUGAACUCGAGUUUCCCAGCUGGCCAGAUACCCAGAUUAUUAGCCAUGCAAAACAUGCAGAACCACUAGUAAUGCAGAAAAACAAUAUAUUAGUUUUCUCCGGUGUUACAGAAAUCAGGAAUCGGACCUAAUCGGUUUAGCUACCGAUUUAGGGAUUAAUAGGAAAUAGGGGAUUAAUCGGAGUGAAAAUCGGAUUUAUUUUAAUAUUAAAAUAUUAUUUAAUAUUUAGUUAUUAUUAUAUUAGCUAUUUAGUAACUAAUAUAUUUACUAUAUUCAUAAACUCUAUAAUUAUUCGUAUUGAAAGUAAUAUAGUAUUUUAAUUUUAAUAAUUUACUAUAUAUACUUCGAUUAAGAAAUAUAUAUAUAAGGAUUAAUCGGAUUUCAAAAAUCGAAUCGGUGGCCAACCUUGCAGAGGAUUAAUCGGGGAUUAAUUGGUUGAAUCGGGGAUGUUUAGAACACUGGUUUUCUCCAAAUAUCACUACAACAAAACUGCCAUUUUACGACGGAAAUCUAAUAUUCUAAAGGGUUACGACCAAACUAUGUCGGUGGACUUUAUUUUAAUUUACCGUUUAACAGUAGUUAAUUUUGGAUAUCUACACUUGCGAUGGAAAACAUACGACAGUCUACUUCGUGAGAGAAAAUCAUUUUAUUUUAUUUUUUAGCGCCAGAAUUUUAAUACUGAAAUAUUAUAUAUAUGAAGGAAACUGAUCUCUAAUGUUUUCAGCUUGCUCAUCCAUCGUAAGUAAUCCGUCGAAAAAGUUAGUUUGUUGUGGUGGUGUCUUAUCAUGAGAGAAAAUGAUAAUAUCGCAAAAUAUUUGCAACUGAAAGAUAAAUUAUAAUUCUAGAAACCAUUUAGGUAACGAUGCACGAAGUUAUUUUCACUCACUUAGAAUUAAUGNUGAAAACAUGCACAAAGCAUAGCAGACGAAAGACUUGAGGAGAUAUUGUCUUAGGCGAUGCAAUACGUUCUAAUAUAAUGCUAUAUUAUGCAAUCUCGUUUAAUACUUUCAUCAUUAUUCUCCAAGAUGUCUGAACAUGUAUUUUCAAAGAAUUCUCAGUUCACCUUUAGUCUUAUAGCGACAUUUUGAAGGCACUCUCAACUUACACCCUAUAUAUACACGUACGGUUCACUUCAGUACAAAGAUUUUAUGAUACAACUCUCAUAUUAUGAACUAGUUCUGUCGAAUACAUGAAUAUUGAUCAAUCAUUUGAACUCGAGUUUCCCAGCUGGCCAGAUACCCAGAUUAUUAGCCAUGCAAAACAUGCAGAACCACUAGUAAUGCAGAAAAACAAUAUAUUAGUUUUCUCCGGUGUUACAGAAAUCAGGAAUCGGACCUAAUCGGUUUAGCUACCGAUUUAGGGAUUAAUAGGAAAUAGGGGAUUAAUCGGAGUGAAAAUCGGAUUUAUUUUAAUAUUAAAAUAUUAUUUAAUAUUUAGUUAUUAUUAUAUUAGCUAUUUAGUAACUAAUAUAUUUACUAUAUUCAUAAACUCUAUAAUUAUUCGUAUUGAAAGUAAUAUAGUAUUUUAAUUUUAAUAAUUUACUAUAUAUACUUCGAUUAAGAAAUAUAUAUAUAAGGAUUAAUCGGAUUUCAAAAAUCGAAUCGGUGGCCAACCUUGCAGAGGAUUAAUCGGGGAUUAAUUGGUUGAAUCGGGGAUGUUUAGAACACUGGUUUUCUCCAAAUAUCACUACAACAAAACUGCCAUUUUACGACGGAAAUCUAAUAUUCUAAAGGGUUACGACCAAACUAUGUCGGUGGACUUUAUUUUAAUUUACCGUUUAACAGUAGUUAAUUUUGGAUAUCUACACUUGCGAUGGAAAACAUACGACAGUCUACUUCGUGAGAGAAAAUCAUUUUAUUUUAUUUUUUAGCGCCAGAAUUUUAAUACUGAAAUAUUAUAUAUAUGAAGGAAACUGAUCUCUAAUGUUUUCAGUUUGCUCAUCCAUCGUAAGUAAUCCGUCGAAAAAGUUAGUUUGUUGUGGUGGUGUCUUAUCAUGAGAGAAAAUGAUAAUAUCGCAAAAUAUUUGCAACUGAAAGAUAAAUUAUAAUUCUAGAAACCAUUUUGGUAACGAUGCACGAAGUUAUUUUCACUCACUUAGAAUUAAUGCUAAAUAUUUGCAACUGAAAGAUAAAUUAUAAUUCUAGAAACCAUUUAGGUAACGAUGAGCGGAGUUAUUUUCACUCACUUAGAAUUAAUGAUAAAUAUUUGCAACUGAAAGAUACAUCAUAGUUCUAGAAAAGGAUCCACGAAGUUAUUUUCACUCACUUAGAAUUAAUUGUAAGUUAUUGUGAGUUUUUGAAUAUGAAUUAUCUCAAAUUUUAUUAAAACACAUGUUGAUUCUUAUAUACAAAUUUGCCUAUCUAAUAUUAUAAUAUUUAUGGAGAAGGUGUAUGAACAAUUGUGUAGAUAAUUAUACUUUACAAAGCAUACUUCUGCUAGCUGAAUUUUGAUUAAAAAAAUCGAAAGGGAUAGGUCUGGGUCUCUCCAAGUCUUUGAGGACUCAUUCCAAGUCUUCUGAUGAGGACAAAAUAUAUUGCUGGAAGUCUUUCAGUCCUUCCUAGAGUAUUUUGUGCUCUGCACUGCAUUAUGCAGCUCUCAUAUAACUGACCGCUAACCUCCUUCCAACACUUUGCGAUGCAAAACAGUGGCAUGUUAUAAGUAUUUCCGUAUGUGUAUUUAUUUGGAUAUUAAAGUUGCGUAACAUUUGUGUUGAUAAUUUGCGCAAUGUUGAUGAGGAUUGCUCCCAAGUCUUGGCGGACUCUUUCCAAAUCUUCUGAGGACCUAUGGGUUCAAAUUAGUCCAUUAAAAUGAAUACCAUUGUUUUGUGAUUAAGUUGUAUGGUUAAGAGCUUAUCCUCUGUCGUCCCAGGUCCUGGGUUCGACCCUGGCUCACCCCGAGAGUUUCGUAGAACAGAUACUCAUUAUAAGGCUAUAAGCCAUAUUUGUCAAAAAAAAAGUUGUAUAGGCAAUAUGCAUUGCAAAAUCAGCAACAGAAUAUAUACUAAUUAAUUACCUGAUAUCGGUUUGAACAAAUACUUUCUAUGUAGUUGUAAUAUUAGUCUUCUUUAAAAGUUAUCAUGAGGGAAGAUAUAUAUUGUGAUGCGGGGGAAAUAUUGUAACCGAAAAUAAUUAUAAUUCUAAAAAUUUCCAUUAUACACUUUUUUUAGUGUUCGUACGUGGUAAGUACUUCAGACGACAUUUCUCGCGUAUGCCUCCAAUUAAGAAUUUGAUGUUCAGCCUAGUCCUAAACUAAAAUUAUUAUAAAUGUGUAAUUCAAAAUUAUAUUGCUGGUAGGCUCUGAGAUUAACCUUAAACAAAAACAACUCAGUGGAACGCUUUCCGAGUUUGGUUUCACUUCAUUUCCAAAUCUCAACAAUCUCAACAUAGCACGAAACAACUUUUACGGUCCAAUACCACCAGCCAUUAAGAAUUCUAUUUUAAUAUGUAACAUUCUAUUUUCUAAAAUAAUAAAUAUUUUUUUUAAUAGUUGGUCAAAAAUUAGUCAAUUUGACUUCUCAAAAAGCAGAAAGGACAUGUAAAUUGAGACGGGGGAGUAUUUAACGGAAUUCAACGAAAGGUGUGCGUAUCGUUCUUGAAAUGUAAAAAUAGGUGGUGCAAUUCGAGUUUCCAAACCUAUGGGUACAAUAUCGUUUUUAAACGUAAGCUAGGGGGUCCAAAUUACAAUUACAUGUAUAUAUAGUGACUUAACGGAGUGCAUAUAGUUAACGGAAGUUAACGGCAGGGAGUGCAUCUCGGGCUUGAAUAGUAAAGAUAAAAGGUGCGAGUUGAGUUUCUCAAAGUAUGAGUACAAUAUCGUUUUUGAAUGAUAGUUAAGGGGUGCGAUAUGCAAUUACCUCAAAAAAAUAUGAUCAUUAGUAUAUUAUAUUAGUAUCCACACACUUAUAUCUCAAAAUCUAUCCUCCAAAAUUAUCAUCUAUAUAGGCUAGCCACAUAAAAUAAAAAUUUAAAGAUAUUAGAUAUUUAGUUAUUUCAAUUAUAUAAUUUUUCCACGCAAAAUAACAAAAUAUCUUUAUCAACUUAUUAUUUAUGAGUUAAAUAUUCAACUUAUAUAAUUCGGGCAUGCUGGGUAUAAAUAGAAGUGUAACGCCUAAUUUCCGGGGUCUGGGAGUAGUUAGCGGGGUAUGAGAGAGCAGGCUAUUUAGAAGUCUUGGUCAUGAAAACUUCCAAGCUAACUUCGACAACGGAAUCUUCUGAGGCUACUAUUCUAAAGCACGCAUAAUCAUUGUAUUCAUUUUCCUCUAACACUGGCAAAAAGUCUAUUUAAGCAAAUGAAAUACAAACAACUGAGUGGAAUGCUGACCGAAAGUCUUUUUGGCUGAGCUUAUGAUUUAUUAGUACAUGAUUAAUAUGAUAAGCUAAGCUGAGAGCAUAAGAUAUCGUGUGUAUAAUUUUGUGUUUAUUAAUGACUUAUAAAUUAUUAAAAAUAUAAUAAGAAAAAUAAAAAUGAUUUAUAACUAAUUUAUGUUUUAUGAGUAAUUUUUAUUAGAAAAAAGUUUUAAAAAAUUAUUUCACUGAAAAAAAAUCCUCCAACUAACUUUUGGCUCUAAGUCAGUUUUUGAUUUAUUUAUGAUUUUAAGUCGGAUUCUGAUUUUUACACAAACAGAAAAUUUCCAGCUUAAAGUUAAAAACAACUUUAAGCUCCGGUUUUAAACCUCUGAGUUUGGUUUCACUUCAUUUACAAAUCUCAACAAUUUCACCAUCAAACACAAUGACUUCUCCAAUCUCCGGUCCAGUUCACCAGCCAUUGAGAAUUUGGCACAACUUCAAUUCCAUACCAGGUUAGUCGGCUUCGGAGGUUACACGCCUUAGACCUGUCAAAUACAAAUUUCAAUCUCCAAACUGGUCCGAUUUAUCUUCUAUGCAUUUUGUUGAGUCCGGCUCAUCUAAAACCUGAAGGUGUUAGAAGAAACCCGAAUGAAUCUUAUAUAUGAAUCUUAUAUAUGCUAUAUUUAAACAAUUCUGAGCACACUCAACCUUGGUAUUAAUAAUAUCGUGUCGAUAAUUCCAGAAUUUAUAUCUAAUUCUCAUAGCCUAACUUUCCUUGACCUUUCCAUAUAACAAAUUUACAGUUAAUCCUGUGCUUGAAUCAGUAUUUGCAACCAAAAUUAUGCAAUUAUAGUGCAGGUAGUCUUCCAGUUCUUCCUACUCUAUGCUAUAAUUUCAUUUGAUACCAAUAAUUUUACGCUCUACACUCCAGGAUGAGCUCGCAUAUUAUUGACAGCAAUAAUCCUUCCAACACUUUGUGAUGCAAAGCAGGGGGGCGCCUGUAUUUUCAUAUGUCUAUAUUAUUGGAGAUUAAAGUUGUGUGGACAAUUGUGUUGAUAAUUUGCCCAAUGUUAACAGGGAUAGGUUGGCUUAAAAAUAUAUAAGGUCACUUGUGCAUCGCUGUUCACACACUUAGACCCUGUUUGUGUAAGCUUUAAGUCCGGGCUCAAGCAAUUUCGACUUAAUCACUUCCGAGGACCAAUACCAACAGCCUUCUCAAAGAGUUGCCAGCUAAGAUAUCUAAACAUGUAUGACAAUCAGUUAGAAGGACUAUUGCCCCGAUCUUUGUCAAACUGUAAGCACUUAAAAAUUCUUGACAUCGGGAACAAUAAAAUGGGUGGUACAUUCCCUUCAUGGCUAUUUAAUCUCGGAGAGCUAGAAAUCCUAGUCUUGCGAUCAAAUAGACUGUACGGUCCUGUAAGUGGAAGGAGCACAUCACAUCCAUUCCCCAAGUUGCGGAUUCUAGAUCUCUCCAACAAACAAUUCGCGGGCUAUUUGCCAAUUCUAAACUUUAAGAAUAUGAAACCAGCUGCUGAUGAUAACGCGUAUAGUUAUAAAAAUAAGUCACAAGGACUAAUUAAUUACAUCUAUGAAGCAUCUAUCUCCUUAAAUGUGAAAGGAACAGAGUAUGAAGUGAAGAACAUUCUUCAUAUUUACACAGCCAUUGAUCUAUCGUGCAACAAAUUUCACGGAGAAGUUCCAAAGAGAGCUUAAAUGGCUUGCAUUGCUCAAUCUAUCUCAUAAUAGUCUUGCCGGACAUAUGUUCUGAAUUAUUAUUAUGCUUUCAUCAAUAUUUUCAAACAUUUCUCAAUAUGUAUUUCAAAGAAUUCUCAAGCCCUGGAACAUUUGGACCGGUCCUUUCGAAGCCAAGAUGCCCAGGUUAUCAUGGCCAUGCACAAAAAUGAAUAAAUUAUUCCAAGUCUUCCAUGACUCAUUCCAAGUCUUCGGAGGAGACCCUGAGCACAAAGAUGCUCAGGGUCUCCCCAAGCCUUCCAGGACUCAUUCCAAGUCUUCGGAGCACGGCCUCGACUCGCCCUUUCAAAGAUGUGAUAGUAGCUCGAGAGUGAUAUAAAUUAUUUUCCGGACACUAAAAAUAAAUAAUCAGAUCAAAUUAAUCAAUAAUAAAUUAAGGAUGAAAUCCAAAUUAAUCCUAAAUUUUGAUAAUAUAUAAAAAUUAUAAUUAUAAAUUAUAUAACCAAAUCAGAAUUGAAUUAACUUCCUUGGCACUAAAUUGAUAAGGAAAGUAUAAUAAUUUAAAUUUAAUUGAUGAAAAGUCAAAGUCUUCUAAUAAAUCCAUAAAGAAUAUGAUAAUCAAAAUAACGAAAAUUAUAAUUGAAAAAUCAAAAUCAUUAGUGUAUUGGAAUAGUGUUCACACACUUAUAUAUCAAAAUUUGUGGUCCAAAAACUAUAGCACAAUAUCCUAAAUACACCACAUUAAAUAUUAGUUCAAAAAUAUUCUGUAAAUAAUUGUUUUCAUUCAUCAUUUUGUUAUUUAAAAAACUAAUAAUUUGGGUUGAUGUUAACCUAUAUUUUAAUAUAUAAUUAUAUUAUUUUCGUAUUAUUUUAUUUAACUAGAAACAAUAUUUUUAUCAGACAUCAAUUAUAUUAAAAGAUAUAAUUUUAUUAAAAAAAAUUGAAUUAAAUUAAUAGGAUAACUCUACGCCUCACCAAGUCUACAAGACUCAUUUCAAGUCUACCAAGGACCACUACCUCGGUCCUCAACCAUUGGGAGAUGUGAAAGUAGCUUGAGAGUGACAAAAAUUAUUUUCCUCACAAUAAAAUUUAAUAUCUGAUAUAAAUUAAUUAAAUUAGUUAAUAAUAAAUUAAAACUAAUCAUGAAUUAUGAUAAUAAUUAAAUAAAUUAUAAUUAAAUUAUAUAAAUCAACUCCAAAUGAUACAAAUGACACUAAACCUUAGUUACUUUAUUGGUAAAUAAAUAUAAUAUAAUAAUCAAAUUGAUGAAAAAUCAAAAUCAUCUAAUAAAUUCAUAAAAAAUAUAUGAUCAUUAAUAUAUAUUAUAUUAGUAUCCACACACUUAUAUUUCAAAAUCUAUCCUCCAAACUUAUCAUCUCUGUAAACUAGCCACAUAAAAUAAAAAUUUAAAGAUAUUAGAUAUUUAGUUAUUUUCAUUAUAUAAUUUUUCCACACUAAACAACAAAAUAUCUUUAUCAAAUUAGUAUUUAUGAGUUAAAUAUUCAAGUUAUAAAUCCAGCAUGCAGCGUAUAAAUAGGAGAAACAUGGCACACUCUGCAAAGCCUUCUCACCUUCUUCUCUUUGUUUUCUUUCUCUCAUCACUUGAAUCCAUUCUUGCAACAACACGAGAAGGAGAAGCUCUUGUGAAAUGGAAGAAUAGCCUAGCCCCGUCUUCUUUUCUUGAUUCUUGGUCACUCACUCAUCUCGAUAAUCUUUGUAACUGGACUGGCAUUACUUGUAACUCUGCAGGUUCAGUCUCUGAGAUUUACCUUUAUGAGAAACAACUUGAUGGAAUGUUGUCGGAGUUUGGUUUCACUUCAUUUCCAAAUCUCAACAAUCUCACCCUCGCAUACAACUUCUUCUCCGGUCCAAUACCACCAGCCAUUGAGAAUUUAACACAGCUUCAAUAUCUUGAUUUGAGAAAUAAUUAUCUAGAUGGUCCCAUUCCUUUCCAGGUUAGCCAUCUUCAGAGCUUGCUCAUCUUAAACCUGUCAGAGAAUGCAUUGCAAGCUCCAAAUUGGUCCCAUUUCUCUCCCAUGCCUUUUUUGCGCAUCCUCAACCUCAGUCACAAUCCUCUUGCGUCGAAAUUCCCAGAUUUUAUAUCCAAUUCUCAUAGCCUGACUCACCUUAGCCUUAAUUAUAACGAGUUUACUGGUGAUUUAGCACGUGAAUCAAUAUUUGCCAAUCUGCAUAAUCUUGAAGUCCUCAGUCUUAAUGGCAAUUCUUUUGAGGGGCCAUUUCCACCAGAUAUAUUCAAGCUUUCAAGAUUAAAACGUCUCUUCCUGGCAGUUAACAAAUUUUCAGGUUCAAUUCCCAAUGACAUAAGGUUACUUUGUGAUCUUGAAUACCUAUAUUUAGGCAACAAUUCUUUUGAAGGACCGCUUCCACCAAAUUUAUUCAAGCUUUCGAAAUUAAAGCGUCUUUUUCUUUGGAGUAAUAAGUUUACAGGUUCUAUUUCCAAUGAUAUAGGUUUGCUUUCUGAACUUGAAACCCUCAAUCUUCAAUUUAAUUUUUUUGAGGGGCCGCUUCCCCCACAUAUAUUUAGGCUCUCUAAGUUAACAGGUCUAGAACUCGGAGACAAUAGAAAUUUAUUUGAAGGAAGUAAUAUUCCUAUCGGACUGGGACUCUUGACUAACCUCAGGUACUUAGAUUUACAUUUCAGUAAUCUCAGUGGCUAUAUUCCAUCUGACAUUGGAAACCUGAAGCUACUAGUACUUCUUAGUCUCGGUUCUAAUCAAUUGACUGGACCGCUUUCAAAGAUCGUUUCUAAUCUCACAAAUCUUAUAUUCCUUGAUGUAAGUGAUAAUAGUCUUAGUGGAAAUAUUCAGAGUGACUUGUGGAAAUAUAACCAUCAUCCUACUUUGGAAUACAUCGAUUUUAGUGGGAACCAUUUUACAGGUAUAUUUUUUCUCUAUAGAUCUUUUCCUUUUGUCAUAUGUAACUAAGCUAGUAAUCUGAUUAUUGCAGUUUUACCGAAGUUUCAACAAUCUUGACAGGUGAGCUUCCAACAACAAUUUGCAAUGUCACUUCCCUUUCGGUUCUUGAUUUGUCAAAUAAUGAAUUAAGUGGUGCACUUCCAAACUGUUUCGGGAAUCUUGCUGAUGGAUUGCUUUACAUUAAUCUUGCUAAUAAUCAGUUUCGAGGAACAAUACCAACUACUUUCUCCAGGAGUUGUCAGCUGACAUAUCUAAACAUGGAUAAUAAUGAGUUUGAAGGAUUGUUGCCCCCAUCUUUGGCGAACUGUAAGCACUUGAAAAUUCUUGAUAUAGGCAAUAAUAAAAUAGGUGGUACAUUUCCGUCAUGGCUUUAUGCACUUGGAGAGCUAGAAGUUCUUGUCUUGCGAUCAAAUAAACUCUAUGGUACAAUAAGUGGAAGGAGCAUAGAAGAUCCCUUCCCCAAGUUGCGGAUUGUGGAUCUGUCCAACAAUCAAUUCACAGGCCAUUUGCCAAUUCAAUACUUUAAGAAUAUGAAAUCAACUGAUAAUUUGUAUCGUUAUCAGAAUUCCACAAAAGUUUUUUCUUUCCAUUAUGAAGCAUCUGUCUCAUUAACUGUGAAGGGAACAGAGUAUGAAGUGAAAAAUAUCCUUCAUAUUUACACAGCCAUUGAUCUGUCCUGCAACAAGUUUCAAGGAGAAAUUCCUGACGUUAUUGGAGAGCUUAGAUGGCUUGCAUUGCUCAACUUAUCUCAUAAUAGUCUAACAGGACCUAUCCCAUCAUUGCUGAGAAAUAUGAAAGGACUCCAAUCUUUAGAUUUGUCUUCAAAUCAACUGACAGGGGCUAUUCCACCUCAGUUAACUGCACUGACAUUUCUAGAGGUCUUAAACCUCUCGGGAAACCAUCUUAGUGGAGGGAUUCCUCAGAAAGGACAGUUCAGCACAUUCAACAAUGAUUCUUAUCUAGGAAACUCAGCGUUAUGUGGAUCACCAUUGACGAAGAAAUGUGCAAACACAGCAUCAC
rnacentral:lncRNA from 1 species